rnacentral:lncRNA from 1 species
AUUUUUUUCUUAUUUAAUUUCUAGUUUUUUUCUUCAAUUUUCAUUUAGCGUUUUAUGCAUCAUUAGUUUAGCACACAUCAUUAGCAUUGUAUGCGUCGUUGGUCUCGUACAAAUAGUGGCAGAUUAAUUAGAAGAUCACCUUCACAACCCUUAGAUGUGGCUGACACAGGAGCUGAAAAUUUUUCGGAGCGUGAAAAUGACCAAGCCUUGCAAAAUCUUCAUGAACAGCCUAGGAACCUAAGAGAUUUCAUGCAUCCUACUAGAACAGGGUCAUCAUCAUGCAUAGUUUUCCCUGCUGAUGCAUCACGUUUUAAUUUUAAACCUGGUAUCAUUCAACUUCUUCCUACUUUUCAUGUUUUUGAGUCUGAAAAUCCAUAUUUGCAUUUAAGGGAAUUUGAGGAAGUCUGUAACACAUGUACUUAAGUUUUUUCCUUUCUCACUAGAGGAUAAAGCUAAAACUUGGCUACAAAAUCUUAAGUCAAGAUCCAUUAAAACUUGGGAUGAAAUGCAAGCACAAUUUUUGAAAAAAUUCUUCCCACCCUACAGAACUAAUUAUUUCAAAAGACAAAUCAACACAUUCACUCAAAAACUAGGAGAAACCCUCUACCAAUGUUGGGAUAGGUUUAAAGAACUACUUAACAUUUACCCACACCACGGUUUUGAAACAUGGAGAUUAGUGUCUUAUUUCUACGAGGGAUUAACAUCCCAGGGUAGACAAGUCAUUGAAAUGAUGUGUAAUGGUGAGUUUAGGGAUAAAAGUCUUGAAGAUGCAUUAAACUAUCUUGACUAUAUAGCAGAGAAUGCACAACACUGGGAUACAGUUGGUUCUUAUGAGUCAUCAAGUCAACCCCAGUCAUCUCUAUCUGGUGGAGGCAUGCAUAACCCUAGGGAAGACCAUGAUUUUCAAGCCAAAUUUACAUUAUUAGCUAGAAAAGUCGAAGCAUUAGAGUUGAAAAAGAAUGAUCAUGUAAAAUAUGUUCAAAAUAUUUCAUGUUAUGUUUGCGAUUCUACUGACCAUUUUACGUAGGACUGUCCAACUUUGCCAGCAAUGAGCGAAAGUUUGCAUGAACAAGUAAAUGUCGUUGACAAUUUCAAAAGGCCAAAUUCAAAUCCAUACUCCCAAACUUACAACUCUGGAUGGAAAAACCACCCAAAUUUUAGUUGGAGAAAUGACAAUCAUACACAACCUUCACAACCAAUUCCUCCACAUCAAAAUUUUCAAAACUUCCAGAGUUACCCAUCAUAUGUCCCACCACCAAGAAAAACUUUGGAAAACACAUUGCAUUCGUUUAUUGAAAAAUAAGAGUCAAUCAAUAACCAAACGAUGUAAACCUUAACUAAUUUGACAGAAACUAUCUCCAAACUUACAUCUACUCUGACCAUGUAUGAAAAAGGAAAGUUUCUUGCUCAACCUGAACCAAACCCCAAGAGUCAACAACAUCCGCAAAUGGGAAAUUCAGGAAACCAAAUUAUGAGUCAACUCAAAUCGGUUAUAACCCUUUGUGGUGGUAAAGUGGUCGAAAACAUAUUGUGGACCCUCGUGAAACUAGUAAAGAUUCAAUUUCAGAAAAUAGGGAAGAAUCUGUCGAACCUUUAACCCAUGAAGAAAUAACCAACUCUCCUCCUGUACCCCUAUUUCCUCAAGCACUAAUCAAGCCAAAGAAAUCAAACCACAGUCUAUAAAUUUAUGAAGUUUUUAAAUAAGUAAAGGUCAACAUUCCUCUGCUGGAUGUCAUUAAAUAAGUACCUUCUUAUGCUAAAUUCUGAAAGAUAUGUGCACGGUGAAAAGGAAACAUAAGGUGCAAAAGAGAACUUUUCCAGCAGAACAAAUAAGUUCCAUUCUCUCAACCAAUAGUACUUUGAAAUACAAGGAUCAUGGUUGUCCAACUAUUUCUUGCACUAUUGGGGAUCAUAAAAUUGGACAUGCUCUACUUGAUCUUGGUGCCAGUGUUAAUUUGCUUCCUUACUCAUUGUACUAACAACUCAAUCUCGGUAAGUUAAAACCAACUUCUACCACUCUUUUACUUGCUGAUAGAUCGAUUAAGAUUGCAAAAGGAAUAAUUGAAGAUGUAUUAGUUCAGGUCAAUAAAUUCAUAUAUCUUGUGGAUUUUAUUGUUUUGGAAACGGAACCAAUUGCUAAUGAAUGCAAACAAAUUCCUCUUAUAUUGGGUCGACCAUUUUUAGCUACUGCUAAUACUUUGAUAAAUUGCAAGAAUGGAUUAAUGAAUUUAUCUUUCGACAACAUGACACUGGAACUCAAUGUGUUCAACAUAUGUAAACAACCUCACCACUAAGAAGAUGAUGAUAAUGAGAAUGAGGAGAUUGAUCUCAUCGAGCUAAUAAUUGAGGAACACAUUCAGGAUGAGAAUUUUAUAAACUCUACGAAAAUUUGUUUUGCUGGUUCUUUUGAAUCAAGUAAGGAAUUAGAUUGUGAUACUGCUAACAUAUGUCGUACACUUGAUUCUAUGCAGGUCCCUAUAGGUGACGAUGACCAAUCGAACUUUGAAGAUACGAUACAACCCGAAGAACCAAACGAAGAGAAAACACCAGAGAUCGAAUUAGAGCCCUUACUAGAAGAAUUGAAAUAUGUCUAUCUUGGAGAACAGCAGACAUAUCCGGUGGUAAUUUCUUCCCAGUUCACGCAUGAUCAAGAAGGUAAGUUGUUAUCUAUUCUAAAAAAGCGUAAAACUGCAUUUGGUUGGACCUUAAAAGACAUAAAAGACAUUAAUCCUUUAAUUUGCACACACCGAAUACACUUAAAGGAAAAUGCCAAAACAACUCGUCAACCACAAAGAAGACUAAACCCUCAUAUGAAAGAAGUGGUAAAUAAUGAGGUCCUUAAACUACUAGAUCUAAGAAUUAUCUAUCUUAUCUCUUAUCAAAUCCCUAUAGCCUUAGAAGACCAGUAAAAGACCACAUUCACAUGCCCAUUUGAAAUAUUUGCAUUUAGGAGAAUGCCCUUUGGACUUUGUAAUGCUCCUGCAAUAUUUCAAAGGUGCAUGCUAAGCAUUUUUAGUGACAUGGUUGAAAAUUGUCUAGAGAUUUUUAUGGAUGAUUUAACUGUAUUUGGUAAUUCUUUUGAUACAUGUCUUGAUAAUCUAGAAAAUUUUUUGGAAAGGUGCAAAGAAAAAGGACUAGUUUUAAAUUGGGAAAAUGUCAUUUCAUGACCACUUCUAAAAUUGUCUUGGGCCAUGUUGUGUCUUCAAAAGGAAUUGAAGUUAGCAAAGUUAAAGUUUGAAGUCAUUUCAAAAUUACCUUCACCAAAGACAAUUAGAUAACUCCGUUCCUUUUUAGGACAUGCAGGAUUUUAUAGGAGGUUUAUAAAAGCCUUUAGUGUCAUAUCUAGACCACUUUGUAACCUACUAAUAAAAGACACACCUUUUGAAUGGACUAAAGAUUGUCAACAAGCUUUUGAAAAAAUAACUACUCUUUUGACAUCAGCCCCAAUAAUGCAACCCCCUGAUUGGUCUUUACAUUUUGAGCUAAUGUGUGAUGCUAGUGAUUAUGCCGUUGGCGCUAUUCUAGGUCAAAGAAAGGAAGGUAAGCCCUUUGUCAUCUAUUAUGCAAGUAGAACUUUGAAUAGUACUCAAAUGAAUUACACUACAACUGAGAAAGAACUACUUGUUGUAAUAUUUGCAUUGGAUAAAUUUCAUUCGUAUUUAAUUGGUUCAUCUACUGUUGUUUAUUUUGAUCAUGCUGCUGUGAGAUAUUUAAUGUCAAAACAGGAUGCCAAACCAAGGUUGAUAUGAUGGAUUUUGCUACUUCAAGAAUUUAAUUUGACGAUUAAGGAUAAAAAGGGCGUUGAAAAUGUUGUUGCAGAUCAUCUUUCAAGACUUACAAAUGAGUCUUCAAUUGAAACAACACCCAUCAAUGAUUCUUUCUCUAAUGAAUUUUUGUUUUCUAUAAACAAAAUGCAUUGGUAUGCUAAUAUUGUUAAUUAUCUUACGACAUGUGAAAUGCCAUGUGACUGGAGUUCCCAAGACAAGAGGAAAUUCUUAACAGAAGUGAGAAGCUUUUACUGGGAUGAUCUAUACAUGUUCAAAUACUACCCUGAUCAAAUACUACUCUGAUCAAAUUUUUUGAAGAUGCAUACCAGAUGACGAGGUAAGUAGGGUCAUUCAAUUUUGUCAUUCUGAAGCAUGCGGUGGCCAUUUUUCUUCAAAAAAGACAGCUGCAAAAAUAUUGCAGUGUGGAUUUUAUUGGCCUAUAUUAUUUAAAGAUUCACAUGCAUUCUAUAAAAUGUGUAAGAAUUGUCAAAUGAUAUGGUCUAUUUCAAAACGAAACAUGAUGCCUUUAAACCCCAUCCUUGUUAUUGAAAUAUUUGAUUGUUGGGGAAUUGAUUUUAUGGGCCCUUUUCCAUCAUCAUUUGGAUUUGUAUACAUUUUGGUUGUUGUUGAUUAUGUUUCAAAAUAGAUCGAGCUGAUUCAUUGUCGGCACAAUGAUCACAAGAUUGUGAUCCGCUUUUUAAAAGAAAAUAUUUUGAGCAGAUUUGGAAUAUCUCGAGCCAUUAUCAGUGAUGGAUGUAAGCAUUUUUGUAAUAAGCCAUUUGAGUUAUUAAUGAAGAAAUAUCGAAUUACACAUAAGGUUGCUACCCCUUAUCAUCCUCAAACAAGUGAUCAAGUUGAAUUAGCAAAUAGGGAGAUAAAAUAAAUUUUAGAAAAGACAGUUAAUCCAAAUCGUAAAGAUUGGUCUCUUCGACUAACUGAUGCACUUCGGGCAUAUCGUACUACUUUUAAAACAUCUUUAGGAAUGUCACCCUAUCGUCUUGUUUAUGGAAAAUCUUGCCACUUACCAGUUGAACUUGAACAUAAAUCAUUUUGGGCCAUUAAAGUUUUUAAUUCAAAUCUUGAUGAUGCUAGUAAUGUGCUUAAAUUGAAAAUAAAUGAACUUGAGGAAUUAAGGAAUGAUGCAUAUGAGAAUUCUAGAAUUAUUAAGGGAAGAACCAAAUUUUUUCUUGACAAAAGAAUUUUUUAGAAAAUGUUUGAAAUUGGUCAAAAAAUGUUGCUUUAUAAUUUUCGUCUUCAUUUAUUUUCAGGGAAGUUAAGGUCAAAGUGGAAUGGUCCAUUUUUUUGUAAAAAAUGUGUAUCCAUAUGGAGCCGUAGAAAUUGAGAAUCGAAAGGAUGGUGUCACAUUUAAAGUUAAUGGCCAAAGAUUGAAACCAUAUCUGAAAUACCAACCACAUAAAGCAGAAUACCGAAAUCAAUUUGAAUGACCCACCAAAUUUUGAUUAAGCCUUUUCAUUUUAACGUUUUGUGAAUUUGAUUUACUGUUACUUUAUCGUUUGAAUUGUUUGAUUUUUUUUCUUUUUCCUCUUCCCUAUAUCUUGAAUGGAGUACAUUACAUUGUUUUAAUUGUGUGUUGUUUGACAAUUGUGAUUUAGCUCACCAAAUUUUUAUACUUGUCAUGAGUACCUCCAUGAGAAAUUUCCUUUUCGAUCAUUUUAAAGCACUUUUACAAGUAAAAUUUCACCUGAGGAAAUUACUUUGAUUUUGUAAAUCACAUCCCAUUUGGGACCUACAACCACCAAAGUCAGUAUCCCACAUGAAAGAUCUAGAAAGACAACUCAAGGAAAUAGAGGAUGGUAUUUAUAAUAUGUUAUUGGAACUGGAGGUAAAUUCAAUAAAAGGAUAAAGGUGAGUUAUAUUCCUUGUGUGUUUUUAUUUUAUUUUGUUGUUCUUAUUCACUUUUGAUUUGUUUUGAUUCACUCUUCCGUAUAAAUGGCGAAUAACGGUACUCCGUGACUUUUUAAGUCGAUAUUCUCAGUAUCCCACAAUAACUGAAACCUCAAUGUCAAGCAUGGAAGAAAUACAAUGAAAAUUGCAUCAACGUUUUCCUUCUCUCCCUCAAAAUGCUCUUAAGAAGAUUUACAAAACUCGUUGUGAACGACUACAAUUGUUAAUGAUCAAUGGGAUUCGCUAGUUAAUUGAAGCAAAGGUCCGACUGGCAUGUGAGUUUUCUUAUCCAUUCAUUUCUUACAUGCCUGGUCUUUGUAAAAGUAUAUUUGCUAAGAAAAGAAGAGCUAAGCGACUUGGCUCUGAAUGUUCUCACUAUGUAAGACUUGCUUGUAAAAAGCCACAUUGUAAGGAAUGGUUUCUGUAAAUCGUGAAGAUAAAAUCAAAUUCGUUAAGGAUGGCAUAAGCAAAGAAUCGUUGGAUGAUAUCUUACGAUCUCUUAAGACGCAUCCGAGCAGAUAUGUUCAAUGUGAAAUUUAAAAUUUGUGGAAACUAUUCCAAAAGGAAAGUGUACAGUUUAGUCUUGGGAAUUUGACUCUAAAAGACCCUGUUUACCAGUUUAUAAGAAAACUGGAUGGGAAGCCUAUUCUCAACCCAUAGAGGGCGUUCAAGCCGUUACUGGACGUAAAACCAGAGGAAGAUGUGAGCCACAAUCAUAACUACCAGUAAAUAUCCUUUUAUUUUACUAUUCUUUUAUCUUUUGCAUUAUUAUUAUUAUUAUGUGUUUUUUUAUCUAAUCACUGUUUGUUUUUCUUUUUACUGUUUGCCUUUGAAUUAUUAAGCUAAAAGCUUCACGCAUCAUUUGACACACACACCACCCCAUUUACAGAUAUCAUUAUGUCCGUCACCAAGAUCCUUAAAUAGGAACUUCUUUUCAAGCACUCACAAAUUGUUUCUUUUUAGAAUUGUUCUAAUGGCAGCAACUUCAAGCAGUCAACUUAAAAACAUUUGUGUACUUUUUGGAUUUCGCUAUGGAAAGUAUAAGGAGUUCAUUCAAGCAGCCAUAGAUCUUGGUCGUGCUAUAGCAGAGAGGAAACUACAUCUUGUAUAUGGAGGAGGUGGCCAAGGGUUAUCAAAACUUAUCUCUGAAGCUGCCUUCAUUCGAGGAAGCCAAGUGCUAAGCAUCAUUCCAAAAGCUUUAAAACCUUUAGGAUGUCUACCAAACCCACCAACUGGAGAAGAGUUAGUUGUCUUAGGUAUGCAAGAAAGAAUAUCCGAAAUGUUAAAUCAUGCUGACGCUUUCAUUUUCUUGCCAGGAGAUCUUGCAACUUUAGAGACGCUAAUUACAUUUUCUUCUUGGGCCCAUUUGAAUAUUCAUCAAAAACCCAUCAAAUUGUUAAAUGUUAAUAACUUUUAUGAUGGCUCAAUAAUAUUUCUUAAUCAUGCAAUAAAAAAUUACUUCAUUCCAUCCUCAGCAAAAAAACUCUUCAUUUGUGCUCCUAUUGAUAAUGAGUUAUUUGAUCUUUUGCAAGCUUAUAAACCAGAGCCAGAUCCGGUGACUUUGGCAUUGGAUUGGGCAACUGAGGACGAUGGCAGUAACUCUCGUAAAAAGUAUAAAUUAGAUUUAACUCUCCGUUUGUAAAUAUUUCCAGUUGUGGCCAGGUGAUAUCUUCUAAACUCUACUCCUUUCUUUAGACAUUGAGGACAAUGUCUCCUUUGGGUUGGGGGAGGGAAUAGUUGAUAAUUGUGGAAUGUCUCAGUCCUGGUGAUGUUUUUACUAAUUUUUGGUGUAAAGACUAACUUUGGAUAAAAAUUUGAGUCGAAAAUGACAGAAUAUAGAAUGUAGUAUCUCUAAAAACGCAUCUUAAUUUUAGUGUGUUUUCUAAAAAAAAAUUAUUUUCUAACUUUUUAUUUCUGUCUUUUUCUCUUUUUCUCUUAAUCAUCUCCCUUAAGUUUCUGCAAUUAGUCCCAAAUUUUUAGUGUUUUCUUAAAAAAAAAAAGUUUUCUUUUUCGGUGUGAUCUUUUGACAUUGGAUAACAUGAUGAUUUUUAAAUUUUGGUAUUCGUAUUAUCUUUGGCCUUGAGUUAUGUUACACUAUGUUUUUCCCUUUGCAUGUUGAAACGUAAAUUGAGAAAUUGAAUGAGUGAAAUUGAUUAAGCCAUUUGGAGGAAUGUACAUGUUAUAAAAAGUCCAAGCGAGUUUUUUGAGCCUAUUAUCCUUGGAGAGUAACCCUAUUUGCCAAUACAGCUUCUCAAUUUAUUGUACAAUAUCUCAAUAUUUUCUUUAAAAAAAGAGUAAAAAAAAAAGAAAGUUUGUGCAACCGCAUCUAAAAGUUUAUUGAACUAGUGGAUAUGAAAGAUUAUUUAAAGCCCUAAAAGAUGACAGAAGACCAUCUUUGACCCAUUGAGCCUUUCUAGCCAACCUUAUUAUAAAGAAUCCAUAGUUAAUCUCUUUGAGCCUUAAAAAAAAAAAAUUUCCUUUGAUAACCUAUUAUCUUAUCCCACUCCAAUGUGGAGCAUCACCUUAUAUUUUAUGUUUUCCACCACCCAAUUAUGUUUGAAAAUAGGGAUGAUUAUGUAUUCCUAAUAAUGGUGCUAUAAAAAAAAAGAGGAUAUGUAUAUAUAAAUAAAUAAAAUAAAAUAAAAAAGAGAGCAAAAAAAAAAGCACCUUGUAAUCUCCAAAAAGUCCUCUAUUUUUCAAACAUAUAUUUUUGUUUUCCCUAUUACCUUUUUUGUUAGCCAUAACCAUAGCCUACAUUACGUCCUAAUAAAAGUUCUUCUUGAUUUAGGGAAUUAUAGUCUGAAGUAAAAGCUGGUAAUAUGGACUAAAAGAUGUGGUGAUGCAUAAAAAUAAAAAUAAAUUUUGCUAAUAUAAUUCCCUGAGUUGAGAUCAUUUUAUUUCUAAGCGGUGGGUCUUAUUCUUUCAUCUUGGUAAGAGCGUAUGAUAUUGUUUUAUUAUUCUCUCAAAUCUACCUUUUUUUUAGAGUGACAGUUUAAUUUGGGAUAUACUUUCUUUUGAGAGAGUCACUCUUAAUCGUGAGAUUUUGGGGUUUGAUGUAUCAUUUUUAAAAGUGACUUGAUUAAUGUAGCUCUGAUAAUUGAUCAUUUUACAUGAUUUUACUAAACUAUUUUGUGCGAGUGUGAUUUUCUUUAGGCUGAAGAUAAUGCUUAUACUUUUAUUUGAUUGUUGUCAUUAAUACGAUGAAAGAAGUAAACACAAUCCUUCAAAAAAAAUAAAAAAAAAUUCAAUUUGAGUUUGAAAUUUUACUAAACUUUUUUUCGAUUAAAUUAUUAGGGUCUAGCAAUAAGUUGGUUGGGGGGUGUGAUUAACACUAAAAAGUGUACGUGUAACAAAAAUAAAAUUAUUAGUUUUACACUUAUUGUGUAGAUUAAUGCGCUCAUUAUUUCUAAAUUAUCUUAAUAUUCCCCAAAUAAAUUUUUGUGUUAAAUUAAUUCGCAAUAUGUUAAUUUUUAUCUUAUAAAUAUUUUUCAGGAAUAAAUUGGAAUUGAAAGCGGGAUCAAAGAAGGACUGCUGGAGCGAUUUGGAAGCAUUAUUGAGGAGAUGUAAAUAAAAAAAUAAAAAAAUAAAAAAAUAAAAAAUAACAAAAGAACAAAAACCAAAUUUCUCAUUCUCGUAAUCACACACACACACACACACACAUAUAAUAAUAAUAAUAAUAAUAAUAAUAAUAAUAAUAAUAAUAAUAAUAAUAUAAUAAUAAUAAUAUAAUAAUAAUAAUAAUAAUAAUAAUAAAUAAAUAAAGAUAAGGCAUUCCUUGCCUAUAAAAGGCAAGGAAAUGCAGGAAGCUUGAGCGGAGAGUCGCAAGGGGAUUUGAGAUUUUUAAGUCGAGAGAAAGAGUUAUAGCCAAGAGGGAACUGAAGAAUUUCCGUCUUUCUUUCUUUUCUUUUCUUGUUUCCUUUUGUAUCAAUUUUCCUUGUAACAUAUUUCAAAAGUUUAUCAAAUAAAAAGAGUGUUGUGUUUUAUUUUGAUAUGAGUGGCUAAUUUUACUAAGCUGGGGUGAAAGGUGAAGCUCAAUGUUUCAAACUAUUAAAUUUAUUAUUUUCUCAAAUGAGUUUUUAAGUUUAUUUUAUUAUUUUCUAGUUACUUUUAUGUCAUGUCGAUUUAUAAAUUUUCUUGAAUAUGUAUGGUAUUUUGAUAUAAUGUCGACACAUUAAAAUAGUUGUGAUACGUUAGGUACUUUAUUUCAUAUUCAUCCACACACAUAAAAUUAAAUGAUAUAAUAAUUAACUGGUAAAAGUGAGGCAAAAUAUAAAUGAGAGAGUAUUAAAAUUAUAGUUUGAAUACAGAGAGUGGAUCCCGAACCUUAGCAUAUUUUUAAAUUGAUUUCAAAUAAUUUCUUUUCCCCACAAUUAAUUUUCUUAGUUUUAAAUUGACUACUAGAUUUAAAAUUCCCUGUGGUUCGACCCCGAACUCACCAAGUUAUAUUAUAACUAUACACCCUUAUACUUGGGAGUAAUACAAUUUUGAGUCGUGUCACAAACCAUGGUACAAUAUUUACACUCAUAAGUUGCUCAUCUGGGAAAGACUCAUUCAAAGGUAAAGAUUCUGAAAUAAAUUUAAGAUCAAGGCGAGAUAAAUGAUCUGUCACAGCAUUUUCAGAACUUUUUUUAUCUCUAAAUUCAAUGUAAAAUUCUUGUAAAAGCAACACCCAACGAAUCAAUCUUGCCUUAGCAUCUUUCUUAGUAAGCAAAUAUUUCAAAGCAGCAUGAUCAGUAAAAAUAAUCAUUUUACAACGUAUAAGAUAAGAUCUGAAUUAAUCAAGUGCAAACACCACAUCUAGCAUUUCUUUUUCUGUAGUUGAAUAGUUCAACUGUGCAUCAUUGAGUAUCAUACUAGUAUAAUAAAUCACAUAAGGCAUACGAUCUAAUCUUUGUCCUAAAACUGCUCCUACAACAUAAUCAGAUGCAUCACACAUAAUUUCAAAAAGCAAUUCCGAUUAGGUGGUCGAAUGAUAAGUGAAGAAGUCAACAAUUUCUUAAGCUUUUCAAAAGCAUCAAGACAAGAUUCAUCAAAGAUAAAAGGUACAUCCUUAACAAGUAAAUUGCAUAAGGGUUUAGAAAUUUUACUAAAAUCUUUAAUGAAUCUUCUAUAAAAACUAGCAUGUCUAAGGAAAGAUCUUACUUCUUUUACGGAUUUGGGGUGUGGAAAAUUGGAAAUUAAAUCCACAUUGGCUUUGUCGACUUUUAUGCCUCUACUGGAAAUUAUAUGACCGAGAAAAAUAUCUUGUUUUACCAUGAAGUGAUACUUUUCCCAAUUUAGAACUAAGUUCUUUUCUUUACAUCUCUGCAAAACUAAUGUUAGAUGUUGCAAACAUUCAUCAAAAGAAUCUCCAUAAACAGAAAAAUCACCAUGAAUACUUCAAGAAAUCGCUCAACCAUAUCAAAAAAAAUACUAAGCAUGCAUCUUUGAAAGAUAGCAGGUACAUUGCAUAAACCAAAUGGUAUUCUCUUAUAUGCAAAAGUUCCAAAUGGACAAAUAAAAGUAAUUUUCUCUUGGUCCUCUAGAGCUAUAGGAAUCUGAUUAUAACCNNNNNNNNNNNNNNNNNNNNNNNNNNNNNNNNNNNNNNNNNNNNNNNNNNNNNNNNNNNNNNNNNNNNNNNNNNNNNNNNNNNNNNNNNNNNNNNNNNNNACAAGUCCAUCAAACAUUUGAUCAAUAAAUGGAAGAGGAAAAUGAUAUUGUCUGGUGACUAAAUUCAAUUUUCUAUAGUCAAUGCAAAACACGCCAACCUGUAGUUACUCUAAUGGGAAUUAACUCAUUAUUAGCAUUAGUAACUACUGUAACACCAGAUUUCUUAGGAACAACUUACACAUGGCUAACCCUAUCUCUUACCACUUCUUUUAUGUUAGGGUUUAGUCUACGUUGCAUCUUCCUAAUAGGCUUAGCAUUUUCUUCAAGAUUAAUAUGAUGCAUGCAAUUUACUAGAUUAAUACAUUUAAUAUCAGCAAUGGUCCAUUCUAUUGCCUCCUUAUACUCUUUUAGAAUACCCAACAACUUACCUUUUUGCUCAAGAUCGGGAAGAAGAAAUAAUAACAGGUAGAGUGUCAGAUUCUCCCAAGAAUGCAUAUUCCAGUGUGUCGGGCAGUGCUUUGAAUUCUAAUUUUGGUAUUGUCUCAACAGAUGGGCUAAUCUUCUUCUCAGAAUGAGGCACUAAAAAGAGAAAUUUGCAUGUCACCAAAAAGGCAUUUUUAACUGAACAAACCAGCAAUGUACUUCAAUGUAAAAUGCCACCAAAAUUUAAGGAUCCAAGUUCCCUUAAUAUCUCAUAUGUUAUAGGGAACCAAUUGUUUAAUAAAGUAUUGUUGGAUUUAGGAGCUAGUGUUAAUCUCUUACCUUAUUUUGUUUACAAGUAACUUGGAUUAGGUGAGUUAAAGUCAACUUCUAUUAUUUUACAACUUGCAGAUAAGUCAAUGAAAAUAUCUCAUGGAAUUCUAGAGAAUGUGUUGAUACAGAUUGAUAAAUUUUAUCCUGUUGAUUUUAUUGUUAUUGAUAUUCAGCAUGUACAAGAUCCUAAGAAACACACCCCAAUUAUUCUAGGCCGUCCUUUCUUAACUACAGCCGAUGCUUUUAUUAAUUGCAGAAAUGGAAACAUGCAGCUGUCCUUUGGUAAUAUGACCAUGAAAUUGAAUAUUUUUAAUGUUACCAAGCAGCCACAAGAAGAAGAUGAAUUUGUCGAAGCAAAUAUGAUAGAAGAAUUAGUAGAAGAUUCAUUCAUUUCUAACCACACUGAUGAUCCAUUAGAGGCAUGUUUAACUCAUUUUGAUUUAUCUUCUAAUGAUGACAGUGUAAAUCUUUUAAAAACUUGGCAUAUGAGGGAACUUGCUUAAUAGCAUCGAGUAAAUGGAUGUUUAUACUUACAUGCUUGAAGAUUUCCAUAAUCUCACCUGUUGAACUCCCUUUCUUUACCUUUGUUAACCUUUAGGGAAAAAGAGCCUUAGGAAUGUAAGUUGGUGGGCCACUUUCUUCUUGAUCAUUAGGUGAUGAAGCUUGUGAUGGAACUAAAUCUACAGAAGUAUGUUCAAAUGUCUUUCUUGUUCGAACCUCCACCUUAUUGUCAAAUAAUUUUCCUCUUCUUAAGGUCAUAAUAGAUUUUGCUUCUUCAUGCAGAUGGCUCGAACUUGAUCCAACUUCAUGCACUCUUUUAAGAUUAGGAAUUGGUUGACUUGAGAAUUUUUCUUUUUCUCUCUCAGCCACAGUAGUUGCUAAUUGACCCAAUUGAUGUUCAAGCUUUAGAAUAGCUUGAGUGUUUGACUGAAAGGCUUGUUGGAUAGACUGAAUGAAACUUUGAAGUGUAUCCUCUAAAGAAGGUUUUCUUUAUUGGAGUGCAACAAAUUGAGACAUAGGCUGUUGGGCAAGGGGAUAUAGUUGGUUAGAAGGGACAAAUUGUUGAUUGGGCAUGUUAAAUUGUUGCCCUCCUUGGUUCGACAAAGGUUGAUUUUGUUUUCAAGAAAAAUUAGGUUGAUUCCUCCAAUUAGGAUUAUAUGUCGAUGAAUAUGGACUAUUGAAGGAUUUUUCAUACGACUGUAAAACAUGUACCUGCUCAGAAUAAGCCUUUGGAUAGGCUGGUAAUGAUGGACAAUUAUGUGUUGUAUGAGAUAAGUUAGAAUAAAGAGCACAAAUCUCAUUAGCUACACUAGGAUGGUGAUUCAUUGAUUGGUUCAGAGCUAAGACAUCUACUUUCCUAGAAAGAGUAGCUAGAGUGGCGUUCACAUCAAAAUCAUCCUUAACUUCAUAUAGACCCUUUUUAGAAACUUGAGAUGAUUUUUCCCUUUGAUUUGAAAAAUUUCACUGUUGAGAAUUUUCAGAAAGUGAAUUAAAGAAAUCUCAUGCAGCCCCUUCAUGUAGGUUCAAAAAUCUCCCACCAUUCAUAGACUCCACCAUAUGAUGAUUUGACAUGGUUAAACCAUUAUAAAAGCAUUGUAUAAGUCUCCAUUUCUCAAAACCAUGGUGGGGACACUUAAGGAAUAAAUCAUUAAAUCUUUGCCAACACUCAUAAAAUUGCUCACCCUCUCUUUGAUAAAAACAACUUAUCUCUCUCAUAAGGGCAUUUGUUUUAGAUAUAGAGAAAAACUUGGUGAGGAACUUAUUACUCAAUUCAUCUCACGUAGUAUUAGACCCAUCAGGAAGUGAAUUCAACCAAGCUUUCACUUUGUCUUUUAAUGAGAAAGUGAACAUACGAAGCGUAAUUGACUCUUCAUUAAAAUUUUAAAAACAGAAUGUAGAGCAUAUGUCAAGAAAUUCCUUAGUUUGCAAAUAUGGAUCCUCUUUCUCUAACCCUUGGAAAAAUGGUAAAAGUUGAAUGACAGAGGGCUUAAGUUCAAUGUGUGUUGCUGUAGUUUGUGGCAACACAAUACAAGAUGGUUGAUUGGUUGCAAGUGGUGAAAAAUAAUCUCUAGGGGUUUUCUAUGCUUGCACUGGUGGUAGUAUUGGCAAUAUUCUAUUUGGGUCAUCCAUCACUUGAGAAGAACUAGCUUGACUACUAUCAAUUUUAGACUCUUUUUUUACUAAACGAUUUGUUGAAUCGCUUUUCCAAACACUCAUAAACUAACUAGACAAAGAAGAAAAAUAAAACAACAAUAAUAAAAAUAAAUAAAAUUUAAAAGAAAUCAAAUAACCAAACAAGAAUUCAAAGUAAAAAAUAAUAAUUUUUUUGUGUUUUUUUAUAAAAAAAUUAAAUAAAUAAAUAAAAGACAACCUAAAUUAUAACUAGUUGAAGAAUCAAAUCAACUUAGAUUAAACUAACUUUCUAGCACAAACUUCGGCAACAGCGCCAAAAACUUGUUGUGAAAAAUUUUAAUAUACUCGCAAGCGCACGAAUCUAGAGAUAGUAUAGUGGUAACGAGGUCGAACCCACAUGAAUUGUUAUAAAUUGAAAAGUCUAAUUUAAAUCUAAAAUUAAUAUUAAUUCAAACCUAGUUGAGCAAAUUGAGUUUUAAAGAAAAUUAAACUAAUUAAAUAAGAAAACAAUUAAAGUAAAUGAGAAUUCAAUAAGACAAAAAUUACUAAGGUUUCAGAAUCCAUCACUAUUCAACUAGUAAUUAUUUAAAUAUUAAUUAAUUCCCAAUUUUAGAGUGAUAACUCGAAAUCAAUUUAUAUCAUCUCAUAAAUAUAACAAUUGAGCUCAAAUAAAAUUAAUCUUAUGUAUGUUCUUUUUCUGCUUGAUAGUAUGACAUCUAAGCAUCCCAUAUAAAUAUAUUGAAUAACAAAGAGUCAAAGUUUUCAUAAGCACUUUAUAUAAACAAUUUAAUGAAAAAUAUAAAAUCAAAGAUAAUCAUAUAUAAACUUUAUAGAUCCAAACAUAGAUUUAGUCAAAUAUUAAUCUUCACAAUCAAUAAUACAUGACAGAGUUGGUGAAAAAAAUUUAAUAGCAUCCAACUAAUCAUGUGAAACAAGAACUAUAAAUAUUAAAACACACAUGUAGAAAAUUAAUUAAAUAAAGAGAUAAUUACUUUAUUUAAUAGAGUUUCAUCCUUAAUCUCAAUAUAAGAAAAUUAAUUAAAUAUACUUAAAUUGAGAGCAACAAAAUAAAUAACACCAGCCAUGAAAACUGAACAGCUGCUAUCGCUCCUGUCUUCUCUCCUGAAUCGCGUCUCCUUUUGCUUCCUUUUUCAUCUGGCGCCUUCCCCCUUUUUGGUCCAAAAGUUAAAAAGCUUGGUUAUAUAGUCUUCAAAAUGAGCCCCGCCUUUUCAAUUCUAAAGCCAAAAGGCUUUGGCGUUUUAUUUGUUUUGCUCUCACACGCCAAAUCUUUUGUAUAUUAUUUCCUUAUUAAAAGUGGAAAUCUAGCCACACGUUUGACUUCCAAAGCAAAAGGUCAAUUAAUGAUUUCUUCCUUUAAUACCCAGCCCAUGCAUUCCAAAUUGCUAAAUAAAAUCUUUCUUUAAUUAUCUUAAGCUCAUGCGGAAGCUUUGGAAUAUAAUCUUUAAUUCUUCAAUUCUUUCCUCUUAUGGAUCUUUUAUGUAUUUUUUUGUUUAUAAUCUCAAAUUAAUUCCCUAUUCAGUAAAACAAUUCAAUUAAUUAAAAAUAAGAAAUAAAAUAACUAGUAAAUAUACAAUAAAAGGUAAUAUAUAUAUAAAUUAUACUCAUCACUUAUCUUCCUCUGAGAGUUCUUUCCAAGUGAAAUUUGCUCCACGGUCUUACAAUGGAGCUGCACAUCAUCUCGCUAAAUUAGCUCUUUGUAAUUCCAUCGAAAAAGUUUGGUUAGAAGAAAUUCCAACUGUAUGUAAAGACAAAUCGCUGUAAUCAUUUUUCUAUUAAUAAAAUUUUAAUUUAAAAAAAACUAAAUGUUAGUUGAUGCUAUUCAUAACUAAUUAUUUUUAUAAUAGAAUUAACAAUAAAUAUUUUUAAAAACUACUUUACUAUCAAAUUAGCCCUUAAAUUGCCAUCUAAAUUUCAUGGAAUGAAAUUUUGAUUAAGUAAUGGUUGUUGCCCUCCUCAUUAAAGAAAAUAUUGUGAAAAAAUGAAUAAUGCUACACAACCUAAGUUUUUAUCACAAAAGCUAUCUCAAUUAACAUUCAACAAUUAAUUAAUAAGAUAAUGUCAUUAUUAUGAAAAAUUAUCAAUAUUUAAUGAAUAACAUAUCAAUUACAAUAAAAUUUGAGAUGAAUAUCUUUUAUCCAAAACAAAUUUAGUUGGGUGCUUGCGCGAUUGUGACGGAAGCAAUGACUUAUCCUGGAGAUGGAAGAGCCUGGAAUGUUUUAUAACAUCACUUUAUUUUUUAUUUUUUAUUUUUUAUUUUGAACACGAAGUGGCCAGGAGAAGAUCAUAUAUUUCUGGAAAGAAAAGACACCAAUAUUAGCCACGUACGGUCAUCUCAAACAUUUGCUAAGUCCAAACCGAUUAGCGCAAACUUUUCGCUAUAAAUAUGCACUCUCGUAACUUCACUUUCGGCGUGUUUAUCGUGUCUUUUCAUUUAUUCACUGUUGAUUCUUAGUAAGCUUCUGUAAUAAUGGCGGACGAAGUGAUUCUGUUGGAUUUCUGGCCCAGCAUGUUCGGGAUGAGGGUCAGGAUUGCUCUGGCGGAGAAAGGCGUCAAGUAUGAAUACAAGGAAGAGGACUUGAAGAACAAGAGCCCCCUGCUUCUGCAGAUGAACCCGGUUCACAAGAAGAUCCCGGUUCUCAUCCACAACGGCAGACCGGUCUGUGAGUCAUCCAUCAUUGUUCAGUACAUUGAUGAAGUGUGGAAGGACAAGGCUCCAUUGCUUCCCUCUGAUCGCUACCAGAGAGCUCAAGCUAGGUUCUGGGUAGAUUUCAUUGACAAGAAGGUAACUUAGUUGUUGAUUUUAUGAAGUGUGUUUAUGGGUAUUUUUUCAAUUUUAGAUUUAAUUGUAAUUUUAUUAAAAUAGAAGCCGAAAUUUUGUUAUUAAAAUAUUUCAUUGUCGAGUAGAUAUCAUGGAUUUGUUGUUUGAUUACAAAUAAACUGGGUUUGCAUUGAACGGAGGGGGAAAAGAUGUCCCCUAUAGAGUUGAAGAUUUUGGUUUUUACAGCACUAUGAUGCAGAUAUUAUAAACUUUAGUAGGUUUUAGUUGUAGCUUAAGAUCAGUAAAGGGCCCAACGAUGAGGAUCAGAGUGAGAGUACUAUAAACUAGAUUAGGCUGAAUAUUUGCAGUUAAAGUCUAGUUUCAGUAGUAAGUGUAGUAAGUAGUGGCCUUCUUAAUGUUUAUUUCUUGGCUUCAGCUUUAGUGGGUGUGUGAGUUUAUAGAUUUUUUUUUUUUUAAGGAAUAGCUUGAUAUUUGGGAGUUCUAUAUUUUUGAGAUAGUAGAAUCUUUUGUCUUGAAAAUAAUUAAAGAGAAACAAGCGAUUAAGCUGAAUUUUUAGGUGAAAAUCUUAAAAUAUGCUUAGAAUUCAACUUGCUCCUUUAUUUUUUUUGGAUGUUUUUGGCCUGUACAUAAUUUUACAGCAGGCUGUAAGACUGUAACCUACCUGUUGCUGAUUUUGUUGUCUUGAGAGGGAUGAGGAACCUGAAUGUGUUAAAUUUUAUCCAUUUUCAGCCAGAUUUUCUGAUACAAAUAUUGAAAGUAAAUUGCAGAUGUAUGAUGCUUCGACGAAGACAUGGACCACAGAGGGAGAAGAGCAGGAGGCGGCUAAGAAGGAGUUCUUUGAAGCUCUGAAGACCUUGGAAGGGCAGCUUGGAGACAAGCCUUUCUUCGGAGGAGACAAUUUUGGGUAUUUGGAUUUGAGUUUGAUCCCAUUCUAUUACACAUAUGAGACAUUUGGAAAGUCCAGCAUUGAGGCUGAGUGCCCCAAGUUCAAAGCUUGGGUGAAGAGAUGCUUGCAGAGGGAGACUAUUGCCAAGGCACUUCCUGAUGAGAAGAAAGUGCUUGAACAUGCUUCAGGGAUGAGGAAAAAUUUAGUAUUGGAGUAGAGAGAAAAAGGGACAUAUCUAGGAGCUGAGAAUAGGUCAAGUAGCGCAACCGUGCUGCCUGCUUAUUCUUUAGGUGGUUGAUGUUGGUUUGGCUUAUGAUAGUUGUUUUCCUAUUGUGUGUUUGUAUCCAGAUUUGUUGUGUUUCCCUUGUAAAAUAAGCUCCAAUAAAGGAUAAUUAAUUUUGUCCCCGACUGUUAUCUUAGAGUAUUGUAAUCACAAAGAUCACAACGUUGAUAAUUAUUAUAUAAAUGUUAUCACGUGCAGAAAUUGAUUGGACAUUAGAGAAAAUUAUUUGGAUAGUUCAUAUAAUUAUUUUGGUUAGCAGUUAUUAUUUUUCAGCCAAACCUUUCUAUCACAUUAUUUUCCACAAAUUUAUUUCUACGAAGUGUUCUUUGGCUAAUCUUAGGGGGUUGAUGUACUUGGCUUACUUGUAUUCAUAUGAUGUGACUAUUUGUAUUGGGUUGAGUUUCUCUUCCUCGAAGAUGCUUUUGUCAUUUUCCCUUCUAGAUAAACUGCAAUAAAGGACAAUUGAUUUUGGGAGCUGGCUAAGUUACAGAUUCUGUAACAUACAGAUCCAACUUCGCCAGCUCCUGAUUGGUUAGCUGGCUACCAAACAAAAACAAUUGCAUUUUUUUUUCCAUAUGCAGGACAGGUGUGGUGCAUGCAUUGGGUGUGUAUGUUACAGAAUCUCUAAGGUAGACAGGUCCUUGAUUUUGUCCAAUGUCCUUACCACCGCAUCUUGUUUUUCUUGAUCCUUUCGUGUUCGGUGAGCGGAAAGUUACUGACCUAAGAGAAAGAGCAUGAUUCCCGUGAAAAGUUCAAUGAACCCCAUGAAAAGUUCAAAUAUAUUAAGAAGUUUGGCGAAUAAAAGAAAAGAGUUUGUUCAAGUACGCUAAUAAAUUAGUGUGUUCGUUCUCUCUCUUUUUAGUUCUCUCUUUUUUUUGCUUUAUGUAAUCGUCCAAUGUCCCCGAUAUUAAAUUGUAUUUAUUCUUUUUAUAUUUGUGGAAGACAUGUUUACUCUUCAAUUAACAAUUCUAUAAAGUCGCUCUCAGCCAAAUCUUUUAUCGUAUAUGUUGUAGACAAUUUCUAAGAUUUUCUUUGGUAUCAUGGGAGAGGUAGUGAAUUAAAGUUUGUUUUGAAUUGUCCACCUCCUAAUCAAAAAAUAAUAAUAUCAUAAAAUUUCUGACAAAAAUCUUCUCCUGCUGCAUUUUUUUUUAAUGGCUUUCUUUUUUGGCUUUUUUAUUUUGUGAGAUUAUUUGUCGUUUUAUUUAUUUGGUGUGCUUGAUUAGUUUAUUCAUAAUUAUUAAAUGGGUAGUGUAUUAUCGUAAAAAUAAACAUAAAAUCUAAAUUUUUAACUAAUAUGUGAGAACUGAAAUGUGUUUAUGAUAUUGAUGCUAACAAAAAAAUAAAAAUAAAAUCUACUUUGAAUCUAACAAAAAAAAAAAGAUUUCCAACUGAUGUAAACGGAGAAACUAAACUUGAAUCCAUUCUCACAGUGUUUAAUUUUUAUCAAAAUUUGUAUGCUGAGAAUUCGGAUUCUACACCGGUCUUUCCAUUGGUAAUGUUAUCACGAAGCUAGUCCUGAAGAUAAUGAAAUGCCAACUAUUGUUCCUAAUGUGUCUGGAAAAAGGAUGGGUUUUUUUGGUUUAGAUGCCUCUAGUGCCCCAAGUCUCAAAUGGUUUUCCUGGCUUAUUUUUCCAUUGGUUUUGGGAUAUUAUUGAGAAUGAUCUUAUUUAGUAUAUUCAUUCAUUUUAAAGCAGGGCGUGAUCCUCCUGAACUUUGUGGCUUUGAUUCAGAGAUUGCACGGAGCCACUGAGGUUGGUCAAUUUCGUCCCAUUGUUGUUGUCAACUUCCUUUUCAAAAUCAUUCAUAAAAUAUUGGCCGACAGAUUAAGCCUGAUUAUGUCAAACCUGGCCUCUCCUCAGCGAGUUGCCUUUGUAAAAGGUAGACACAUUCAAUGUAGUACAUGUAUGGUUCUGGAAGAUAUUAUCCUUUUGGAUCGAAAAUCUUUUGGUAGAAAUUUGGGCCUAAAUAUUGAUACGCCAAGGCUUUAGGUACUCUCCAAUGGGAAUUUCUUCUACGGGCUCUGACUCAGUUUGGCUUUCACUCGACUUUUAUUGGUUAUCUAUCUUGAUUAAUGGAUCUGUCCAGCGGUUCUCUUCUUGUAGUAGGGGUGUCCGCCGUGGUGAUCCGCUUUCCCGUUGCAAAUGUGAUUUAUUUUAGGAAAAUUUUAAUUCCAUCCUCAAAAUCAUACAAUACAAGAACUUACAAUCAUUUUAAACCAAUCCACAUUCGAUUUGGAUCAUGUGGAUCUUGGGUCAGAUCCAAUCUAUUGCCAUCCCUAUGUUCAAUAAGGUGGAAUGAGAAAUGCGAGUCCUAACAAAAGGUUGGGAUUCAAACCUUUAAAUAAAGCCGUGUGACGAUAGGGUUGAUGUUAAAUUAUAAGUUUCUUUUCGACAUUAUCAUUUUAUUCCUUAAUUAUUUUUCUAAAUUAUUCUACAACCAACGUUUUUUAAUAAUUAUUUUUAAUAUCUAAUGUUUUAGUUUUUAUUAUUUUACGACUAAAUGAUUAAUGUUACUAAGAAAUUGCCGAUGUUAUAAGGAUAUCUUAAGAAAUUUGUUCCAGCAUUCAAGGUUCUUUAUUUUUUGGGCAAGUUUUGUACUUGGGCUUUUGGGGUGGGGGUGUAAGGAAAAUUACCAACUUGACCUUUAGUCCUAGUGUUAUUUUUGAUUAUUUAGUAAAAUUCUUUUUUUGGAGGAGAGCGAUGGAUUGUUAGUGUGGCUGAUUUGGAAUGGAGGUCAUUGUUAGGUUUCAUUUGUAUAUUUGUUGGAAUCUGGUAUAUCUUAACCAAGAUUUUUGCAUGGGCUCGUCGUGCACUUGUAGGGUUUAAGGAGGCUGACUUAUCUUAUAGUUUAGGUGCUUUGUCUGUUUUUGGUUUCAUUGCUUGUUGCUUUGUCUGGUUUAAUAAUACUGCUUAUCCUAGUGAGUUUUAUGGUCCAACUGGGCCAGAAGCUUCUCAAGCUAAAGCAUUUACUUUUCUGGUUGGAGACCAAUGUCCUGGGGCUAAUGUGGGAUCCUUGAGUCAAAACUACUAUAAUAUUUAUAUUUAAAAUAAUUAAUUGAUAAAAGUGUUAUUUCUUUGUAUAUAAUUAAUUUUAUAUUUUUUAAAUUCAGAGGUAAAUUUGUACCUACACAUUUUAGGGAAAAUAAACUUUUACCGUAACUUUUAAGGAAAAGGAUAUGUGCACUCUUAAAACUUGGAAAAAAGGGUCAUUACACCCCCAAGUCUCAAAAAAGGGGCACCAAGACCUUCUUUUGACUAUAAUAUCGUUUAUCUCUAUUAUCACGAAAAAAUGAACUCUAAUGUAUUAUAACAACAUUAAAUAAAAUAUGAUAAUAUAUACAUUUUAAAAUAUUUUCAAUAUUUACAAAUAUUUUAAUAUUUUAUAGUCUAUUAGAUAUUAUGUAAAAUAAUAAUUUUAGCAUUAUUAGUAUGUGACUUUCUUUUUAAUUGCAAAAUGUAGCGUAAUGUAAAUGUUUAUUUAAAAUCCUACAAUAAAUAGAAAUAUAUUACUAAAAUAAAUAUAAUAAUUUACAUAUUUAAAUUUAUUAAAAUAUUUUAAUAUUGUUAGUCUACUGCAUAAAUUACAUUAUUUAUAUAAUAUUCAUAUUUAUAAAAAAAAAUUAAAGUCAAUUUUUUUGGAUAAUAAAGAUAAAGUGCAUAAUGGUUAAAUGGUGGUCUUGGUAUCUCAUUUUAAAUACUUGGGGUCUUGUUGACCAUUUCCUCAAAUUUUAGAGUAUAAAUGUUUUUUUUUCUUAAUUUCUAUUAAAAAUCCUGCUUUUUUUUUAUUGAUGGUAAAAUGAAAGAAAUUAAAAUUUUAAGUUAAGAAAAGCAAUUGGCAAUAAAUUUUAGUGAUAAAGUGAUAUGUUUGGAAAGAUUUUGUGCUAAUAUAUAUAUAUAUAUAUAUAUAACCGUAAGGUAGAUUGCUCUUUUGACACAAAUACAAGGUUAUUUGAGUAGUUGAGAUUUCACACAUAUUGCGUAUAAAAUAUUCUACUUAAUUACCUUCUGGUUUCCACAAAAAAAAAUAAUAAAUAAAUAAGAAAAUAUAAUGGAAAUAUGACAUUGAAAAUCUGAAAUGAAAUCAAAUCUCUUUCCGUAGCUGAUGGCUAAAUUGGUGGUGUCUAAAACAGUCCAAUAACUAGAUCAAAUGAGCUAUAGUUUCCCCAAAGAAUUUUCUAUAUGAUCAUUAGAACUCUAACCAUUAUCAUAAAUUUGAUUAUCAUUUAGCCCUCCGAAGAUUUAGCGCUUUUAUUUUUUAUUUUUUUUGUCCUAAGGUCUAGCUCAACCAAACAUAAAAUUGUUGGUUUUGAUUAAAAAAAUGAAGACAAUAUUAUUACAAGAAAGCUUUCUAAUAUUUUCUUCUUGGUUUUGAGAACCACAAAAAAAAGAAAAAAAUAAAAAAUAAAAAAGAGAAAACUGGUUCGAAACUGUUAAAAUAUCUUGUUCUCACAAGGAGGAUUCCUUCUCCCUCGACAACAAUGCCAUAUUAUUUUUAUAUAAAAUUUUUUUUAUAAUUAAUUAAUUAAUAAGCCUAGCAAAACACUAAUAAUUGCACUUCAACUCAAUUUGUCUAAAUUUUGAAUAAAUGUGAACAUGAAUUCUUUUUAACAGCAACAUAAAAAAUCUCAAAAAAAUUAUUUUUAUGCAUUCAUCUUUCUAAGGUCCCACCCAUUAAGGACUGUCGGCUAUGGCAGCCUAAAUACUAUUUGUGAAUAUAAAGUUCAAAUAAAACAGAAAAUGUGUCAUUUAUUUUGAUUAUGUAGAUUUAAUUUCAGUACUAAUAAAGUAGAAAAUAAAUAAGUUAGAUUAUUUGAAACUAAUUUUUAAAUGUACCAAAAUUCCUCAAAUACCAAUUAUUAUUAUUAUUUUUUUACAAUAAUAUAAUUAGAAAUCUACCUAGAUUAACGUAAUGUCUUAUUUGUUUAAGCUGUUCGGCAGCUGGGCUGCCAGCUGCCAAGCAUUUGAUAAAAACUUAGAUUUGGCAUGCAGCUAUUUUUGUUGAAUUAACUAAUUAAAUUCUCAUUAAUUGUUUAAUUUGAUUAUGUAAAAGCACAUGUUUUGAACAAUUGGACCUUUUUUUAUAAGGAAAAAUAAUUAAAUUAAAAUUAUGUUCAAUAUCUCGGUCAAUUAAUAAUGAUCCAGGUAUUUAUAUGAAUAAAGGAUUAAAUAUUUCUAGAAAAAUGAAAAAACGACAACACAAAUUAGCUGUCACCGGGACCAGGUAUUGUUCGUAGCACACACGGCAUCUCAAAUAUUGUUCAAAUCUAAAAACGACCUGCAGCAAACUGAACGCUAUAAAAUACACACUCUCAUAAAACCUGACUUUUCGAUAUUCAUCGUUUCAUUUAUUCACUCACUCGCCCUUAAUUCUCAGUAAGGUUCUGUGACAAUGGCGGACGAAGUGAUUCUAUUGGAUUUCUGGGCCAGUAUGUUUGGGAUAAGGGUCAGGAUUGCUCUGGCAGAGAAAGGCGUCAAGUAUGAGUACAAAGAACAGGACUUGUUCAACAAGAGCCCGCUGCUUCUGCGGAUGAAUCCCGUCCACAAGAAGAUCCCGGUUCUUAUCCAUAAUGGCAAAUCGGUCUGUGAGUCAUCCAUCAUUGUUCAGUACAUUGAUGAAGUCUGGAAGGACAAGGCUCCAUUGCUUCCCUACGAUCCUUACCAAAGAGCUCAAGCGAGGUUCUGGGUCGAUUUUAUUGACAAGAAGGUAACUUGUUGAUUUUCUGAUAGAUGUUUAUGAGAAUUCUGUUUCUCUUUCAGAUCUAAUUGGUCUCUUAACUAAACUAAAGUAAUUAGCUUGCAAAGAAGCUGAAACUUUCAGAUUAAAAUAAUCAAUUUCAAGAUGAGAAUUCUGUUUCUCUUUCAGAUCUAAUUGAUCUCUUAACCAAGCUAAAGUAAUUAACUUAUAUAGAAGCUGAAACUUUCAGAUUAAACUAAAGUAAUUAACUUAAUGUUUAUGAGAAUUCUGUUCUGGGUUCUUUUUUUUUAUUACCAAAAAAAAAAAAAAGAUCCAUAUUGUUGAUGCAAGCUGUGGCAUAAUCACGAUUUUGAUUCGACGGGGCUAUAAUACAAAUAUCAUAAACUUGAGUAGACUAUGAUGUAAAUUCAGAAAAAAAUGUGAAGGCCAAUGAUGAGGAGCAAUGAAUUAUGAUCAAAAUGGAGAAGUCAUGAACUUGAGUUUAUCAUAAAAUAUGCAUACUACUAAGAAAACUUAAAUUCAGUCCUUUAUUUUGGCUCUGUAAGACUUGCACCCCUCGGCUGCUGAUAUUGUUGUCUUGAGAUGGAUGCUAAAAGUGCUAAAUUUUGUAUAUUACAAAUAAACUUUUUGAUACAUUAUUAAAAGUAAAUUGCAGAUGUACGAUACUUCGAGGAAGACAUGGGCCACAAAGGGAGAAGAGCAGGAGGCAGCAAAGAAGGAGUUCAUCGAAGUUCUGAAGACCUUGGAAGGGGAGCUUGGAGACAAGCCUUUUUUCGGAGGAGACAACUUUGGGUAUGUGGAUUUGUGUUUGAUCCCGUACUAUUGUUGGUUUUAUUCGUAUGAGACAUUUGGAAAGUUCAGCGUUGAGGCUGAGUGCCCCAAAUUCAUUGCUUGGGUGAAGAGAUGCUUGCAGAGAGAGACUGUUGCCAAGGCACUUCCUGAUGAGAAAAAAGUGUUUGAAUUUGUUUCAGUGUUGAGGGAAAAAAUUAGAGUUGAGUAAAGGGAUAUAGCUAGACGAUGAGAGAAGUCAAAGCAGCACAAUCGUGCUGCCUGCUAUUUUCAGGUGGUUGAUGACUUAAAUGUUGGGUUCCGCUUAUAAUACUUGUAUUUGUAUCGUGCAGGUUUGUUGUAGCGAGUUUAGUUGUAUCUCUCCUUGCAUCUCUCCUUGCGACAGAUGCUUUGUCAUUUUCCCUUCAAAAUAAACUAGGACAAUGAAUUUUGUCUAUUACUAUUUUGUUUUUCUCUUGGGAAUAUUCUGUGGCGUCAAUCUACCAUGCUUUAUGAGUUAAAAUCAUUUCUCUUCCAUUAUUUUUUAUUCAAUUGUGAAGUCUCAUGACUAAUUUACCCUUCGGUAUGGAUGUCAUGUACCAUUAAUAUGUUAAAAUCAAAUAGGGCAUGAAGACUUUUGCAAAAUUAUGAAGACUUUUUUGAUGCAAGACUUCUUUUUUUUUUUUGGAAGAAAUUAAAGAGUCUUUCAAAUCAGUGGCUGAAAUUAUUGACAUGUAUUUGGAGGUGGCCGAAAUUGUUGAAAUGCAAUUAAAGGGUUAGGUGCAAUAGUGAUAGUGCAAGCUUGAAGGUAUUUUUUUAUUUCAUUUCAUCUCAAAUUUUGAGAAAAAUAAUUCAAGUGAAGAAUUGUUGAAAGUGAAUAAUUAAAAUACUUUUUCUAUUUUAGCGAGUGUGAGAGUACUCGAUGUAUUUAAGGUAUGAGAAGUGACAUUUUUUUACUCAAAUAUUGUAUUUAAAUAAUUAUUAGUAAUACAAUUAUUUUCUCUUGCUCGCAUAGAUGUAGGCAUAAUUGCCGAAUCAAAGUUAAAUUCCUGUCUUUUUAUUUUUCUAUGAUUAUUUGGUGCGUUUGAUUCUACAUUUUACACACAACAAGUGGUAUUAGAGUCAACAGUUCGUACUUAGUGUAGAUGGUACUAUUUACACAUAUGGUACUGUUCGUGUAUACAAUAUUAUUUACAUAUAUGGUACUAUUCUCAAAUAUGUUGGAGCCAACAGAUCAUACUUGUGAAAUGGUUUGGAUUUGUGCAUGCUUAGGAGAGUUCUAUCAUAAAGACAAUAAGAAUUUAAGGAGUCUUGGUUUCAAGUAGGACCGGUUUGACCCCUCUAGUCUUUUAUGAGAACUUUUGUAAUGUAUUUUUUUCAUACAUAUUGAUCUCUCCGGUAGAAAUAGUUUAUUGAGAAAAUAUUAUAAGGUGAAACUUCUAGAAGUACAGAGAUAUCUGUCCAGACUAUUCUAGGAGACACUUCAGCUGGGAGGUGAGACUUAUAACAUUAUCAUUCAGCAUCGGUUAUAAGACGCUUAAAGAUCGAUGUUGAAAAGUUUAAUGGGAAAAUCAACUUCAACAUAUGGAGGCGCAAAGUUAUGGAUGCCAUUAUUCAAGACGAUCUCAACGUUACUCUAAAAAAUAAAAGACACUUGUAUAACGAAGAAACUUGAGAUUGUGUGAAUGAGAAAGUCAGUGGUCAAAUUAGAUCUUACUUGACUAAGGAGGUGAAAUAUUUGGUGAAAGAUGAGGAGUGUACAAUGACCUUAUGACAUACAUUAGAGGAGUAGUAUUUGCCGAAAGGCCCUGAAAAUCACCUUCAUGCAACAAGCCAGGUAUAUAGCUUUUGAAUGAAGUCCAAUGUGUCAAUGCAUGACCAUGUCUCAAAAUUUGAAAAGCUACUUAUAAAUUUGAGAAAUUUUGAUAAAAAUAUUAAUGAUGAAGUCAAGGCUAUAAUUUUACUGCACUCACUUUGAGAAGAAUAUAGUCAUUUUAGGACUACCUUAUUUUAUGAUUAAAGUAUAAUCAUUUUUAAAGAUGUCUGCAUAACAUUGACUAAUUUGAAAAUUCAAAAUAAUGACAAAUAUUCCAAAAGAGCAUCAUCUGAAGCCUUGUCAAUCGGAGAAAGGGCGAUGGGAAAAAAGAAGAAACGGGUAUAAAGAAUUCUUGGUCCAUAUUGAGAAGCAAAAAUGUUGCUCGAGAUAAGUGUCUCUUUUAUCCUGAAAGAGGCCAUUGGAGGAAAGAUUGUUUGAAAACUUAGAAGAUAGAUGAGAAGAAACCAAUAACAGUAAAUAUGGCACGUAAAGAUGAAGACUCUGACUAUUCACUAAGUAUUACGCCUACAACAUAUGUGGCUAAUUCAAGUGAGUGAAUACUUGAUACUGGAGCAACUAAUCAUUUGUGUCUCAUGAGGGAAUGAUUUAAGGAUUUUCAUAAUUUGAAAUUUGUGCAGUUAUGUUGAGGAAUAAUCAACUUUAUCGAACGAUAGGGAUAGGAAAAAAUUAACUCAAGAUGUUCGAUAAAAUAAUUAGAGAAUUGAAAGACGUUAUAUUCCAGUCUUAAAGAAAAAUCUAAUUUCUGUAGGUGCUUUAGAAGCUAAAAACUGCAAGGUUACCAUUGAAGCUGACACAAUGAAGUUCACAUAUGGGGCUAUAGUGAUUCUACAAAGGGUUCAAUAUCACAAUUUUUACUAUUUGAAAGAAGAUACAACUGAUGAAGCUAAUGUUUCUGAGGCGUAUAAUGACACCACUAAGCUAUGGCCUUUACGAUUGGGAUAUACUGGAGAAAACUCUCUAUAAACUCUGAUGAAGCAUGGGCUUUUAAAUUGUACCAACACCUGUAAAAUGAAGUUCUAUGAACAUUGUAUUAUAGGCAAGAAAAAAAAGGUCAAGUUUGAUAUGGCUAAUCAUGAUAUUCAUGAGGUUCUUAAAUAUGUUUAUAGCGAUUAUGAGGGUCCAACCAAGACUACAUCAUUUAGUGAAAGCCAUUAUUUUGUUUCAUUUGUUGAUGAUUUCUCUAAACGUGUAUGGGUGUACAUCAUGCGAGCAAAGAAUGAGGUUCUAGAGAUUUUCGUGAAAUUGAAGAAAUUGGCAGAGACUCAAGCUGGUAGAAAGAUCAUAGUACUACGAUAUGAUAAUAUGGGUGAAUAUACUUAUGAUUUGUUCUUGCAAGUAUGCCAGAGUGGGGGUAUACAAAGACAUUUCAUAAUGAGACAUAUUCUACAACAAAAUAGUGUAGCUGAACAUAGGAAUCGUACUUUGUUGUAGAAAGUAUAAUGUAUGUUAUCUAAUGUUAGUUUAAAUAAAAAUUUGUGGGUUGAGGCUAUAAGCUAUACAAGUCAUUUAAUAAAUUGAUUGCCUUCUGCUGCAAUUGGAGGAAAAAAUUUUAACGAAAAUGUGGUCUGCAAAGCAUGCACAAGAUUAUAACUCCAUUCAUGUAUUUGGGUGUUUAGUUUAUUAUCAUGCAAAGAAUGAUAUCCCCAACACCUUCAAUGAAACUAGAUAUAGUAGUGAAAGUGGUGAAAAGUUAGCUAUAGAAGAAGAAAUGAAGUCUCUUCAUCAAAAUCAGACUUAAGAAUUUAUAAAGUUACCUAAGGGGAAAAUGUUUAUUAGCAAUAAAUGGGUCUACACUAAGAAGCAAAGUUUUCUAAAUCAAACAACUCUUCGAUACGAAGAAAAGCUCAUAUCAAAAGAUUUUGCUUAUAAAGAAAGUAUUAACUACAAUGAAGUAUUCUCUCUAAUUAUAAAACAUGCUUUCAUUUUUAUCCUACUUGCCUUUGUAGUUGAAUAUGAGUUGGAAUUAACUCAAUUGGAUGUUAAGACAGUAUUCUUACAUGAAGAUUUAAAGAAAGAAAUCCAUACGAGUCAACCUUGUGGUUUCAAAGUUGCUAGGAAGGAGCAUGCGCGUAUAUUGAUUAAAUCUUUGUACAUAUUAAAACAAUUAUCAAGGCAGUAACACAAGAGAUUUGACUAGUUCAUAAAAGGGUAAAAAUUCACCAAAAGUCAACACGAUCACUAUGUUUACUUUAUAAGACUACAAGAUGGAAGUUUUAUCUAUCUAUUACUUUAUAUUAAUGAUAUGCUUAUAGCUUUAAAGAAUAGAGGUGAGAUUGAAAAAUUAAAAAAGCAGCUAGCUUCUAAGUUUAAGAUGAAAGAAUUGGGUGAUGCAUAGAGAAUACUUGGGAUAGAGAUUAAUAUAGACCAAAAGAGUGGGAGUGUGUGGUUGAUUCAAAAGUCUUAUUUGAAAAAAGGUGCUAGAAAGGUUUUGUAAGAAUGAUAAAACUAAACCAAUUUGUACUUUUCAAAAGGAGUGCAACUACAUGGCUCGUGCUCCAUAUGCUACUGCUAUGGGUAGUCUUAUGUAUGCUAUGUUGUGUAUAAGGUCUGAUAUAUCUUAAGCUGUGAGUAUGAUUAGCUGAUACAUGCACAAUACAGGAAAAAACCAUUAGCUUGCGAUGAAAUAGAUUUUCCAAUAUCUGUAUGGGAUAGUUCAUGUUGGAUUAUUAUUCAAGAAAGAUUGUGAUUAACAAUGUGUUGGAUAUUGUGAUUAUGAUUUUAUCAAAGACCUUGACAAGCAAAGAUUAACAACAUGCUAUAUGGAGGUUUGAUUAAGUGGAGGUUGAUUCUAUAAUGGAAAAUUAUUAUUUCCACUAUGGAAGCGGAGUACAUGGUAGCAACAAAGAUUAUAAAGGAAGUUAUUUGGUUGAAAGGUUUAUUAAUUGAUUUGGGAGUAAUCCAAUAGAACAUUGAGGUCUUCUGUGAUAACCAAAGCGCGAUAUUUCUGGCGAAGAACCAAACAUAUCAUGCUCGAACAAAACACAUAGAUGUGAAGUAUAAUUAUGUGAGGGAGGUUAUCGAGAGUGUUGUUGUGUUGUUGAAAAGAUCAAUACCAAAUAUAACCCAUCAGAUAUGUCGGCAAAAGUGAUUUAUGGAGUUAAGUUUUAACAUCGCUUCAAACUAAUUUAAAUCCUUCGAAUGUGUUGAGUUUGGAAAUUUUUUUUAAUAAAGGUUGACUUGACCCUAGAUUUUGGGUACGUAGGCAGGAAAAAGGAAAAAAUGUGACAGAAUGGUGACGGAAACAAUGACAAAAUGCCGGUUUACUCAAUUGGCAGGAAAAAGGGAUACUUUCCUGUGAGCCCGCCAAAGAUUUAAAUAAUAAUUGUAAAUACUUUCCUGUGAGCCCGCCAAAGAUGACCAAGACUAAAACAAUUUAAUAACCCUCCAAUUACUAAACACUGAACCUUCAGUCCAGCCUUGAACGACAAGGAUCUUUUGCUUAAAGAAUUCUAAUCUAUUUUUUCUUAAAGACUAAAAUGAAUUAAAAUAUUUAGUUAGCGUAAGAAUACGUUUGAUUUAUUUUCUAUUUCAAUAUGAAAGACCAAAUGAAGUGAACCCAAAAUAUUUAUACAUAAUAAAAGAUCAAGACUAAAACAAAACGUCACUAUAAAUGCACACUAAAUACCCUUAAUUCAUCUUUCAUCAACUUCAUGGCCUCUUAAAUUUGAUAUUUUCGGGUUAAUUAAUUUAGCUGCAAGCUUUUGCUACGAUGGCGGACGAGGUGAUUCUGCUGGAUUCUUGGCCCAGCAUGUUUGGGAUUAGAGUCAGGAUUGCACUAGCAGAGAAAGGGGUAGAGUAUGAGUUCAGAGAUGAGGACUUGGUUAAUAAGACCCCUAUGCUUCUGCAGAUGAACCCGAUUCACAAGAAGAUUCCGGUUCUCAUCCAUAAUGCAAUUUGAGGCUCCAAACAAAUGUGCGGAUGUCAAAUUUAGAUUCUGAAAGUCCGAGAAAUUAUGUCAUUGUCGAGAAGGAUUCGAGACUUUUGUUGUAAAUUUUUAAGUUUUUACCACGGUAAAUGUGGUAAUUAUAAAAUUAUAAGUUUUUAUCAUAUUAGGUAUGGUAAUUGUGAGUGGAAUGUGUUGGAUAUACUUGAGUGGAUUAAGUUAAGUUUAUACUUUAUUAGUGUGACAAAUGUAAGGCUAAGAUAUAAUUAGAUUUAUUUAUUUGUGUGGUAUGAAUUUACCAUGUAUUAGUAUACAUAGAGAGGGUGGGGAACACACCUCUUCACACAUUCUCUUCUCUUCUUUCCCCCCAAAUUAUUCUUCUCAUCUCUCUUUGUAAUAUAUUUUCAAUAAAUAAAAUUAGUUUUAUUUCAAUUUUCAAAUUCCAUUUUUUUAAUUAUGUGUUUUUCAAUUUUAAUAAUUUCCUUUAUUUCAAAAAUAUUUAGCUAAAUAUUCAUAGUUAGGGGAAGGCGGAACUCUUAGUAAAAAAAUAUGAUUUAAUUAAAUUCUAUUUUUAAUUGUACAAAUUGAAUUAUUUUCUAUUUAAUUUUACCCAUAUUUUAUAUUUUGAAAUUUUGAUUUAUUGUACACAAACAUGGGAGUUUGGCAUAAUGAAUUCUUAAUAUCUUAGUAUAAUAUAUGGAAAAAAUGGUAUUUUGACUUAUUGUAGACAAAUUGAGUUUUGGCACAUUAAGUUCUUAAUCUAUAAUAAAACUAAUGGGAAACUUAUUUUAAUUUAUACAAUUAAUCUUUUGAGAAAUAAAAUAAAAAUAAAAAGAAUUUGUAAAAUUGUAUUUAUUACUAAAAGUGGAUCCAUAACACUAACUAAUUCAAUUUCAUAGUUUUUCUUAAAUUAAAUUGCAUAUUUUUAAUUUUUAAUUUAAUGUUUUUGAUAAACUUAAAUAAAAAAAAAUUAAAUCAUUUAUUUGUGAAUCGACAUCGGACUCACCGAGUUAUAAUAUAAUAAGACACUCUUAUAUUUGGGAGUUAGAAAUUACCUUAAAGUCGUGUCAAGUUUUUAGUGUCGUUGCCGAUGAGAGGUAUUUAUUUUGUUUUUUUUCUUUUUCUUUUUUAACUUUUUGUGUAAAUUUUCUUUUACCCCCUUUUUCUUUUCUUAAAUUUUGUUCAAUCCUCAACUCUUUCAUAAUUUCAGUUGUACCACAAAAAGUUUCUGGCUCAUUCUUCUCAUAAUUACGGUUGGACCACCAAAUCACAAAACAUUUUCGAAUAUGUCCCUUGCCAAAAUUUCCCAUAAACCUCAAAUUCGGACAUAUAACUUGAACUUUCUUGGACCAAAAUUUGAUUUCUUUGGACCUAAUUUGGACUCAAUAAAAGGAAUUUGACUUUAAAAAUUACAAGGCCCAUUAAUUUGAACUAAUCACUACUUGGUUGGUAAUUUUUAAAAUUUGAAAAAAGAAAAGAAAAAGAGCCUACACUUUAAUUAUUUCUUUUCUUUUUUUUCUUUUAUUUAUUUCUGCAAUUUAAUUUUUGCAUUUAUUUUAUUUUUGGCUUUUACUUUGUUUAUAUGUUUGGUUUAUUGCCUAUUUAGUUAUUUUAAUUUUAGUUAAUUAAUUUUUUGUUUAUUUUUUUGUACAUUUAUCUUAUUUAUUUAAUUUUUCUUUUGUCUUUAAUUUGUGUAAUUUUUCAUUUUUUAUUUGUUAUUCAUUUGUUCGUGUAUCAACUUUACAACAUAAUUUUAUACUUACACAUCAUCAUCAUUGCAUGAAACAUUGGUCUCGAACUUCAAGUGGUAGGUUAAUUCGUAGAUCUCAAUCACCACCACCAAUCAUGGACGAGAUCCAAGAUGAAAAUAUUUUAGGCCAAUUUAAUCCUCCAGUUGAUCAGGGAGACAACUAAUCUCAACAUGAUCAGAAUCAACUAAGAACUUUGAGAGAUUACAUGAAUCCAAUGAGAACCGGAGCACCGUCGCGUAUAAUAUUUUCUCUAGAAGCGUCUCGAUUCAACUUCAAACCAUGUAUUAUCCAACUUUUACCAACAUUUCAUGGUUUCGAAUAUGAGAAUCCAUAUUUGCAUCUAAGAGAUUUUGAGCAUCUAAGAUAUUUUGAGGAAGUUUGUAAUAUAUACACAGACCAAAAUUGUAGCAUGAACAAUUUUGGGGUAAAUUGAAAAUGAGAACAGUGCUAAGCAAUCUCUCAGGUGCUAACAAAAGCUUCGAGUCCUUUGCAUUUAAAAAUUCUUUGUUAACUCUUGCAUUUAAUUUGUCAUCUAUGCCAAUGUUCCUCUUCCAAGUCAAUACAACAAAACACAAGUGUUAGUUUACAACCCUAUUCUUACCUCAACCUGAAUAAAACUUUCUUUACGUGGUCUAUUAAAUUGAGUAGGAACUUUAGACCAACUCUUUUUUAAUUCUACGUCCUUACCCUAAUUUCCGCCCACCACAAAGUGUUUACUUUUCAAACCCCUACAUGAGCUCGAAAAGUUGAGCAUUACUCUUCUACCUUUUGAUUUGGACAAAAGAGUAUUAUCUUUUAUGACAUACCCCAUGUUUACUAUAUAGAUACAAGUGCGUGAGUUCCUUAAAACAAGGUUCAAUAUUGUUCUACUCGGCCCACAAAACAUACAUAUCACUAAAAACCCUCCAGCCAUUUAAAUUAAGUUGACCGUGACUCAAACCCUUUAACAAAAUUCGAGCAAAAUAAGGUUGAAUUGGCAACCUGAAACCAAGUUUACUCAUCUCUAUGUAUACCGCAAUUUCUCCAUCACCUAAUCCACUAGCUAUCUCAUCUUCCCUCAAUAACCUAAGUGUAAUAUCAUUUGGAAUCUGGACUCGUCUUUAAUCUCUUCAAUUGUUGUAUCAAAUUUCAAUUCUUCAUGCUGUAUUACUCAUGUUCAUCUCCGUUAUUUUUAAGCAACAUAUCAUCGGAUUUGUCAUCGGCCUGCCUGUGUAGAUCAUUCCCCACAAUUACAUUUUCAUUUAUUGUUUUCUUGGACUCACUCUCCGCCACACUGUAAUUUGAUUCUAGUUCAUUAUCUCCUCUGAUUUCUUGAUUAUUGUUCAUUCCCGAUUCAAUAUCACUUAACCCAUUUAACGAAUUUCUAACUGCAUUUUACAAAUUCUCAAAGCAAAUUAUUGUUGCCUCUAAACUCCAUUACUGCCUAAACCUUAACACACUUAAAACCUUAACUUUCUAUUCAAUACCAAUACACAGUACAUCAACAAAGCAAAAUGAUAGCAACCUCCAACUAGACACCAUGUUACUUUAUUCAUCAGUGACUGGAUAGAACAAAGUAGGACAAUUCUAAAACCUAGCAAAAUUUAUAUUAAAAAAUGUGAUAACGCAACAAGCAAAUGGUGCUUAAGACAAGUCACCAGAUUUUCACAAACCCAAACAAAUUCAAGUUUCUUUUUUUUUUUUUAAAGAAAAAGAGCUGACCCAAGCGCACUCGGAACCUAUUGCCAUUCAACUGACUAUAAGUACAACUUGAAACCUAUGUUAGCGACUAAGUUUAUAAGUACAAGCUCAAGUCUAUAUUGGUGACCUAGUUUAUAAGUACAACCUCAGGCCUAUAUUGGCGACAUGGUCUGUAAGUACAACCCUAAACCUAUAUUGACGACCUGGUUUAUAAGUACAACCAUAAGCCUAUAUUAGUAACCUAGUAUGUAAAUAUAACUUGAAGCUUAUGUCGCCAACCUGGUUAUUAGUACAACCUAAAGUUGUUGGACUUGAAAAUUUGUUUGAUAAAUGUGGCUUAUUUUUUAGGAAAGUUAUGUGCCACUACCUUUUCAAGCACCCUCAAUUGAUAGACAACUACCGGUAAUUGUUGGAGAGUGUGCUGAAAUCGAGGAGGUAACCACCCACAAUCCAGGUCCUAUUUAAGCUAAAGAGAGCAUUAGAUGAAGAAUUCAACUAACUCUACAAGUUAUCAACCUUUCAACCAUUCUACUUACUACAUGAUCUUCAACAACAACACCAAAAAUCCAUGGAAUUCCAACAUUAUCUCUAAUUUUUCCAACCCAUUUUCCCUUCUUAUAUGGCAAAUAUCUAACUUAGAUAUUGGAGGAUCUAUGCCCGAAUCCCCUCCAUUGCAUCCUAACCAUGUUUUGUGGUUGGCAGAUUUGAAACGUUGUGAUCGAAUUGACAUUUGAGGUUGGGUUCGUUCUGUUAUCCUCCAUAAAAUAAAUUCAGUUGUUGAGGUUUUUUUUUUUUUAGCAUCAACAACAUCACUCUUUUCUUUAUCCUUCCCCUUAAUUUUUGCCCAACCAUUAAUGAUUGCUCCCAAUCCAAAGCACCGUUUUCUAUUCGAAUCAACUGUGAUGCAGUUGAAUCACCGAAGCACUAACGCUCUUUGAUCAAAGAUUGCUACAAUUCCUCUUUCUGCCAAAACUAUGACCUAAGCUUCCAUAUAGGAGUGGCUAAGCGCCUAAGUAGUCUUUAUGAUCAUAACAAAGUCUAGAGAGCUCUUCUUAUAGGACCAAACUAGGGAAAAACUCUCCCACAACAGAGGAGCAGAAACACGCCUUUAACAAGCAAGCUACGCACCCUUGAGUUCCUUGGGUGAGGUGCGAAGCUAGUCCCCGAUUAUAUUGACAAGAAUGUGUGUUUAAUAUUAUGAUUGAUAGAGUUAAUAUUUUAUGGCAAUUUUGGUGUUCUAUCUUUCUUUCUUUUUGAUUUUUUUUUAUUUGUUCUAAAUUUUGAUUGUAGUUUUUUGGUAUCUAAAACGAUAAAAUUUAGGUAUCAUUUUUUUUCAUUUGAAAUUUGAAUUUGAUUAAAAUAUGAAUAGAUACAAAUUUAAAAAUCUAAAUAAUAGAUUUGUUUUUAUUUUUAUUUAUAAAUUGAUUUUUAUAAAACAUUGAGUAAGAUAAAGGUUCUUAAUAUCAUAAAAAAAUUAUAUCUUAAUUUAUACAAAUGUUUUUUAAUAAGUGUUUUGGUCUCCAAUUAAUUUGGUAGAAUAGCUUUCAAACAGUUUUAUUUAGUUUACCAUCCGAAUUCGAAUUGCAGAAGAGAUAAGAGGCUAAAAUAUAAAUAUAAUCUUUAUUCACUAUAUACAUUCAGUCGAAAAAUAAACUGUCCUAGUCAUGAAUCAAAAAAAUUGUUGCUCUAGUAAAUAAAUAACGAAUGUUAUUAAAUGAGGUAAAAUAAUUAUUUGCAGAUUUAUACAGAUAGAAAGUAGAUAUGGGCCUUAAAAACAGAACAACUGGAGGAAGUAACGAAGGAAUUAAUUGAAAUUCUGAAAACAUUGCAGGAAGAGCUUGGAGACGAUCCUCAUUUUGGGGAGAAAAUGUUCGGUUUCGUGGAUGUGGCUUUUAUUCCUUUCUAUUGUUGGUUUCACUCAUAUGAAACAUUGGGUCAAUUCAUCUUUGAGACUGAGUGGCCCAAAAUUAUUGCAUGGGCAAAAAGAUGCAAGCAGUGAGAAUCUGUUUCCAAGUCUCUUCAAGAUGAGAAGAAUGUACUCGGAUUUAUUUUAGAGCUGAGGAAAAUGUCUGGUGUGGAUAAAAGAAAGAUCACAAAAUGAGUUGAUCAGCAGGGAAAAAACAAACUGAAAAAAAUAAAUAAAUAAAGGACCAAAGAAGCACGAUCGUGCCAGGUACUAUCCGUCCAUCCCUAUUCCCUAUGAUUAUAAAAAUUCAUUUUGAUGUAGUUUUGUUUCUUCUUUUUUUUUUUAAAUUUCUUUUCUUUUUUGUUUUUAUUUUGUUUUCUUGUGUUUAAAUCUUCUGUGCCAUCUCGUCGUCCUUAUCAAUAAAUUAAAUUUAUAAAUUGAUUUUUCUUUUUAAAAAGGUAAGGUUGGUUAAAAUUUUAUAUUUAUUUUAUAGUGCUUUAAUUUUUUCAAAAUUUGAAUUUGAUUCGUCAGCUAAAUAAAAUUGUUUUAACACCACUUACCUACCUCCUCGGAGGCAAUUAAAAUUGAGGUUUUUCAUAAAAAUAAUGUUCAUUUUUUUUCAAUCUUUAUUUGUGUAAACAGAGAUGACUAAUGAUUAAAAUUCUCAAUUUAUUAAAAACUGGUAAAGUUUAAGUAGUUAUUUUAAUAUAAAAUAUGAAAAUAGUACAACAAAUAUUUAAAAGUACACCUGAAUGUUAUUAUAUAUUUAGUUUAAAAGAUUAAUGAGGAAAACAAGUAAAAUAGAUUGGGGCUCAACAAAAGCUACCAUUCUCAUCCAAAGGUUUAAAAACUCUUUCAAUGGGGACUUAAAUGAAUUUUGACUGGGGAAUUAAGUGAUAUUUUACAAGGACUAUACAGUGCCAUAUGGUGAUUGAAUUCUCCACUGAUACGUCUCAAUUAUGAUAUAUGAAAAUGAAUGCUCUAUUAUCAUCAUCUUGACUUGAUUUGUCUUUCAAGACUUGCGGACGUGUACAUUAAUUAUGAUAGUUUAAAUGUAUCGAUUUAUUCUUUUUCUCUUCCCAACCUCCGAUCAGUAGAUCUAAAAAGGAAGCUAAGAAUAGAAUAAGUAGAUCUGAAUCCCUAAUGAUUAUACAUUACCUUAUAAAACCUAUUGUGAAAAAUUUUUGGUGCUAUAAUGGCAGAUCAAAACUAUGUCAGGCUCCAAUGAGAAAUGUGUUGGGAUUAUGUGCUCUUUUAAAACAUAUUAAUUUAUUUAUUUUCUGAUCAAUAAAAUAUUUGAGAUAUUUUUAAUUGCAUAGAUAUUUUGAAUAAGGUCCGUUUAAUCAUAUUAUAUGUAUCAUAUGGAUUCACGGAAGACAUAAAUACAACUUAUCUUAUGAUUAAAUAAAUUAAGUUCGCAGUUGAUAAAUAGAGUUGGGCGCUCUAUUUAUGUUUAGACUGUAGUAAAUUCAUUGAAUGAUUUGUCUUAAUCAUAUCUAAAUUUACUGAUAUACUUUGACUACAUUGAGCUGGAUCACAUAUCAAUUUAGUUGACAUUGAAAUGAUUGUCAGACUUAUUAAAUCUUAUAGGCAUUGAUUUUACUGUAAUCUUAAUCUUGAGUUAGUUAUAAUUUCCUGAUUGUAAUUGUUAUUCCAUUUGAGUUAUCAAUGGGCACGACACAUACUUGUAGUCAAGAUUACCCGAUAUCUUAGUGGGAGCAAUUAUGAGUAUUGAAGUUAUAGAUUAACAAUAUAGAAUUUGUACAACACAUCUCUUGAUGAGUUUUCGGCACUUGAUCAUAAAAUUCUCUUGCCAAAGUGUGUCAAUAUAUUUAGUAUGUUGAAGAUGAUCAUUAGAGAAAACUAGUAAGUAUCAAGGAAUAAGAUGUAAUUAAAUUGAUUGUAGAGUUGAGAUAUCGAUUUAAUUAACGAUGUGGUAUAAAAGAUUAUGAAGUAAAGAAAUCAAUGUGGCUUGCGACAAACUAUUAUUCGAGCAUACAAUUAUGGAGGUCAGUUCCAAUCUUAUAGUGGAGUAGAGUUGGAAUUAAAUGAUUAGACUUGUUCAUUUACAAACUUAAUUGUUAUAGCCACUAUUGUAUGUUCUCAAAUUAUCCCCGGGUUAGCUUAUUUAAUUGACUACACCACUACUGGACCUAAAAACAAGAAAACUGGCAUAUUAGGUGUUAAACCUAAUUAUAAUAUUUGUUUAAACCUUAUGUAUUAUAUUCAUGGGCAAAUGAGGCCUUGUGUUAUUUUACAAGGUGGGCCCCAAAGUGGUUGCACAUGGUCUCCACUUUCACGUAAUCGGAGAGAUAAUAUUAAAUUCAAAAUAUUUAUUAUUUUGAAUGAUAAUAAUAAAUAUUUAGGGUUUUACAAGAGAUAUUAUAUAAGUGUAUUUUUCUCAAGCCUAAGGAUGAACGUGAUUUAAAAUACACGUUUUGAGAAAAACACUGAAAAAGAAGCAGCUAUUUUGGAAGUAGUGAAAUGGACGCCCACACGUCCAGUGUUGAUCAAAUUUGAGUCAUAGCUUGGAAGAUUAUUUGGUGAUAGAUCGUGAUCCAACAAGCACAACGGAAACGUGGUGGUGACGGAUCGUGAUCUAAUAAGCGUGGUGGUGACAGAUCGUGAUCUAACAGGAAAAGGUAGGUGAUGGAUCGUGAUCUGGGGGCCUAGAUUAAUUUUGAUUGUUCAUCUUCUCAUACUGUUAAGGUAUGAUUUUUUAAAUUACGAAUUUUUAUAUAUUAUAUGAGAUUGAUCCUGAAAGUUUUUUUUUUAGAAAAACUGUUUUUUAACCAACAAAAUAUUCUCAAUAGGUUAUUCAAAUUUAACUCUUAGUUGCUCCAUUCAUUCAAAAAUGAAAUGAUUGAGCACAACAUCUUAUCUAAUUUCAAAUUACAGAUCCUCUUCUGUACUCAAUUUUUUCCAUUCAGUGCCUUUUAUCCAUGCUAGAAUAUGAAAACAAAGGAUGUUUAUUUCUCCAUGCCAGAAUUUCCAUAACCCAAUGCUUGCAAAGAUCAUUUAUUUUCUCGUGUUGGAGAGACUAAAAGCAAAGAUCAUGACCAUAAUUACAUUACAAUUAUGCAAUAACACAAACAAGCACUUGCAUGGAGUAACUUGAGCAAACACAAUAUAUCGCAUCAAACUGAGUGAGCGAUCAUCAGCCAUGGAAGGCGGCAACCUCAAUAUUCUUGCCCGAGCAGGCGAUAGGCGCGUCGUAUUUGCUGAAGAGUUUAUAAGAGGAGAUGAGCGAAAGAACAACAUAGCAAGCCACUGCAACAAAUGUAAUUAUCACUGAUGCUAUAGCUUUAUGACAGAAUCCACCAAAUGAACCACAAACUGCGCUCCAAGUGAUGGCUAAAUCUCCCUUGCGUUCCAGGUACAGCACCUCCGUCGACACGGCUCCAGCCGCCAGAAUCAAGUAAGUGAGCAACUGGGUUCAUGAAUUUAGCAGUAGCUUUUGAUUCUUGUUUUGACAAAAGUUAGAUAAUUGAAGUAAAAUUAGGGUUUGAUCAUCGUCACUAAAGGAGUUUUCGUACCCGUUGUUUUUAACUUGAUUUUUAAAACUAAAAAAUUUAAGUAUCUGGUCAACAAAUUGUAUAAUAGAAUUUGGAUGACCUAUAUGGAUCUGUUUCUCGUUAUUGAGAACUAUGAUGGACGAAGAUUCCCUGAUUUGGGUUUCUUACUUACAUGUAAUUGGUGGUAAUGGAUAAGAAGAAGAUUAUUUAGUGAGUACUAGUAUUUAUGGGAACUCAAAUUUCCUUCCUCAAUUAAAAAUAAUUGAGUAGAGACAAUUUUCUUUUUCACAAAAUAUUAUAUCCCCAAAUAUUAGUAAGAGUGAAGAUUUAGGUUAAUUUCCAUAAAUUGAAUGUAGAAUAAUCUUAAGAAUUAUCUGAUUAUAAAUAUUAAUAGUUGUUUAUGUAAUAUUAGUAAUAAAAAAUUAGAAAAAUAUUAAACUGUUGUUUUAUUAUAUUAAAGCAUGAUAAUAAAGUGAAAUUUUUUUUCACUACUUUUUUCCAUAAGACAAUCAAAACCCUAAAAUGCCCAUAAAAUUAACGAAACAACUUGUAAACGAUGGCUCAGUUUUUGGUCCAAAUUAUGUCAAUAAAUUUAAGUCAAACUAGCAUUUUCACGUGAGUAUUCGAAUUCCAAUCAUGCACUACCCUUGAUGUGAUGUACACUUUAACACAAGAUGUGUUGAAAGCUUAACAGAAGAGCUAAUUAAGAUAAGGAAAGGAAUCAUGUAGAAAUUAUUUCAAUUCAAGCUGAAUGUCAUCAAAAGCAAGCAAAAAACGAGCCCUAUUUACCUGAUCAAGGAAAAAGAAAGUCCAGGCUUGAGACAUGGUGGAGGGACGAGGCAUGGCUGCAAUAAUUGCUGAAAGAAGCGAAUAGCCUGCACAAAUGCCAUUGGCAUGCACUAAAUACCUACAUAUUUGAGGCAAUUUUUAAACAAUUAUAAUGAAUCAAUUCCAGUUGAGUCUCUUGAAAUCCUCGGAAAGUAUACAAUUUAAUGAAAGAAAUAUGAAUCUACAAACCUGAAGGCUCCAAGGUCGGAGUAAGAAAGAGAGCCAAAGUCACUAGUCUCAGAGUUCUUAAGCAUGAGCACAAGUGCAGCAACACAGAGAGCCAUUGGCACCAAACGUGCAAUUGGCUCAGCUGUGCGCAAGGCAGCGUUGCCAUCCUCAUUGAUCUCUUGAUGAGCCCUCGAUCCCAUCAUUGGCAGAGGAGAGCUUGCAGCAACCGCACCACCAAUAUUAUUACUCUUCUCCAUGUGCACCAACUACUGCUGUUUGUUGUUGUUGUUAUUGUUGUCUCAAUCGAGCUAGCUCAGCCAAUUGGGAGAGUUGAUGGGAAGUUCUGUUUGUGGCCUCUCAGAGUGAGAGGAGAAGCUGCUGCUCAGAGGUAUAAAUGCAGUUUAGGUGAGGUAGUUGAGGAUGCUUUCAAUGUCAUUCAUAGCAUGCCACACUUUCCGAAGUGACUUGGUCAAUAUCACUGUAAGCCCAGAAUCAUCAUCUACCGAAUACAUUAUUGGAAAUUUAUUAUUAACGUAGUCAUAUCACAUGGAAUUUUAUAUCUAUAAAUUUUCCAUUUCUUAUUAUUUAUGGAGAUUUUUCUACAUUAUUGGGAAUUUUUUUGGGGGAAAUUUACAUUAUUGGAAUUGGAAUUUUGGAAUUUCAUCUAUACAGAAAUUUAGGUUUCGAGACAUUUGAAUCGAUUUAAACCCUUGAAUCAAAUAGUUUUGGUUUAGUUUGGGUUUUUUUUUUCUAAUUUUAGUUUCCUUUAUUUUUAAAUAAUUCAAACCAAAAUAGAUUUUUAAAUUCAAUGAACCAAAUUAAUUUAUUUGAGUUUAAAAUGGUUUGGUUUGAUUCCAUUAAGAUAAUUUUACCCACCCUAAUUAGAAGUAUUUUAUAACCUACAAAACAAUUCAAUAACAUUUUAUCAAUAAUUUUUUGUCAAGAAUGUAAAUUAUAUUUAUAUUGAGAAGUUCUAAAAAAUUACUAAUUUUGUGUAAAUAAGACAUUUUUUUAAGAUGGAAUAAAAAAAUAUUUUUACUAGUUGGAUACGUCAAAAAAAUUUCUCAAAAAUCACAGAUUAUUGUUUCUAAAAAAAUUGCACAUGUUUUAUUUUUCAUAAAUAUUUUUAAAAAAUAUUAUUGAUUCCUCAAUAUUUUUUUUGAAGGCAUCCAUGGUUUUAGAGAUUGAUCACCUCAUUGUUUGAGGUUUUUAUUUUUUAUUUUUUUGAGAAAUCAUUCUUUGAGUCUGAGCUCUCAUAAGUUUUUUUAGAAUCUAUAAAUAAUACAAAAUAAGACAGAUGUGCGUUGCAUCUGGACGGAUGCCUCAUAGUUAAAACUCUUUCUAAAAGAGGAAGAAAAUGUUAAUUGUGCAAAAGUUGAUUUCAAAAGGUCGAUUCAUAAUUAAAUAGCAGGAACUUCUCGUCAGAGCACAGCAACGUAUAUGAAAAUUCUAUCAAUAAUCACUUUUAUAGCGUUAAAAAAUAUCUACCAUUUAUUAUAAUUAUUUUUUUAGGGUUAUUUUUCGCCGACCCCCAUAAAAAUCGACAAAUGUUACUGUGUACCCUAAUUUUUCAACAACUAUCAAAGCGCACCCAUUCCGUUAAAAAUCACCAUCAACUUAACUAUUAUAAGGGUAGAAUAUUAAAGUUACAUCGAUGAAUAAAGAUAAAAGAAAAAAAAUUAUUUUUUUCUCUUCCUUCUCCGUGACCCCAUUCAUGCUCCCAUGGACGGACCUAAUUAAGGUCCAGGAGGGGCUUCAGCCCCCCUGGACCAUUAAGUUUUCUUUUAAAUGUAUCCCAAGCCCCUUUUGAAAAAGUUAGAUAAAAUAAUUUAGACACAUUUUUCAUAUAUUAAAAGCCUUGUGGUUCAAUGAUAAGAGUGCUAUUUAAUGAUUUUAAAACCUGAUUCAAAUCCCAUUAGCCAUAUUAUUUUAUUUUUUAAAAUGUUUUGUGGAAACUACUUCGAAAAAUAAUAUUUUCACGCAUUUAAAAUACUACUUCAAAAAAUGAUAUUUUCACUCAUUUAAAAAUAAUAAUUUAUUACUAUUAUUAUUUAGAAUUUAAAAAAAAAGUAAUAAAAUUUGAGUUUACAAGACUUAAAACAUAUUCGAGUGAAUAUUAAAAAAAUCUAACUUAAAUAAAAUUUUUUGAACUAAGCCCCCCCUCAUUUUAAUUUCUGGGUCCACCACUGAUGAUGCUCCAUCUUCCCUCCUCCAUUUACACUUUGCAACAAGUGCUCAUUUUCUUCCCUUCUCCAUUCACGCUCCCCAACAAGGUUUUUCGCUUUUCCCCUUCCAUCGACGUCACAAGGGUCACAUAACCAAUUGCACUACCGCAACGAAUGACCAUUUCUAGGUGGAAACAAGCGACAGGAGCUUGACGCAAGAUCGAGAGGCUUUUGGCAGUUCAAAGAAUCAUGGGUUGCUGCUGACUGAUGCGGCACCAACACUGGUGACUAGCAACUAUAAAAUCCCAAACCCAAAAUUUUUGGAUUUCCAUGUUAUUGUUUAUUGAUUUUUAGGUUUGGGUAGUUGACAAUUUGUUUGAUAUAUAAAUUAUUUUGAUUUUGCUAUAAAAUUGGGAGUUUAUGUUGUUGUCUGUGUGCUUUCAAAGAAGAUAUUUGGUUAUUGCUAUAAAUACUGGGAAAUGCCAUGAUGUUGGAGCUUGGAUUGGAGAUGUCUUCUGGGUUUUGGUUCAAGGACUAAUAAUGUCCAAUUAAUUUUAGUUUUAAUUUAAUUUCUUUAAAAAAACUUUAAUUUAAUUGUAAUUAUUUUCUGGUUUAUAUUUAACAUUGUUUUUACACAUUCUAUAAUAAUUUUUUUUUUUAAAGAAAAUAAAGUGCCAACUGCCAAUUAAUAUAUGUUCUUAUAAUUCCAGCAAUUGCAAUCAAUUCAAUUUAUAUGGAGGCAUUAUGGUGAUUUCAACAGAUGUCUGAUAAAAUCNNNNNNNNNNNNNNNNNNNNNNNNNNNNNNNNNNNNNNNNNNNNNNNNNNNNNNNNNNNNNNNNNNNNNNNNNNNNNNNNNNNNNNNNNNNNNNNNNNNNAUGAGGGCUCGCAAAAAAUAACCCUUUUUUUAUCGAAGAGAAAUAACUAAUAUUAUUGGUCACGUUUCACUGUCAUAAAUCUAACAAAAUAAAAAAUAAAUUACGUAUAAGUAGCUUGUUAAUAAACUUAUAAGAAGUCAAUUCUUAUUAUUUUCAAAACAAUUACAUGCAUCACACAUAUAUACAAUCAUUGGAAGCUAUAGGGAUGUUAUAUUUUCAUAUGGGAUUUGUGCUUUACUAAAGUGAUGAGCCACUACUUAACAACACUCUCUCUUGGAUCAUCAUAUUAGUUAAAUUUCAUUGAUGUUAUUAUGUGAUCAAUACUUGUUGGGGAAAAAUUAGGUUUUUAAAUUUUUAUAAAACCUUUUGAAGAUCGCUCUCAUAUAAUAUAUAAGAAUUUGUAUUCUAGAAAUCGUACCUUGAAAAUCCGAGUUGGCUUUUUCCGCUGAAGUGAUUUAGGCUCCUAGAUCACGAUCCGCCACCACCACUCCUGUUAGAUCACGAUCCGUCACCACCACGCUUGUUAGAUCACGAACUGUCUCCAAUGAUCUUCCAGGUUAUGACUCAGGUUCGAUCUGCACUUGACGUGUGGGCGCCUUUAUCACUACCAAAGCAACUAGCACGAGAAAAUUUUUCUCUCAACAAUGGAGAGAAAAAUCUUUUUCUCUAAUCUGUAUAAAAAGUGGCUUCUCUCUAUUCUUUAGAGAAAAAUAAGUCUUUUUUAUAUCACCCUUUAGUGAAAACCCUAGGCUCCAAAAUAUCAAAAAACAAAACUCACGUAAUUUGCUUUUUCAAUAGGGGACCCACCUUGUAAAAUAACAUAAGGCCCCUUAUACAAAAGCUAAUUAAAUGGAGCCUCCCACUAAAUGAUAUAUUUAGGCUUUUGACCCAAAUAGCUAGUUAUCUUACUUAUUAGUCCAGUAGUGGUGCAGUCAAUUAAAUGAGCUAACCCGGGGAUCAUUUGGGAACAUACAAUAGUGGCUACAAUAAUUAGGCUUGUAAUUAAACUAGCCCAAUUAUUUUAUUCCAAAUCUACUCCACUAAAAGAUUGGAACUGACUUCCAUAAUUGUAUGCUCGAAUAAUAAUUCGUCUCAAGCCACAUUGAUUUCUUUACUGCACAAUCCUUUGUACCACAUCGUUAAUUAAAUUGAUAUCUCAACUGUCCAAUCAAUUUAAUAACAUCUUAUUCCUUGAUCUUUACUGGUUUUCUCUAAUGAUCAUUUUCAACAUACUAAAUAUGUUGACACACUCUGGCCAGAGAAUUCUAUGAUCAAGUGCCGAAAACCCAUCAAGAGAUGUGUUGUACAAAUUCUAUAUUGUUAAUCCAUAACUCCAAUACUCAUAAUUGCUCCCACCAAGAUACCGGGUAAUCUUGACCACAAGGAUGUGUCGUGCCCAUUGGUAACUCAAAUGGAAUAACAAUUACAAUCAUGAAAUCAUAAUUAACUCAAGAUUAAGAUUACAGUAAAAUCAACGCCUAUGAGAUUUAAUAAGUCUGACAGUUAUUACAAAGUUAAUUAAAUCUCAUAUGUGAUCCUGUUCAAUGUAGUCGUACUACAUUAAUAAAUUCAUACAUGAUUAAGACAAAUCAUUCAAUGAAUUUAUUACAGUCUAUACCUAAAUAAAGUGCCCAACUUUAUUUAUCAACUGCGAACUAAAUUUAUUUAAUCAUAAGAUAACUUGUAUUUAUGUCUUCUGUGAAUCCACAUGGUGAUCACAUAAAUACAUAUAAUAUGAUUAAAUGGACUUUAAUACAAGUAUUAAUGCAAUUAAGAUAUUUGAAUAAAAUAUCUCAUUUAUUUUAUUAAUCAGAAAAAUAGUUUAUUACAAUUAAAUAAACACAUAUGCUUUUAAAGAGCAUAUUUUCCCAACAAUACUGUAUUGUUAAAAUUUAAUAAAACAAAACUUAUUCAAAGAAAAAAGGGAUACAGUGUACAUUUACCGGUAUAAUCAUAUUAUCCAAUAUUAAUCACCUUAGGUUCUCUAAUUAGGCCCAGCUUUUGUUCUUAGAACAGUUGUACAUUAAAUAAAAAAAAAAUCAUUACCAAUUAGAAUAUUUUUAUUAGAUUUUUUCUGGGGUUAUAUUUUUUGAACUUUGUCAUUAAGCUUUAAUAUACAAUUGCGGUAUUGUGGUAAAAUAACUUUCCGCUAACAAAAGAGCAUGGGCGCCUGGACGGGAUAGGUACACACCACUGCACGUCCAUUUCAUUGAUGUUUGUUUGUCCUGCAUGGCUAAAAAGACGGUGCCAUCAGGAACACUCAAUUUCUAAUUACCUAGAGAAAAAGAAAGUUAAAUCUCGAAAAUCUUUUGCAAAAGUAGAGAAACAUCUCAGUAAAGUCCUUGUCCUGACGACAAAUAAAGACAGACAUGACAUUAAAUCGGGCUCUAGGAACAGUAGAUGGUCAAUAGUAUCAAACAAAAAUCAAUAAAUAGAUGAAGCAUUAAAAUGGGAAACGUGCAUAGGGUGAUGGGAACCGAUCCUUUUAUUUAUUGAUUCCACAUAAAAGCUAUAUCCAUAGUGUGUUAACCUAAAAAUAAGCAGUAAACAUUAAAAUGCUUUUAGAUAUAAUAAUUUUAUGGCAAUAUCUGAGUUAUAUUUGUUACAAAUUACGGUUAGUAAAAAUAAUGUAAAUAUGUAAAAAUAAGUAAUAUAUAAGUGCACAUAUGGUCAAUGGGUUAGAUCGCCUGUGGCAUCCGCACAAUACGGUACAAUAUGAACACGUUUUGGUAAGGCACGAGGUACAGUACGACAAGCACGUGGAUUGAGCCGAGCUCAAAAUUUUAGGCAUGCAGACCUUAAAAAUAUGGUAUGAUUAAAGAUGGGUUAAGCAUGACAUGAUGAAAAAGUCCGCAAUAAGCACGUUUUAUUUUUUAAUGAAAGUAAAUUUAAAAUUUUAUAAUUUUACAAAUAACUUGAAAUUGAAUUAUUAAAUUCAUUUAAUUUUUAGUUUCAUAAACAUACUAUAAUUGAUUUAUAUUUAUAAUUUAUUAAAUAAAUAAUUGAUAUCAUGAUUUUAAUAAAUAAAAUUAUAAAUAUCAUGAUUUUAUAAAUAUGCAUUAAUAAUUUUGUGAACUAUGAUCUAUGACUCAAUGUAAAUUCAAGUUAACAAUUAAGUUAACUCUUAAGAAAAAUUUAAUAUUGUUGUUGUUGUUAAGUAUUAAAAAAAUUCUAAUACUAUAAGGUCAAACUUAGUAAUUAAUAUCACAUUCUCUUAUUAUUAUUAGUUUAUUAUUAUUAAAUAUUGACUUGAGUUUUCAAUUUUUAAUUUUAUUAAAUUUGAAUAAAGGUAUAGACCUAAAAAAAUACUUAGGCUUGAAAAAGUAAACCAACAGCUUGACAUGCGUUCUUAAAAAUGUUUUUUUAAAAAAACUUAUUAGGCUUUUUUUCUUAGGCACGGCACGACACAUGUGGUGGGCCUAAGCAAAAAAAUUAAGCACGACAUGAAAUACAUAGUGGGUAUGGCACGACACGAGUACGAGCAUGCAUGGGCCUUGCUUUGAUGCUGGCCAUCUCUAUAUAUGAGAUCAAUAUUUUAUUUUUAUUUUAUUUUUAAUGACUAUAAGUUACAUUAAAUACAACUUAAGAAGACCCCAAUUUUAAGCAUGGUAGAUAGUACAAGUCAAUACAUAAUAACGACAACUUAAAUGACAUGAAAAGAUUGAUUAACAAGUUAAAAAGAUAAUAAAAAUAAUUGUAUCUUGUGAUUAGAGAUGGUAAUGGGAAGGAAAGGUAAGGGGAUUGACAUUCCAUAUCCAUCCACAAUGUUAUGCUUAAGGCCUUGAACCUUCCCUGUCUCUGUUAUAAUUACUUGAGAGGAGGGGAUGGGGAUUGCAAUUGAUAAAAGGAGAUCUCGAGAGUACUCGAUCCUUAAAUAACUAAUAAUUUUACUUUCAGAACUUGAUAGUAUAAAAUCAUAUUACCAACACAAGAAUAUCAAAAUAAACUAAUGUCAAUUAAAACAUUUUUGUUAAACUAAGUUAAUGAUGUAAGUUGGUUGCGUAGGAUGAGUAAGAUACCUUUCUGAGGGCUUUAACUUGGGUUAUAGGUGUCAAUUUUGGGUGUAUAAUGUAAUAUUUCGAAGCAAACUCAGAAUAAUUAUGCCGUUUUGCCUUGUGGUCGAGGCAGAAAUUCUAUUUCUUUUUUAAUUGUUUUAUAAUUUUUACUUAUUUUUUAUUUUUCCUAUAACUAUUAGGAUUUUUAUUUUUAUUUUCUAAAUAUCAGAUUUAGGUGUUGUUAAUUUUUUUUCCUUAUUUAGAUUAUGAGAAUUUCAUUAUAAAAGAAAAUUUUCAGACUUGCCCAUUUUGGUAAAUUCGUAAUAUUUAAGGUUAAUAUAAAAGGGACCUCAAAUCCUAGUUUUGUUCAUUUAGAGUUUUCCAAUAAAAUUUUCAUUAUUCAAAAAUUUAGUUUCUUUUAUCUAUUAAUCUCUUAUAUCUCCACAUCAUCAGUUGGUAUCAGAGCUAGGUUCGUUUGUGACCAUGGUAUGACCGAGCGAUAAAAGAAACAACUAUCCCAAAGGUGAUGAUCAAGAGAUGCAGGCACAGGCUAUAAAAGCUAUCAAACAGAUAGCCAGAGAAACAUCCUUGCAAUUCAUUGAGGAAGCUUGUAACCCAAGAAUGGAGGCAAUAGGGCGAGUAAUCGAGGAUCUUAGGUUUUUUAUUAACGAUAUGAACAAAGCGACAUAUCAAAGGCAAGUAGUUAAUCGCGAGGAAGUAUUUCAGGGAGUCAAUUGUGAAGAACAAGAUUAUAAUAAAAAAAACGAUACUUCAAGGAGACAAUCAUGAAGUAGUGCCUCAGUGUGUCAAUUGUAAUAUAGUACAUCAGUAUCCAGGGCUACAAGACGAAUGCCUACGUGCAUGCUAGAUAACACAAGUAGAUAAUUUCCUUAAGUAUAUGGAAAAUCCUUAAGAGAAGUGGUUUAAGCUAGUGGCAUUUAAGUUAAAGAGUGUGUCAUCCACAUGGUGGCAACACAUACAAAAUUGAAGAAGAGUUACGGGAGAGCCAAUAAUCAAAUUGUUGGCUAGAAUCCAAAGGAUAAUGGAAAAGCCAAUAGAUUAUAAACAACAAUUAUAUUUGAAAUAUCAGAACUGCAGGCAAGCAAAUUGCAGUGUCGAUAACUAUGUAAGAGAAUUUUAAUCGACCACGAGUGAGAAAUAGUUUGGAUGAGUCAAAAUUUAGAACAGUUGCAAAUUAUAUUGAUGGAUUGAAAUAAGAGCUUCAAGAUGAGAUCAUAGAGCCACUUUGGAAUAUGGGCACAACGAUCACGAUGGUGAAGUAGUUGGAAGAACGGAAGUAGGUUACUGUUUCAAAAACUCAACAACGUUAAUUCAUUGGUCUGCAGAAUUGGCCAAGUAGUCAUAGGGUUGAGAACAAGCAAAAGACAUGGGCUAGAAGUAGUUAGUCACAACAACCAUUAGAGCAACAAACAAGACAGUAUCCACCUAGACAGCAGCUGUACCAAUAGCAGCCGCAAAAUAAUCCAUAUGCAAAGCCUAUACUAGAUAAGUAUUUAAGGUGUGGGAAACCAAGGCAUUGAUCAAAUGAAUGUCAUGGUAAAGAUAAAGUAGACAAGACAGAGACAAACGUUGUUAAGGAUGGAGAUGAGAAGAAGCAUUAAAUAUUGGUUCAAAUGAAAGAGAGAUACUGAUUGUAUCAUGUAAAAGAUUUUAUUAGCACCAAAGUUUAAAGAUGAUAACCAAUGCAUUAAGAUUUUUAGGACAUGUGGCACCAUUAAUAAUAAUGUUUGAUUUGAUUUCUAAAAAAUAUCACUAAUUCUUAACUUCCUAUAAAAAAAUGGUAAUACAACCCUAUUUGUAAUUCCAUCAAUUAUUCAAUUUAAACGAAAGCCAAGUACAUAUUGUAAUUUUUAGUAUUAAUUGCAAUGUGAUAAUCGAUAGAGGUAGUAGCGAGAAUAUAGUUUUGAAGACACUAGCUGACGUGAUGGGACUAUAAAAAAAAAAUUAGCACCUUACAAGAUAAGGUGGAUAAAGAAAGGACAGCAAUGUGAGUUACAAAAGUUUGUCGUGUUCCUUUCUUUAUUUGAAAGAUUUAUAAGAGUGAUGUGGUUUCUGAUACAAUGGAUAUGGAUGCUUGUCAUCUUUUACUGGGUAGACUAUAAUAGUGUACUGUUAAUGCAAUUAAUAAAAGAAGGGAUACUAUAUAUGAAUUUUGGUGGAACAGCAAGAAGGUUCAUUUGGUGCUUUCAACGAAUAAGAAAAAGAAUUCUAAAGCUGAAAGGAAGAGUUUUCUUACCAUUUUUAAGAGUCAUUUGGAGGAUGAUUGUGAUGACCGCAAGAAGUUAAAAAAUGAGAAGGAACUUAAGGCGAAGACUGUUCUUGAUGAAGUAUAAUUAUUGUUAGCUGAUUUUACAUCCUCUAAGAUGCUAGAUGGCCUACCACAUUUAGGAGAUAUGCAGUAUUAUAUUGACCUAGUUCCUGGUGCGAGUAUACCUUAACUUGCCUCACUGUUGCAUUACUCUUCAAGAGCAUGCAAUCUUACAAGAAUAGAUUGAUGAGUUGUUGCAAAAAGAAUUCAUUCCUGAGAGCAUGGGUCAAUAUGUUGUACUAGCUUUGUUGAUGCGAAAGAACAAUGGGAGUUGGCGUAUGUAUACAGACAAUAGGCAAAUUAACCAUAUUAACGUGAAAUAUUGAUUUGCUAUUCUAACAUUCCAGGAUUUGUUAGAUUAGUUAGAAGGUGCUCAAAUUUUCUUAAAGAUAGACUUGUGCAGUGGUAUCAUCAAAUUAGAAUUAGGCCUUUAAAUGAGUGGAAAACAGUACUCAAGGCAAAGGCAGGGUUGUACAAGUGGUUUAUGAUGAAAUUCAUGUUAUUAAAUGCGCCAAGUACCUUUAUAUAUUUAAUGAAUCAAGUUGUUCAGCCUUUUUUCCAAAAACUUUGUUGCGGUGUAUUUUGAUGAUAUUUUGAUUUAUUAUGUGGACACACUGGAGCAUUUGACAAUGAUUAUAGAGGUGUUGUAAUAAACUUUACAUUAAUUUGAAGAAACAUAGCCUUUUAUAUAGUAAUGUGGAGUUUUUGGGUUUCAUGGUUGGUAUAGAUAGGAUUAAAUCUAUUGAAUGGAAGAUACAAGCCCUUAUAGAAUGCCCUAUGCCCAAGAUAGUGGGUGAAGUUAAGAAUUUUCUCAUGGACUGGUGAAAUUUUAUAGGAGAUUUAUUCGCGAUUUUAGCACUAUAAUCAUGCCAAUUACGAAAUGUUUGAAGAAAUAAACUUCAUAUAAGGAGAAGAGGAAGAGGUGAGUUUUGAUUUAUUAAAAGGAGGAGUUUCUUCCCUCACUUUACUCCAAAUAUGUAUGUGUAUAUUAGUAGGGGUGGGAAAAUUGAGUUUCGGUUUAAGUUGUUCGGGUUUCGGUUUAGGUUACAAUCCAUUCAGGUUGGAAAAUUCAACCCAACUGGACUCAAAACUCAAACCCAAGCCAAAUUGAACCAAAUUGAACUCGGUAUGAAUUCAAGUUUUGAAUCGUAUUAUAUUGAAAAUCCAGGUCUUUAUUUUGAUUUAGGUUACAAUUCAGGUUACAACCUAAAAUUUCAGAUUCACUUUUAAAUGAAUCAAAUCCCAACCGACUAAAUUCCAAAUUCAGCUUCAUAUGUAUCAAAUUCCAGCCUAGAUCAAUUGCAAAAGUUGUUGGUUGUCGAUAGAAGAAGAAAUUAGAAAAGUAAAUAAAUAAGAGAAACUCAUAAAAGCUGUUAUUUUUUACUUAUUAUUAACGAUGGUGAACACCUUCUCAACCAAGCCAUUUCUUUAAGAAUGUCACGACACAAAUUAUGGAAUCAAGAGAGUAAACAACCAAAUUAUAGUAUUUAAAACCCAUUUCUUUAAGAACCCUAAACCCAUUAUAAUAUUUAAAUAACCAUCACCCAAAUUACAGUAAACAACCAUCAAUAACAACACCCAAAGUCCCAAAUCAAAUACAAUAAUUUACCCUGCACAACUGACGACGACAAAUGAAGAUGGAAGCAAUGACGAGUGACAGUACAGACAAUGGUAGCUAUAACAAGUGUCAUGGCCCAAGCCUCCAAGUAGCAUGGCCUAGCCCAUGGAUGACUCUAGACUCAUGUGUGUAGAUAUUUCUCAUGUACUUAUUAUAAGUAGGUGGUAGGUUGUAGUUGAGCAUUAACCCACUCUCUUGUACUCUAUAUAUAGGAGCGGCCUCAUUUGGCCAAGAUACAAAAGACAUAACAAGCAACACAGUACACAUAGCUUGUAAGCAUUUCAUCGACCAAUACAAGUCUUUUCCUCCCAUCUUGUUUGAGUUUGAGUGAAUAUUCAUUCCAGUUUUCAAAUCCAACAACCGAUUUGAAUGAAAUGUUGACUUAGGGCCAAGAGAGUGUGAAUUUGGCACCUAAGGCCGCACGGCACAACAUAGGAUAUAAGCGGGCUGUGAUAGUUGGUAUCAGAGCCGUAAACACUCAUGGGGUAGUUGCGUGGUUUGAAAAGAAGGAUGUCGGAACUCACUCAUGAUGACCAAAGAUGGAGGGAUGCGAAGAAGGGGAAAAACAAUAAAGAGAAGUCUGUAGACUUGCUCAAUGCCAAAGAGAAUCGGGUUGUCCAUGGGGAAAUUAUUGUCGCCGAGAUUAAGGAAUGCCUCGAGAUCUUUGAGUAAAAGAUGGAGGAGGUGGAUGAUCUUGGGGAACGAAUGGGUGACCUGAGCCAAGACUUGGUGGCGCAACGCCAAAGCCUUGAGGAGUUCCAAACAGGGGCAGAUCUAUUAAGGGACAAGUAUGGGCCGUGACCCUUGUUAAAAAAAAUUAAUACUCAAUAUUUUAUAUUAUAUUAAUAAUUACUUAUUUACUUUAAAAAUUUUAUUUAUUUAUUUUUUAAAAAAAUUCUUUGGCCCCCUCAACUAAGGUUGGCUUAUUUCACCCCUGGUUUCAAGUAGUGGUCAUGAACUCCAUUGAGACGCUAAGGGCUCAAGUGAAGGAGCUUCACGCGGGUCUUAAGGAAACUAAGACAGAUUGGGCACUUUGCAAGAAAACGGUGGCUGGGGGGGUGCUUAACACUAAUGUAGCACCUCCGAUGAGGAUCAAGACUAAGGAGGUAUGGAGCAAGCGGGAUGCCCAAGAGAUCGAGAACUUCUUGUAGUCAAUGGAGAGGUACUUUGAGGCCACCAAUAUUUAAGGUGAGCAAGAAAAGGUGAACAUUGCGACGGGAUAUCUUGAAGACUACGCGAUCGCUUGGUGGCAGCGAAAGCAUGCAAAGAUUGUGCGAGAGACGUGCAUCAUCAACACAUGGGACUUGCUGAAGUGCGAGCUCAAGAAGUAAUUCUAUUCGGGGAAUGUGGCGUAUGAGGCUCGCAAGAAGAUGCGAGAACUGAAGCAUACCACAUCCAUCUCAAAGUAUGUCAAUGAUUUCUUGAAGCUCAUGCUCCAAAUCGAUAACAUGGACACGGAUGACUUAUUGUUCAACUUCAUGGAAGGACUCAAAUUGUGGGCACAAUAAGAGUUAUAGUGACGUUAAGUGAAUGACUUCUCUACAGCCCUUACCGAGGUGGACAUGCUUGUAGAAUUUUGGAAGCGUGAGUCAUCUAAGGCGAAGAAGGAUGAUAAGCCUCAACAUGGCAAAAGUGGGGGAGCAAAGGGUAGCACAUGAUGGCAAUGAUAAGCCACAAAAGAAGGAUGACCCGAGGGAUGGUCCGAAGGAUGGCAAGAAGGAAGCCAAACGCAAGCACAGUUGCUUCAUUUGUGAUGAGGACCAUUGGGUGCAGGACUGCCCAAAGAAUAAGGUUUUCAACGCCAUGUUUAGCGAGACCGGUGAGAAGCAACCGGAGGCACCACCAGCCGACACUACCAACAUGGAUUGUCUCCAACUCUUCAAUGCACUGAAUGCCAAGCCAAUUCUAGCAAAGGUGCAGGACAAGUCGCUCAUGCACGUCGAGGCCACAAUCAAUGGGAAGUAAGCUCAAGCCUUGACUGACACGGGAGCGUCUUAUAACUUCAUCAAGGUGGAUGAGGCCAAGCGGCUUAGACUCAAGGUUGAGAAAACGAAUAGAUGACUGAAGACGGUGAAUUCAGAGGCCAAACAACUUAGCGGCGUAGUGUGGGACGUGGAGCUACACUUAGGCCCUUGGCAAGUUAAGGCCAAUUUUUUCGUUGUACCUUUGGAUGACUUUGCACUUGUUUUGGGCGUGGAAUUUUUGCAACACUUCAAUGCGGUGCCACUUUUGAGGUACAACCCAAUGUGCAUCCUGGAGGGAAUCCCAUGCUUGGUCCCGACAGUAAGCAAGGCCACAUCACCAGGCCAACUUUCUGCAAUGCAAAUCAACAAGUGUUGCAAACGACAUGAGGAGACAUUUCUCGCUACCAUUCAUGAGGCUGGUGAAGAGAAAGACGCUACGGCCAUGAAGCCCAUCCGGAGGCGGUAGCCUAAGUUCUUAAGGAGUAUAGGGACGUGAUGCCAUCUGAAUUGCCAAAAACAAUUGCUCCCGUGAUAGGAGGUGGACUACAAGAUUGAGCUGGAGCCAAGUGCCAAGCUGCCUGCACAAGCACCUUACUGUAUGUCUCCAUUAGAGUUAGAGGAGUUUCAAAGGCAAAUCAAGGCACUGCUAGACGCGGGAUAUAUCCAGACCUCGAAGGCACCAUACAGGACACCAGUGCUGUUCCAACGGAAGCAUAAUGGCUCACUUCGAUUGUGCAUUGACUACUGAGCUCUUAACAAGGUGACCGUGAACAACAAAUAUGCCUUUCCAUUGAUAGUGGACUUGUUCGAUCAAUUUAGACGGGCCAAGUACUUCUCCAAGCUGGACCUUAGAUCGGGAUAUUACCAAGUGAAGAUUGUACAGGGAGAUGAACCCAAGACAACUUGUUUGACUAGAUAUAGGGCGUACGAGUUCAAAGUCAUGCCUUUCGGCCUCACCAACGCGCCGGCCUCAUUCUGCAUCCUCAUGAACCGCAUAUUCUAUCCAUACCUUGAUUAGUUUCUGGUGGUGUAUUUUGACGACAUCGUGGUCUAUAGCGACACCUUGGAGGAGCAUGCCGAACACUUGCAGGUUGUGUUCGAGGUGUUGCGGGACAAUGAGCUAUAUGUUAAACGGGAGAAGUGCUCAUUUGCUAAACCGGAAGUUGAUUUUCUUGGCCACAAAAUUAGAGAUGGGACGUUGCUCAUGGACAAGGCCAAGGUCCAAGCCAUUGCCAAGUGGGAGCUGCCCACGAAGGUUACAGAGUUGCGAUAUUUCUUAGGCCUCACCAACUACUAUUAGAGGUUCAUUAGGGAUUGUUCCACCAUUGUCUCACUACUCACUGACUUGCUCAAGAAUACUACUAAGUGGGAAUGGAUGAAGAAGAGCCAACAAGCCUUUGAUGCCUUUAAGAAGGUCGUGACGGAAGAGUUGGUACUGACGCUGCCGAACCAUGCUUUACUGUUCGAGGUACACACGGAUGCUUUCGAUUUUGCUAUUAGGGCUGUAUUUAUGAAAACUGAACAUCCCAUAGCCUUUGAAAACCGAAAGCUCAAUAAUACGGAGCGGCGAUAUAUGGUACAAGAGAAGGAGAUGACUGCGGUAGUGCACUAUUUGCACACAUAAAGGCACUACUUGCUUAGGUCCAAGCAGCUGGUUUCUCUCGUGCAGCAGGGGAAAUCAAAGAGAUUUUGAGUCAAAGAUGGCCUUUUAUACACCAAAGGACGGCGUGUCUAUGUUUUGAAGUAUGGAAACUUGAGGAAAACCUGAUCAAGGAGUGUCAAGACACCAAGUGGGAUGGACACCUGAGGCAAAGACGGACACGAGCCUUACUUGAGUCGGCAUGCUAUUGGCCUCAGAUGCGGGAUGAGGUGGAGUAGUUUAUGCAGACAUGCUUAGUGUGCCAGUAGGACAAAACAGAGCAACAAUGUCCCGUAGGGUUGCUUGAGCCAUUGUCUACUCUGGAUCGACCGUGGGAAAACAUUUUGAUGGAUUUCAUAACUUGUCUUCCGAAGUCUGCGGGGUUUGCGACCAUUGUUGUGGUGGUGGAUCGCUUAUCCAAAUAUGCCACUUUUAUUCUCGCCCCGAAUGAAUGCACUACGGAGGACACGAUCAACCUUUUCUUUAAGCAUGUGGUGAAGUAUAAGGGACUUCCGAAAUCCAUCGUUAGUGACCAUGACAGCUGGUUUACGGGGAGGUUUUGGACUGAGUUGUUUAAGCUAAUGGAGUCGGCGUUAUACUUCUUUACGAGCUUUCACCCACAGACCGACGAGCAAACAGAGAGAAUGAAUGACUUGUUAGAGCUGUACUUGCGGUGUUUUGUGAGCGUCAACCAACAUGAUUGGGCGAAGUUACUGGAUGUGGCCCAAUUUUUCUACAACUUGCAGCGAAUUGAGGCUACUUCGAAGAGCCCUUUCGAGGUGAUCAUGGGACAACAGCCGCUAACGCCACACACACUCAUCAUGAGCUACACCGGGAGGUGUCCCACAACAUACAAGGUGACUAAGUCGUGGCAUGAGCAAGCAGACAUAGCCCGGGCGCACCUCGACAAGGCAACCAUGUGGAUCAAGAAGUGGGCGGAUAGUAAGCGUAGACACUUGGAGUUCAAUGUAAGGGACAUGUGCUAAUGAAGAUCUUUCCGUCCCUACCUAAGUCUACUCGUCCACUGUACAAGAGCCUUAUCCAGAAGUACGAGGGACCACUUCCCUUCAUCAAGAGGGUCGGUAAUGUGUCGUACAAGCUAGAGUUGCCCUUUUGGCUAAAACUCCAUCCAGUCUUCCACGUGAGUUGCUUCAAGCCAUACCAUGAGGAUACGGAAGAUCCGAAGCGAGGAGAAUCCAAGCGCCCUCCACUCGGUAACAUGAGGGUGUAAGACAAAGAAGUAGAGACCAUCUUGGCUAAUCAUGUUGUUCAGAAGAAGAGUUUUCUGUCAUGCCAAGAGUACUUCGUCAAGUGAAAGGGACUACCUGAGAGCGAAGUAAGUUGGGAGCUCGCAAAUGAUUUGUGGCAGUUUUAAAACACGAUCAAGGACUUCCACAGCGAAUCAACGAGGACGUCUCCUAAUUAGGUGCAGGAGAAUGUCAUGGCCCAAGCCUCCAAGUAGCAUGGCUUGACCCAUAGAUGAUUCUAGACUCAUGCAGUGUGUAGAUAUUUCUCAUAUACUUAUUAUGGGUAGGUGGUAGGUGGUACCUGAGCAUUAACCCACUCUCUUGUACUUUAUAUAUAGGAGGGGGCCUCAUUUGGCCAAGAUACACAAGACAUAACAAGCAACACAACACACAUAGCUUGUAAGCAUUUCAUCGAACAAUACAAGUCCUUUCCUCCCAUCUUGUGUGAGUUUGAGUGAAUAUUCAUUCCAGUUUUCGAAUCCAGCAACAAAUUUGAGUGUAAAGCUGACUUAAGGUUAAGAGAGUGUGAAUUUGGCACCUAAGGCUGCACAGCACAACGUGGAAUAUAAGCGGGCCGUGACAUAAGGAAUCAAAUCAACUAAAGAACUUAAGCAAUAGAAAUAAUUGCAGCUUCAGUUGACCAAAGAUUGAGCCAGCACCAGAACACCUGAAAGUAGGUGACAAUGGCAGCGAUGUAGCAUGUAUGUUUCUUAGCUUAAGGUUAGCGCUUAUAACAUGUGUUUUACAAUAAGGAGAAGGGUAUUGGGGAUUACGUGUUUUUAUUUUUGCCUUUCAUACCCCUUGUUUUUAUUUUUUUAUUUUUAAGGACAAACCCGAUUGAGUUUUUAAUUCGGUUCAAAAUGAAAAUUGAUUGGACUCCAAAUUUACCCAUUCACCUUCUUAUAGCUAAUCUGAACCAAAACAAACCCGAACUAAUUUUGGGUUUCGAACACCCAACCCUAGCGAGUAGGGAUGGCAAAAUCUGGAUCCGGAUUGAUAUUCUUAUAUCCAAAUCCACUUACGGAUCUAAAAAAAAAAUUAAGAUCUGGAUAAAGUAAUAUCUGCACAGAUUGCGAGUGGAUAUUCCGAAUAUAUGGAUCCGUAAAAAUUACAAUUCAAUAAUUUAAAAUUCAACAAUUCACCUAAUAAUAUCAAAUAAAAUUCAAUCAUAAUUUAACAAUCAACAAUUUAAUACCUAGAAUAACAUACAACACUAUAAAGUUACAAAUAAAAAUACCACAACAUAAAUCAAACAUCAAGAAUAACAUAAAUUCAAGUCUAGCAUUACCACAAAUCCACAAAUAAAAUUAUAAAAAGACCACAAAUCCACAUAAAAUAAAGCGGAUCCCAAUAUAUUUCUUAAUUUAAAUUAACUUCUAUAUUUUUUAAUUAAUGCUAUUAUGUUUUUCAUUUAAUUUAUAUAUAUUUUCAUUUAAUUUUAUAGUAUAAAUAAUUUAAUUAAAAAACAAAGCAAAUCUCAAUAAUUUCUUAAUUUAAUUUAACUUCUAUAUUUUUAAUUAAUCCUACUAUGUUUUUCAUUUAGCUUAUAUAUUUUUUCAUUUAAUUUUAAUUUAAUAAAUAAUUUAAUUAAAAAAUAAUGCAAAUCCCAAUAUAUUUCUCAAUUUAAUUUAACUUCUAUAUUUUUUUAAUUAGUCCUAUUAUGUUUUUUUUCUUAUAUAUAUUUUAUUUAAUUUUAAUUUAAUAAAUAAUUUCAUUGAAAAAUAAUGUGGAUCCAAAUAUCCGAUUUUCCAAAUGCAUUUUACAUCCAGAUUUAUAUUUGAAUAUGCACGGAUCUUAAUUUUAAGGAUCCGGAUCCAUAUUUUUUAAUAUGCGAAUCUGAAUUUUUGUAAAUCCAAAUUUUCCGGAUCCUUCCGAAUCCAGAUACCCCUACUUGCGAGGUCUAAGUAGUGAUACUGGUGCGUGUGCAAAGAAUAAGAGAAAAUAAUUUAUUUGUUUGAUACAGCCUGCCUCUUCAUAUUUAUAAAAAAAAUACACAGAAGUUUCUAGAUAUAAAGAGGUUGCAUCUUUCAUACAGUAGAAGGAAUCUUGUAAAAUUUAUAAGACAACCCUGAGAGAAGAAAUUUUCUGUUCCGCUGCAUGCCUGCUUAAGCAACUUUGGGUUUGUUAAUGUUGCAAAUUUUAACCUCCCUGCCAAGAGAUGAAAUUAUACAGCCCAACAUGCAACUGCAGAAAAUCGAGUAAUAUGUUCCCAGAACAUCAAUGGAAGAAAGAACAAACAGAAUCCUCUUUGCCCUUUUCUAGGACAUAACUCACAAUAUAUUAGAUAAUUACAACUAUACCCCAUAGACAUCAUUCUGUGGGUUUUACUCCAUCUCGAUAAAAGACCCACACCUAAAUUCCAUAAACUUAGGUCCGCUAUUCAGCUCAUGAUUUUCCUUCUCCAGAGGCCAUAGGCAUCAUUCAAAGCAUAUUGGAUAUAUACUUUGCAAUAAAAAAUAUUAAAAUUUUGUCAUAGAAGUGUAGUUCACAGAAAGAAAAAUUGAUUAACAAGUAUAAACAGUAGAAGUUCAUUUACAUGUAGCUCAUUCUGGUAUUCUGGCUUGAUAUUCAUACCUAUUUUGGCUUCAGUUUUAAGGAAGCACUGCAAAGUAGUAUGAAAAAGAUGUUAAGCAUAACAUUACAUAUUUCAGGUAAAAAUUUAAAGGCCACCAAUUGAUUGGAAGAAUUUACCUGUUGAUACAGUAACGCUUUCCUGUGGGUGGUGGGCCAUCAUCAAAGACAUGGCCAAGAUGAGCAUCACAUUCGGCACAAAGGACCUCCUGGCGAGGCAUGAAAAUAAUUGACAAAUCCAACUUUGACUUCACGUUGCUUCCUAUGGGCUGAUAAUAUGAUGGCCAACCAGUACCACUGUCAAAUUUGGUUGAUGAUCUAGAGGAAGAAUAGCAGUUGAUCAAGGUUAUUGAAGAUCCAAUGAAGAUUUCUUAUGAAAAGUGCCUAAACAAAAUACAAACUCUUACUCGAAUAAAGGUGUGUCACAACAAAUGCAAUGGUAGGUACCAGCGGUUUUGGUGUUCCAAUAUUCCCUGAAGAAGAACAAAUACAGCAUAUUGUAUUGUACAUCAGUUGUUAGUAAAAAUAGCACUCUAUGCUGACAGUGACUCCCAGCUGGUCCUUUUAUCAAAAUUAAAAUUGUAAAUGCUAUAUCUAGGAAACCAACAGUAAAAAUUCUAUGGUCUGACCCAAUCCUGAGUAAAGCUUUGGAGGGGCAAAAGUAAAAAGCAGGUCAGUGUCCCACAAGGCUAUCACAUAACGCACAUGCAAACUGACACCUGCCAACUACGGGUAAAAGUAAUGUAAAUGGUUUACAGAACAUAAUACAUCAUACCCCGUAAAAGCCCUCUCAGUCCCUUUUUGUCGAGUUAUGUAAUAUUGCUCCCCUGUGAGCCUUCCUUUCCACUCUUCAUCACUUAUAGAAGCAUAAUCAACCCUGUUGGCCUCUGCAGAAGACAACAGAUGAAUUCCUGUCAAAUAAGAAAGAUAAAAAAUGCAACUGCUACAGAUUAUAAGGUCUUUCAAGACACAUAUUCCAACCAAUCUCAUCUCUUAUUUAUGGAGAAUAAGCUAAGGGAAAUGAGUUUCUUUUUUUCUUUUUUUCUUUUUCUCUUAUUUAUGGACAAAAAACCAACUAGACUCGUUAUCAACAAAAUCCAGAAGUACUUUCUCUCCAUUAAUAUCCCCCUAGAAUUAACUGCUCCAUUGCAAUUGAAUCCUGAAGUCAGCAAAAUAAGGUAUAGUACUAGCGGUUAUCUCAUAAAAGAGAUAGAAGAGAAAAUUCUCACAAGUUCCUGAGCAUACGCUGCAACAAUGAAUAAAUAAGUUUACUGUUUAACAUAUCAAAGUUGUUUACAAAUUUCCAUCUUUUGACCGUCUCUGCUUCACAAUACGAUUUAGAGGAAUGCCUAUACUUAUCCAUGGACAUAAAUGUUGACUCCCCCAAUGAAUUAUUUCAUGAUGAUCAUUGAUUCCCAGGACAUCCUAACCGAAUGCAAGUGAUACUAUCAGGAGGGUAUCACAGAAAAUAUUCUUUGAAUAAAAUUCUUAGCUCUAUGGAAAUGAGGCAUCAUUUUUUGCAAUUUGCUUUUGACUGUUAUCAAUCCCAAUUAGUCCAUCAAACAAUACUAAAUAAUAUUAAAGGGUAAGUCGAGGAUUAAUGUGGCCUGGCUUUUAGUGCAGCAUGGAACGGAAUCAUUGACUAUCAAGUAUGCGUAGUUGGGAAACAACAAUCCCAAACAUAGCCUAAUUAAAAUCGGCAAUUACAAUUCCACCUAGCCAACUGAUUAAUACUAAACCAAGAACACAAAUACCAGAAUUCUAGUUCCUGACAAUCCAAAAUGGCACUAUUCAUAAUAGAAUGAAAGGCAAAAACAAGAGACAUAUGAUGAAGGAAAAAAAAAAUGUAAACAACUAGAAUAGAAAAAGAAAGAGAGACCUUGAAUGUUGUCGGGUUUCUGGGAAGAAGCAGAGGAGCCCAUGGCGCGAAUUACUGACAAGGAAACUCUUUUGGGCCGUCUUAAAGAAGGAGAAGCUGAAACAAAUAGCUUGGACUUGACGCCAGAUUCGAAUUGGCUGAGAGUAGAAAUGUGCAUCGCCGUUGGGAUGCUCAUUAAACUAUGUGAAAUCGCCAUUAUCAUGACAUCAAUUGCUGACCAUUUCCAUUUGUGACAAAAGUACAAUAAUUUUAAAAUUUUGAGGAAAAGUGAAAAAAAAUAAAAGAAAUAAGAAGUGGUACACGUGGUCUUGUGUGGAGAUGAACCGAGAAGAGGCUCUAUGUUGCCCACGUAGACAGGCAGAAUUCCCUAGUCAAUCGACUUGGGUCUACAGCCCAGACUGCGGAAGGAUUUGAGUUCGUGGAAUUAUUAUUAUUUUUUUCGCUUUCUUCGUUAAAAGUUGAAUAAGUUUGAAUUUGAGUGGAGUUUAAAUAAUUUUGAAUACAAACAUGAUAUAUUGAAAAAAUAUAUUUAUUUUUUAGGACUUGUCUAUGUUGCAACAGUUGCAACGUACCACAUCUUUUUGUUUCCAUUCUAAAAUACCAUUGGAUGGAAAGUGCAUGAAUCUAAUAGUUGAAAUUAGUUAGUGGAUAAAUGGGGUAUUCAUUGGCAACCGUUGAAGCCGAUUUAGUGGCUGUUAUAAGGAGUGUCGGUUUGACAAAAUUCAUCGGAAGAAGAACAACUCUGUUUUGAAAUAGAAAUUAGGGUUUAACAGAUGGCGCUUGAGAAUUAAUAUGGAGAGACAAGUCGAAAGAAGAUAAUCGCAAUUUAUUGGGGAGAAAAGAUUUCGCUGAUUCACGUAUGGUCAAACUUGGGUUGUAAAUCGUAUGAAUUCAAUUGCGAUGUUGUUGCUACAGGGGGAGUAAUUGAUUUCGUUUGAGAAUUAAUCUGGAGAUGCCGAAAUCAGAAGAAGAUGAUUGCAAUUUCUUUGGGGGGAAAAGAUUUUGAUGAUUAACGUAUUUUGUAGCUUGGGCUAUAAUCCGUACGAAAUCGAUGGAGAUUUUGUUACUGCAGGUGGUGUAAGUGAUUUCAUUUUGAGAAUUAAUCUGGAGACACAGAAAAUGAAAGAAGACAAACGCAAUUUAUUGGGGGAAAAGAUUUUGAUGAUUUUUAUAUGAAAAUGGGCUGCUGUGGGUAGGAAUCUGAUUGCGAAUUUGGCACUGUAGCAGACACUUGCAACCAAGACAGAGCCUUAUCUGAACCUAGAUUGAAUAUUGCGUGUGUGUGCUCUGUUGUUGUGCCAUUGGAAGCGGACGCAUCAAGUAAUCCGUGAUAAAAAUUAAUUAAUUUUGUUUGAAUGAGUAUGACAAUGGUAAUUAGCAUGGAGGGCCGGUUACGCUUAGUUGUUAAAAUGAGAGAAUGUGAGAUUGAUCGGAAGGAGUUGUUGUUAAUUUCAUUGCAGGAAGUGCUAUAUUGAAGAGCAAGCGUGAGGGAAUUAAUUUCUUGGAGAAGAAAACAAAGAAGGAUCCAACAUUUACCUUUCAACAAACUAUGCUUGUAGAUAUUGGUUUCUUAUUGUAAGGGUUAAACGUGGCCAUAUCGGUAGUUGAAUAGGUCUUACUUGAAUGCUUGGUAUUCUGAAUUCUCUAGUGGUGACCAAGUAUGUAGGGACGAUAUUAUGGUUAUGAAUUGUUAGUUUAGUUUUGUUAAUGGCUUGCACCUGGUUGAUAAAAAAAAAUGACUUCCUUGUUUAAUUUGUAAACUUACAUGUUGAUAGGCUGUGGGGACAAAUCCCCUCGAGUUGAAUUAUAUACUCGAUAAAACAAGCUAUCUUUUGAUGAAAAUAAUUAAGUUUCCUUUGACACCAUGCUCUUGAUGGGCAUUGAGUUGAUAUUCAUGAUUGUUUUAUAUUGUAGGCACUGGCAUGUUUGUUCGUUGUAGAUGAACAUGUUUGUAUGGUAUGAUAUUCUUAUUCCUCUUUUCGCCGUAUGUUGAAUUUAAGUUAAUGCAAAAUUUAGGUUAGUGCAAACAGCUAUUGUCCUAGAAAAGACACAACAAAUUGAAAAAUGGGUUCGCAGUUGCCAAGAAAGGUCUGCCUAGAAUAAUGGGGAUAUACUUCCUUGAAUUCUGUAUUGGUUGAGUGUCAAUUACAAUGAAAUCAACAGGAAAAUAAAACUUGUCUACCUAGAUAAGCACGUCCUCCACAAUAUCACGAGGUAUUUUCAUGGACCGAUCUGCAAGCUGUAACACCACUGGAGUUGGAUUUAAUUCUCCAAGUCCAAGUUUCACAAACACUGAAUAGAGUAACAGAUUUACACUAGCUCCUAAAUCCAACAAAGCAUUCUCAAUUGUGUGGUUCCCUAUACUACAUGAGACAGUGGGGGAGCCUGGGUCUUUGCAUUUUAGAGUAAUUUUAUGUUGGAGGAUAGAACUAACGUUUUCAGUUAAAAAUGCCUUCUUUUGAACAUGAAUGUUUCUUUUUUUAGUACAAAGGUUUUUAAGAAACUUAGCAUAAGAUGGAACUUGUUUAAUAGCAUCAAGCAAAGGGAUGUUAACACUUACUUGUUUGAAGAUUUCAAGAAUCUCACCUGUGGAUUUUUCCUUAUUUCCUUUAGCUAACCUCUGAAGAAAUGGAGCUUUGGGAACGUAUUCUCAUGGGUUAGUUUCUUCUUUCUCCUCCGAUGGUGAGUCCUCAACAUUCACAGGUACAAUUUGAUUUUCUUUUGUCACCGGCAUCUCUACUUUGUUGUCGACUUCUUUUCCUUUUCGCAAGGUCAUGACUACUUUUACCUCUCUAUGCUGCUGUGGUGAACUGGUACUUGCUUUAUGCACUCCUUUAGGAUUAGACAUUGGUUGACUUGGAAACUUGCCUUUCUCAACAGUCAUUGCCAAGGUCUGAAUUAAAUAAGCAAAUUGUCCUACCAUCUUCUCGAGGCUUGAAACUGAUUGGGCUUGUGAGUUGAAGCCUGCUCUCAACUCAUUUUGUAGUCCAUCAAUGGUGCGAUUCUGUUGAUCAAUCGUGGAGUGAGUAAGAUUCUUGAGAUUUUAGAAUGAAUCCUCCCAUGGUUUGGGUUGAGAGUAGUUCUGGUUCUGAUUGUAUGGUCUAAAUAGUGGCUGAGAGGCUUGAAGAACUUGAGGAAUUUAUUGCAUUGGUGGAGGUGGAGCUGCUGGUCCAUUAUGUUGGAAUCCUUGAGACCAUGAAAAAUUAGGGUGGUCUCUCCAUCCAGGGUUAUAUGUGUUGGAGUAUGGGUUGUAAUUUGAGAGCUUUCUCAUUACACCUAUGGCAUUAGCUUGAUCUGAGUAUGAGUCAUGGUCAUGUGGUUCUAUUGAUUUAGCAGUCGAUAACGAUGCUAUUUGUCGAGCAAGACCUUCAACCAUCUCCUUGAUUUCUUUGAUUUCUGAACUUGACAAACCAAUGUGAACCUCUUUUACUCCCUUAAUUCUUCUAGUGUUUCUUAGUGAUCGACACUGUUGUUGGGAAUUAUCUGCUUGUCGCUGGAAGAAUUCCCAAAUUUCUGAUGCACUUUUUGACAUUAGCUCUCCUCCACUUGUUGCCAUUAGCCAUUCUUGCAUAUUCGGCAAUAAUCUCUCCAAAAAGUAUUGACAUUGGUGUCAUUUCUCGUACCCAUGAUGUGGACACUUCAAGAGUAGCCCAUUGAAUCGCUCCCAUGUUUCGAAAAACUGCUCGUCUUCUCUCUACAUAAACUCUGAAAUUUCCCUGCGAAUAGCAUUGGUUUUAUGCACUGGGAAAUAUUUAUUCAAAAGUUUUGUUACCAUUUGUUCUCAUGAUGCAAUGCUAUUAGCAGGCAAUGUAUUAACCCAUGAACGAGCUCUAUCAUUUAAAGAAAAUGGGAAUAGUCUAAGUUUUACACCAUCAUCUGAAAAAUUCUCAUAUUUAAAUGUUUGACAAAUAUCAGGAAAAUCAUUCAAAUGAUUAUAUAGGUCCUCAUUUUCUAGGCCAUAGAAUGUUGGGAGACAAUUUAGCACACUAGGUUUUAGUUCAAAACUCCUAGCAGCUACAUUUGAAUAUCUUAUGUAUGAUGUGCUCAAAUUAGCUAAAGGACUAAAAUAGUUCUUAAAUGGUUUCUCUUGUGGUUGUAAAUCCAUUUUAUUUUUAACUUAUUUGUGUGUGCGAAGUGUUUUCUCAAGUUCAAGGUCUAUAGGUUCAAGAUUAGGUAAUAAUGACCUUCGACCAUGCAUGCAAAGAACAAAAAAAUAAAUGGGAACAAAACAAAAAAAAAUAAAGGAGAAGGAGAAAUUACGGUACUAACCUUAUUACGCUGUUAAAACAUUUCUAUAAAAACACACUAAAAAAAUACAUGAAAUAAAUUAACUAAAAAUAAAUUAAUAAAAUAAACAAAAAACAUUACAAAGAAAAUGACUUAAAAAUUAAAUUGCAGAAUUGUAAAGAAUAGAGAAAGAAAAGAAAUUAUUACCUCUAAAUGUAGAUUCACUUUUUUUUCUUUUUUUCUUUUUUUUAAAGAAAAAAUACAAGAAAAUAAAUAAAAGAAAUUAUACAAAAAUUAAUUAUACGAAUUAAAUAACUUACCUCCCCGGCAAUGGUGCUAAAAACUUGUUGUGCAAAUUUUAUUGAACUCGCAAGCGCACGAAUCUAUUGUAGAAUAGACUAAUGGUGACGAGUGUCGAUCCCACGAGGAGGUGAAUUUUAAUUGUGUGUAAAAUUAAUUUUGUACGAGGGUAGUUGGAUUUGUGGUGAAAAUGAUUUGGAUUAUCCUAAAAUUGAAAUUUAAAUAGCGAGAAUAAAUUGAAUAGAAAUCUAUUAAAAUGACGUACUUGGGUAUCUGGAUCCGUAUCAACAUGCAUCAUGGGCUAAAUAUUCCUUAUUAAUACCAAUUAAAUCAUGAGGGGGGAAUCCACACCUCAUGAAUCACACUCUAAUCAAUAUGGUGCUAAGAGCUUAUCGUGCCAAAUAAUAAUAACCUUAUACUAGGGAGCCGGUGUAACCAGGGCGGUAUCUAGACAAGAUUAUUAUUAUUUGUCGAUGAAAAGUCAAAUCAUCCACAAAAAUUAAAGGAGAAAAGAAAAUAAAUUUACCAAAUAAAGCCCAUGACACAUGUUGAGACUUCACCUUCAACCCAAGCUUAAAAGAAAAUUAGCUACUCAUAAUUGAACUAGGGGCAAAAUAGAAAUUUAUUAAAAUACAUAGAAAAUACAAGAUGAAGAAGGAAUUACAGAAAAUGGAUCCCAAAAAUGGAUUCAGAGCUAUCAAAUUAGGGGGGGCCCUUUUUAUAUAUACAUUGAGUAAAUCGUGGCCAUCGAAUUAAAAAUAAUUUAGACGCUCAGGAUUACGCCACGUCAUCAGUCAACAGUACGUGGUUUGACCACGCGGGUGAACAGUAACACAGUUUGACCCGAAUUGAACAGUGACGCGGUUUAGUUGAAAAUAAUCUUGUGUAAUGCAUGUACCGUACACGAUAUUUUUGGUCCAUUGAUAUGCUGCCACGUCAUCGAUCAACAGUGCAUAAGAAUUUUAGUCCAACAAGAUCGUGACACCUCAUCAGUCAAUGCCACAUCAUCGGUCAAUGCCACAUCAUCGAUCUAUCUAUGUGAAAAGUGUCGUGAACAGUAACGUAGACAAUACCGUACAUGUGAACAGUGCCAUUUUUCCUUUUAUGCUCCUCCUAAGGUUUUCAACCGUCCUGAGUUCAAAAGUGAUGUCCGUUUUGCUGUCUGAUCUCUCGUUCAUUGUGAAAUGACUAUGAUGCCCCUAAAAUACAUAAAAUACUUAAUUAAAAUAAAACACACAUAAUUAAAUUACAAGAAGCUUAAAUACAUAAAAAUAAGGGUUGUUAAUAAGGCUUGAAAUGUAAACUGACGAUUUUCUCCUUUAUAAAUAUAGAUUUUCUAACACUCAACAUCUAUUAAAGUAAUUUUAUAAAUUUUUAAUAAAAACUCUUACUGACAAUUAAAGAACUAAAAUUUUUUUAAUCAGGAUUCGUUUAUUCAAUUCGAUUCGAUGCAAAUUAAAUGGGUUUGGAUUAGAAAAAAAAUUGAUUUGUUUAAUAAAUGAGUGAAUUUGAUUCGAUUUGUUAACUAAAUGAAUCAAAUCCAAGUUUGAAGAUAUUGAUUCAUUUAUUCGUUUAUGAUUCAUUUAAUAAAUGCGUCAUAAAGAAAUUGAUUACAAGUCGAUUUAUUUAAAAUUCUUUUAUUAUUCAUUUAAUUAAAUUAACUUUUUGUCCUUAAAUUUUAUUUGAAAAAUUUUUAGAAUUUGAAGGUUAAUAUUUUAAUUUGGAUGAUUGUGUAUUUAAUCCUAGAAUAUGGUUUGGAUUAUUUGUAUUUUGUUGUAGAAUAUUAAAUUUGUGACUUUUUUAUAUUUUAUUUUGCUUAAUUUUGUUUAUUAAUUAUAUUUUUCUAAACGAAUCCUGAUUCGAUUUGAUUCAUUAUGCAUUCGUAAUAGAAUAAAUGAAUAAUAAACAAAUCCGGAUUCGAUUUGAUUCGUUUAUUAAUUCUGCUAAACGAAUUAAACAUUAUAAGAAUACAAAAUGAAAAAAAAACUUUAAUGCCUAUAUUUUUUUACAUUAAUAUAUGAUAUUUAUAAUGUUAUUUUUAGUAUAUUAUAUGAUAUUUUUUCUUGUUAAUUGCGUAAGCUAACCAAGAAUUGUUUAAUCAUUUAAAUUAAACUCAAUGUAUUAAAUAUAUUUAAAAUCUAUUUAAAAAUAGUAAUUGUAAGUACUAAAAGUUCAAACUAUUAUAAAACACACUCACAUAAAGACUUAUUAUGUUUAGAAUUCUCAUUCACAAUUUAAAAAAAAAAAUUGAUUGUUGAAUUCGCACAGAGCAAAGAAGAUUGAUUGUGUAAUAUGACAUAAAUAUAUUUAAUAAGAGCAUUAAUGAAAUAGAAAAGUUUCAUUAAGAUGUUUUGCUAUUCAGUAGAAGUCAAAAUAUUUAACUUUUUUCAUUAAGGCCUAAACAUCUUAUAAUCUGACAUAAGUUAUAAAAAAAAAAAGACCUAAAACUCUAAAUGUCUGAAAAUAAUUAAAACUUAUAAUUCAGACAAAAAACAACAACCUCUAUUAUUCUUUUUUAAAAAUUGGGUGAAAUUGUCUAAGUUAAAUAUUUUAGCCGCAUGAUUUUAGAAUUAAAAAAGGGGAAACUAAGGGUUUAUUUGUUAAACACCUAAAGUAUAAAAUUUUAUUAAUUUUAGAUUUUUUUUAAAUUUAUUUGUUUGUUUUUUGUAAUUUAUGUCUAAUUUUUAUAGAUUUAUAUUUGAAUAGAAAAAUAAAUUUUUAAGACUUUUAUUUAAAUGGAAAAAUUUCUGAAUGAAAAGUAAAUAUUAUAUUCUAAAAAUAUCUCUAUUACAUGUACUUAUUUCCUGAAUUAUAAAACUUAAUCCUUUUUCAUUUUGAUAUAUAUAAAUAUAUAUAUAUAUAACCUAUUGAAGAUUUUUUUCUUUAUAAAAUGAAACAAAAUAUAACUUAUGUUUAGAUAUUAAAAAUAGAAAAAUAAAAAUGUCACUCAAAUAUUUAUAUUGAAAGCCAUUCAGGUUUAAAAAAAAUUUAGAGUUCAUUUAUAUUUUAGACAAAAAAACAAAUGUUACUUAGGAAAGGGUUAACUAAAAAUAAUUAAAAUAAAUCACUCAGGAUGUGUCUGACACAUUGUAUUAUAUUACAUUGUAUUAACUAUAUUAUAUUAUAAUAUACCACAUUAUGAUGCGUUGCAUUAAAUUGUAAUGCUAUACUAUAUUUGGUAUAGUAUAAACCAUAUUAUAUAUAAUAUUAUUUUGUAAUAUUAUUUUUAUAUUAAUAUAAAAAUUAAAUUAACAAUGUUUAAAUUUUUUAGUAUUUUAUUGUUUUAUUAGUAAUUUUUGAAAAAUAAUUACUAAACAAUAUUUUAUUUAUUAUAUUAUGAAAUAAUAUAAUAUUAUUAAAUGAUAUUAUAAAAUUACUCAUUUCUAAAUAUAAUAUUAAAUAUUCGGCAUUAAUAAAUAAAAAUAAAUUAUAAUUUAAUAUUUUAUCUUAUUAUUACAUACUACAACUUACAUUAUAUUAUAUUUUACUAUAGUACAAUAAAACAUUAAAUUUUGAUUUAUUUUUAUUUAUUAACAUCAGAUAUAACUUUUAAUUUAAAAUUUAGUAUUUUAGUAAAUAAUAAAUUAUUAAAUAAAAUUAAAAUACUUUUUAGAUAUUUAAAGGCAAAAAAUUAAAAUGAUUCAUGUAAUAAAAAUAAAUUAAAUAUUCACGUUUAUUAAUAGUUUAUAUUAUUAUUUUUUAUUUAAAUAUGUGUAAAAUAAUAUUUAAAUUUAUUAUAAAUUAUUUAAUAAUAAAAAAGUAAAAUGGUUAAAAUUUAAAAUAUGCAUAGUAUUUUAAAAGCAAUACGACCUAAGCCCUAUGCCUAUGAGUUUAUUUUAUGCACCUUUUAUUGAAUUAGCCACAUUUUUAAUGCAGUUAAAUACACUUAAAAAUUAUAGCCAAAUAUGGAUUAGUAACAAAAAUAAUGUUUAAAUGCAAUGCAAUACAAUAUAAUGCAAGUUGCCAUACACAAUCCUGACAUAUCAUCAAAGAAAAGUGUUUUAGAGUUGGAAAAUUUAGAGCACGCUUACAAUAAUUACGUGAAUCACGUAAAGUGUUUUGGAUUAUUCUUGGGAUGCUCAAAAGUGAUUUGAAAAAGUUAAAACAUAAUUUUAAUGUUUGGUAAAUUUUGUUAGAAAUUAUUUUUGGUAAAAUCUUUUAAAAGUUAGGGAAAGAGUAUAUUUUCAAAAUCUGAUUUUGAGAAUCAAUUUUGUUGGUGGUAAAAUGUAGACCAAAAGCAUUAAAGGCAUGACAAAUAGAGAACGUUAUUAUGGACUAUGAUAAAAGAUGAAGGGGAGAUUGAGAAGGGAAAAUGAAAUCCUCAACCACCUAAAUUACGCAAGAGUGACAAAAUGUUGCCUCUUACAAAAUAUCUAGGUUGCCACGUGUCUAUAUGGUACUAUAAAAUAAUGACAACACGCCAGCAUCACCAGGCCACGCAGCUAUCGUUCAGUCCUUUCUAGCACUGUCUCCAAAGUACCUCCUUGUGAGUUGCCAAAGUUAGGACUAAGAAAGGGUACAGACAAACCACACACACCAUCCCCAGUAAAAUCAUGUGCUCCUCAGCCCUAUUGGUUCAUUCAAAAAAGACAAAUUAGAGUUAAGGGCACACUGUCAGCACAAAUUGUUCCUAGCUGGAUAGUUGUCUAGCCUAAGCAAGCUUAAAAGCCUCUACAAAAGGAGCCAAAUUACUCUUAAGAUCUCAUCUGAGGAGGGGAAUCACCAAUAAGGGUUCGCCAUGUGUCUAAAAGGACAUAAAGACGCCCUUAAGGGCACUCCACUUUAAAAGGUCAGGUUGGUCUCACUAAAGGGUAAGUUCAAUCUUUUACAGAAAAACACCCAACCUCCAACUGACUUGACAGUUGGAGUGCUAUUACCGGUCACUGCUAACACCGCCUUUAAUAGUUGUUUCUUGUGAUUUUAGGUUCGCCUUAGCUGUUAUUGUCCCUUGAAAACAGAUAGCCCAUCUCCAUCUUCACCAAAAAAUCGCACUUUGUAAUGUUUUGGGCUAAACUAAAAUCAAGCUAAAACAUUUUGACGUUGUCUAAGGGAUGACAAACAAGAAUCCAUUGUUCUAAUCUCCAUUGACAAAGAGAGCUUCUCACCUUAGAAAAAAAAAACCAUCUUUUCUUCUCAAACAUACUAUUGUUCUCUUAAAAAGAACCCAUUCUUCUCCAAGAAGAUAUGAUUUUUCUCUAAAAAAGUUACUCUUCUUCAUAAAGACUUGAUUUUUCUCUACAAAGAUAUGGUUUUUAUCCACAAAAGUAAAUUUUCUUCAUAAAGACUUGAUUUCUGUCUACAAAGAUGUGAAUUUUCUCCACAAAAAUGCCAUUUUUAUUCACAAGAUAAAAACCUCUCAAACACCAUAAACAAGGUCAUAUAAGAUGUCAACAAAAAGUGACCACUGAAAGAAUCCCAGAGAGACUGUCUCAGGCUAAGAAGACUUCCUUGGGGGAGUACUAAAUACGAAGAACUCCUAGAGAGACCGUGUCAAAAUAAGAAAAUCUCCUCAAGGGAGCUCCAGAUAAGAAGAACUCCUUAAGAGAUCGCCUCAGACUAAGAAGACCUCCUUGAAAGAGCCCUAAAGUAAGAAGAAUGGCCAGGGCGAUCGCCUCAGAUAAAAAGAACUACCAAACGAAGCCAUAAAGUAAGGAAAACUCCUUAACAAGAGAGACUAUCCUAGAGUGAUCAUCCCAGAGUGAGAGGGACUCAUAAAAGAGCCCUCGAAUAAGAAGAGCUCCGAGAAAGAUCCUUAAGAAAAAUCCCCAGUAGAGGGAUCACCCAUGAGUGGAAGAACCCGUUAAAAAAGGGAUCAUCCCUCAAAUAAAACAAGAACGCGUUGUUCUAUUUAAAAUUUCAACAUAAUAAGAAAGUCGCCAUUUUUUAGAGUGCACUUCAGACCCCUAAGUAUCUAAAACAGCGUGGAGUUCACCUUAAAUGCGGAUUUGUUCGAGUGUCCAAGAUGUUGAGAAGGUCCUCUUACUUAAAAGCCUGCCAAAAAUUCCUCAACUCCCUCUUUUUAGUAUUCCCGAUUAUCUUUCUAACUUUACUUUUAUUUUUAAAAUUUAUAUAUUUUAAACAUACUAUUCACACUUAAUGCUUAAAGGCACCUCAACGAUCCCUCAUAUGAUCGAUCCUCUCUUAGAAAGACAUCAUGAUUUCAUCUCGCUUAGGCACCAUUUAUAAUUUGUUUGAGGUUUUUAUUGAUAAAAGCAUGCUUUUACCUUCUUGAUUGAUUGUGUUUAUAGCAUAAUAAGGACCUAUAAGGGCGGCCAUGAUCAUUUUUUUCGAUAUUUUACAUAUAUUUGAUUGCAUUUGAAUUUCAUGAGAUCCCCAAAGGGAUAUUAUAGACACCGUUGAAUUGAUUGACAUCCUUUGGGUCAUAAAAAUCCCAAAACCACUUGCCUAAGAUUUGAUUGAAUGUGAUUUUGUUUAUAAUUAGACAUAUUGAGACCAUUUAAGGUUAAGAGUCCCUAAAUCUUUUAAGGUCAGAGCUAGCAUCUAGGCAACAGACACUAACUUGACAUGCGUAUUAAGGAACUUGAGUUCCAUUAUGUUUUAUGAUUAUGUGAACCUUAUUUUUGCUUGUAUCUGGUUGUUCUUUAUCAUGUUUUCAAUACAUUGGAUGGGAUAUGUUUUUAUAAAUAACUAAUCAGGGGAAGAUCCCACACAACUAUAUGAGACGUACCUCAAAUUGAUUCUACUUUAAAUCAAGGGAAAAUCUCACGUCACUAUCUGAGAUGUUCCAUAGAACAAUUCCACUUCAAGUCAAGAGAAGAUUUAACAUAACUAUCUGAGGUAUUCCCCAUAUCAAUUUUGCUUCGUGUCAAGAGAAGGUCUCAUGUAACUAUCUAUGUUACUCAGAUCAAUUCUAUUUCAAGUCAAAGGAAUCUCAAGUUACCAUCUGAGAGAGUCCCCAGACCUAUUUUACUUUAAGCUAAAAAGAAUAUCCUACAUAAUUAUUUAGGACGUCCUUAGACCCUCUAGUUUAUGAGAAAACCCCAAGAAGUUAUAAAAAGGUCUUGAAAAUUCUUAUGCUCUUAUUGAAGAACCUGUAUUACUAAGGGAUAGAGCCAGGGGGAUAGAGUGAUAGGCCCACUUAUGACUUAAAGCAUGCUCGAAAAUAGAAUCCCAGCCAAAUAAAAAACACAAUCGACACUCCUGAUAAAGAAGACCAUUUAGUUAGAUAGUCACUCGUGACUUCCUCAAUCACAAGGCUCUCAAUCCUUCAGUCCAACACCACUGACAAUCAUCUUCUUUGACGAUGACAUCGAUGGAAUACUUUAUCCCUAUGAUGAUGUACCUAUGAUCAUUAUGGGUAUCCCAUCCCAAUGGAUAUCAUCUUUGUCGGUAUCUUACGUUGAAUGAACAUAAAAUCUAUAAAUAUGUGCUUGUAGAAGACCCAAUUAGCGGGAUUUGCGGGCGAGACAAUUAUGCUUAAAGGAAUCGUAUCUUUACCAGUUAUUUUAACUAACAGUAAUCACAAUAUUGUUUAUCUUGUUGAUUUUUUAAUUGUCCACAGGGAAAACGCCUAUAACUAUAUUGUCAGCCGCCCAUAAGCAGCCGCACCUAAUGUGUUAUCCUUAAGCAUUAAUUGGCUAUAAAAUUCCCCACCGCAACAAGCACCAUCACUAUCGAAGCACGUAAAAGGUUGUGAAGCUAGUCCAAUCCUACAAAAGAAAUGUUCUUUAAAACAUACAUGGCCUUGACUAAGGCCUACUACUGCCAAUAUAAGUAUAUCUCUAAAACUUUGAGAGAUCACCCUAAGAAAGGGUCGUGGUAAAAUAGAGCCAAACAAUAGGGCCCCGAAUAUAUGGGUCAAUCUUAUAAGAUUAUCUCCUACUCUAUUGGUAUCCUCUCUUUAAUUGAUCAAGGCUAUGAGAUCGUCUUUUAUCUAUGAGGACCGUUCUAACCUCAACUUUUUCCCUCAUUCACUAUUAGUAAAAUAUUCUUCAGAACUUAGUGCGUUUGACAUCAUCUAUAGAUAUUCCUCUCAAUCAAAGCAUAAGUCAUCAUUGAUUUCAAAGUUAAAUUCACUGAUGACUUGGCAGGGAUGAAAUAGGGAUAAGAGGUGAUCUCUAACAAGACAAACACUAAGAAAACGAACUCUCUGGCCAAUGGCUUAAUAAGAAUGGUCAAGCUAUCUUUUCCUAAAACCGUUAUUAUAGAAAAGACGCUCAAACCUUGUUGGGGAUCAUCCCCAUGAGAUAGAAUCUGUAGUCAUUUAAGGAUCUUCAAUAAGCCCCAUAAUUAAUUGGUUGUAAAAGGAAACCAUCCCCAAAAAGAAAAAUGAAGCUCGAAGACUCAAAUUCAGAGCUUUUAAAUACUGUCUAAUUGGGGAUGAACUAUAUUGUUGAGGACUCUCAACUCUUUAUCUUAAAUGCCUUGAGCCUUCUUAUACUAAUUAUUAUGCUUGGAGAAAUUAAAAAAAGGACAACACUCUCGGUGCAAAUAGGGAAGGUCUUUAUAAAGUUGAACGGGUUCUCAAAUUUAAGACAUACAUACUACUGCACCUCGAGAGGAAAAAGGUCAAGCACCUUUGGAAUGUCAUCAUGCUCAGAGCAUAUUACCAAGAGGAUCAUUUCAAUAGGCAAUCUCCAAAAGGGUCAGUAUAUUUAUUUACUUUUGUAGUUUUCAACCUUAUUUUUAUUUCCUGUUUUAUACUGCAAGUGAUAACCUAAGAAAAAGCCUCUUAUGACUUCGAGUGGAUCAUACUCGAUUUAAGUAACACCAAUAUUAUAAUAUUUAGAUGGGGCAUACAUGUCAUCUUUUUCUCAACCAUUUGGACGAGGCGUGCAUGCUACCACUUUCUCAACUAUUCGGAUGAGGUGUACAUGUUGUCUCUUUCUCAACCAUUUGAAUAAGGCAUACAUGCCACUUUUUUUCUUAAUAAAGAAGUAUUAUUCAACAAUAUAUGUGUCAAACCGUUAAUUUAUCUUCUAAUGUGGCUACAACACUUGAAAAAGGGCGUUAUCUAUAAGCCUUUGGAAUCUUUGCAAGCUAUAAAGAAAGUCUCACAUGCAGAGGGCAAAAUCCCCACUUUGCAGAGACAUGUUCUCUUAUCUUUAGUAUCUCUAUAGUAAGGGCCCAUACAUGAUAGGAUCAACCCCAUAUGGCGAUGAAGGUAUCUAGUAAUCUCUAUAUAAAAGCCUACGAAUGAUAAGAUCAACCCUACAUGGCGGUGAAGGGAGCCGUUGAUCUCAUUAUAAGGGCCUACAUAUAAUAGGAUCAACCCCAGUGAUCUCUAGUGAAAGGGCUCACACAUGAUGGGAAUACCCAACAUGGUGCUCAUGGGACCUCAUAAUCUUUACAAAAUCAAUACAGAUUUUGUACAUGAGAAGGGCGCCCUUCUCGAAAAGCAACUGCCUCUAUGCGAGGCCAUAUCUAGGUGAAGCCACUUCCGGGUGAAGUCAUCUCGAUUCGCUGCCUUCAGACGUGAUUGCAAUUGGGUGAAGAUACCUCCAAGCACAAUCGCCUUCGGGUGAUGUUGUCUCGAUUCGUUGCCUUCAAGUGUGACCGCGUUUGGACUAAGAUGCCUUUAGGCGAAGUGGCCACCAGGAAAAAUAGCCUCCGGGCAAAACUACUUUCGGGCAUAAUCGCCUUUGGGUGAAAUCACUUUGGUUUGCAGGCUCUGGGCCUAACCACACCGUGACUACAUCUCACAUACAAGGUUGAGAGGUGAAAGUCAAACUUGGAUCAUAAGGAUGGUCUGACACCUCUAAAACCAUUUCUUCAGGAAUCUAGGAGAAAUCCUCCUUUUUUUGCAAAUAAUUCAAAGAUUUUCUUAGGAUCACGAAGUGUUCAUGUCAUUUGGGCAUAAGAAAAAUACGAGGUAUUUCUCUACAACUGUAUUGGGAUGGUCCACCUGGAUAGCAUAAAGAUAAUUUAUUAUAAUGCGCUGAGCCUGCUGCUUUGAGUUUAGUGCCUACACUUCAGCCUUCUUUUUGGCCCUCUUCGCUUCGCCACAGAUAGAAUCCAAUUCCUUCUUAAAAAGAGGUAUUUCUCUUCGUAGGACCUUUGUCGUGGAUCAACUACUUCCUUGUGAAGCUUUGUCAUCACAGAUCUGGUCCAUGACUUGGGCAUGAAACAUGAUAACCUAUAGGGAAAAAAAAAUGUCUCGUGUGAGAUAUUAGCAUGCUAAAAACACUGUCAAAAGUAUAAGAUACGGUCGGGGCCAACUAACAACCAACUUGGUGAGAACCUCUUGUGGCUUCAUCUUCUGCGUAUUCUAAGGAGGAUCCAUAAGUUGAACUUGUAGCCCUCUUUGUAGAGCUCAAUGCUCCAUUCUGGCUGACUUAAAGAGAACCUUCCUUUAUCUUAGAUGUCUUUCCCUCAGAAGAGCUAUCUAACAUACAAAGAAGAGAGCGAUCGAAGGUUACUAAAAGUGGCUUGAAAAGUAAUAAAGGCACGUCACUCAGAACAAAAGACAUUCUUCAAAAUAAAAUAAACAGUCUCGAAAUAGCAAAGGACAUUCUCCAAAUUAUUAAAGACAAACCUCGACCCAACUGAGGUUGAUCCUCAAAGACAAGGGAUAACCCUAGAGGCUAUGAGAGUUUAUCCUCCAAAGAUUGUAGAUGGUCCCCUAAACAUUAUAUGCAAAUAAAUAAGAAGAAGAAGGCCCAUAAAACCUUCUACUUUAGGAUCCUCUCUGAUCUUAGUCAUCCAUAGGCCUAUUUUCUAGAUUUUAUCUUAGGUUGUGAUAUUCCUUAAGGUCUUCACGUACACUCCCCCUUUAGAUUCUUAACAAGUCUAAUGGUCAGAUCCUUGUCCUAUGGGCUUGCCUUCUACACUUUUACCUUUGCAAAACAAGGGAUUCAUGCGAGGAAAAAAAAGACAAAGCCGCCAGAAGAAUGAUCGAACUCACAAAAGGGGGAGCGACGAGCUUCUUUUUCCACAGCACAAAUAAGGAAUUUCGUUAAAAGAUGUCGAGAUAAACCCCACUAAGAUUGUCCCUAUAGGAGAUCUUCCCAUGUGUCAUGAUCCUUCAAGCAAAAUAUAGGAAUCUUGUUGGUAGAAAAUAUAGGCUAGAGGUAUUAAGGGCAUGACAAAUGGAGAGUGUUAUUCGGGAUUGUGAUAAAAAAUGAAAGAGAAGUUGAGAAGGGAGGAUGAAAUGGGAAGAUCUCGAAGAACAGGCUUCAACCACUUAAAUUGCCCAAGAAUGAGAAAAUGUUACCUUCUACAAAAUAUCUAAGUCGCCACGUGUCUAUACGGGACCACAGAAUAGUGACAACUACAUUAGAGUCGCUAGGCCACGUAGCUACCAUACGGUCCCUGCUUGAACUAUCUCCAAAGUAUCUCCUUGCGAGUCGCUAAAGUCAAAAUUAAGAAAGGAGGACCAUACACAAAUUAUCUGCACCAUCCCUAGUGAAAUCAUGUGCUCUUUAGUCCUAUUGAUUCAUUCAAAAUGGGCCAAUUAGAGUUAAAAGCACACUAUUAGCAUAGACUGUCCCCAAAUGGACAGCUGUAAAAACUAAACAAGCUCAAAAGUCUCUAUAAAAGGAGCCAAAUUACUCUUAAGACCCUAUGUGAGGAGGGGAAUCACCAAUAAUUUGCUACGUGUCCAAAAGGACAUAAAAAUGCCAUCAGAGGCACUUCACUUUAAUAGGUCAUAUUGGUCUCACUAAGGGGUAAGUUCACUCUUUCACCAAAAAUAACUCAGCUCUUCUCAUAUUCCAAAGUUUUUUGCAAACCCAUCAUCUCCUCCAACCUCCCAUUGACUUGACAGUUAGAGUGUUGUCGCCAACACCUCUAAUGACUGUUUCUUGUGAUUUCAGGUUCGUCUUAGCCGUCACUGUGCCCUGAAACCGUCUUCAAAGAACCCAUCACCAUCUUCACUAGAAAAUUACCCUUUGUAGAGAAGCUUCCAUAAUGCUUUGGGCUAAACCAAAAUUAGGCCAAAACAAAUUUUAUACCUAGUACAAUUCCAUAUAUAUCAUUAUAUAUAUUAUAAAAAUAUAAAAUUAUCCUUAUUUAUUAGGAAGUAAAAUUAUUAAAUUUAAAGAGAUUACUAAUAUUACCAAUUAUAUUAAGAUAAGAAAAUAAAAAUAAAAUUAAUAAUAUAAAAUAUUUUUUUUAGUUAUCAAUUGUUAUAUAUACACAAUAAAAAAUAUUUUCUACAUACGUUUAUAACUGUGUAAAUAAAUUUAUUUAAUAUUUUGUCAAAUUUAAUCAUUUACAUUCUUAUAGUUGUUUAAUAGUAAGAUUAACCAAAUACAUAUGACUACUUUAAAAACUAACAGUGCUUUUAAAAAUAAAUUUUAUCAAAUAUUUAAUUCAUUCCCUUUAUAGCUAACUAUUUCUAUACUACAAAUAACAAUAAUUAUUUUAAAAACUACAGCAUUUACGAAACUUACCCUUAGAAUGCAUCAUGUGAUGGAUAAUAAAAGAAAGAGACUUAAGGCUUAGGAAAUAAUGACUGAAGCACCCAACAUCAUGUUAAAAGAAUCAGGUGACAAAUGUUGAACUCGAUGUAUAAUCAUCAUAUAAUCAAAAUAUAGACAAAAGAAUGAAUGGACAAUAAAUUCUUUUUUUUUAUAGAUUGAUAUAUUACAAUUAUAAUUUUACUAAUAUUUAUAGUAAGAAGCCUAUCGAGAGUAUCCUUGAUAAUUUUGAUAUGGCACGAUCAAAAUUUUUACCUUCACAUAAUACCAGAACGACAUAUAUUCCACUCUUAUUAAUGAGGAGACAAUUUCACUCUAUCCAAUUUAAUUAGAAGGAAAAUCGAGUUCUCACAAUGGUUGAGACUCGAACCCAUUUACUUAAGCUAACUUAAGUGCAUGAGUGCAUGGAGUUGUGCCCUUUGGUAUGAAUGGACAAGAUUAAUUCCAAAAAUGAACAGACAAAGUUAGAUUACCAAGGAUAUAAAUCUUGCGCUAAAAUUUGAGUGCUCGAUAUAAAUAAUAGAUCAAUAGAGUGAAAAGAAUCAAUCUUCAGAUCAUUUUCAGUUUAGCAUCUCUUUAGGAACAAAAGGAAUGGAAACUCAAUUUAAGAGCAUCUCCAAAAGCUUCUAUAAAUUUUACUCUUCAAAUAUCUAUUUACUUACCUAUGUGGCAAAUAAAAGAGUGAAAAAAUAUGCUAUUCUCCAAAAGACUCUUCAAAUAGAAAUAAGUUAAUAUUAUUUUAAUCAAAUAAUUAUUUUUUAAAGGAAAGGUCAAUAGCAAUUAAAAUAUUUCUCUAUUCUCUAAUAAAAAGUAAUAAAAUAUAAAUUGAAGAGGGAAAAAUCAACUCUCCAAACUUGAAGAGAAAGAAUCAUUUUUUAUUUGAAAUUUUUUAAUUGAAAUGUCUUUUGGAACCUUAAAUAUUGAUGUGGCUCUUCAUAUAAGUAAUAAAAUCUUAUUUGAAGAGUUUUUUAGUGAUGCUCUAAUAACAUUCUUGAGUUUCUUAGUUUUUCGAAGUUAUAUUUCUCUAAUUGGAAUUUUCUUUUUUUUUUCCUCACUUCUAUUAAAUAAAUGAUGACUUAGUUAUAUAUAUUCCUUCUGGACGAUUAUUUGUUUAAACAAUUCAAAUAAAACUAAACUAGACCUUAAGAAAUAUUUAUGCUUGAAAUGAAACAAAAAAGGCGAAAUUAAAGGUUUGUUAAUGUGUUGCUACUCUUGAAAUCAAUAAACAACAUUCAACAUAUUUAUUUAUUUAAUAAAAAAAAAGAACAUUUAUCUUUAGAAAUAGCCAUUACUAAACAAAGCUUUUGGCUUCAUAACUCUUCAGUAUUGACUUCGGUAAAAAAAAAUAUCGGUCAUGUUUAAUACCAGAUAUAUAUGGAUUAAUUUUAGAUUAUCUUAUCGUAAAUUUACUAUUUUAAAUUCAUUUCUUUUACUUUUAAAAAUCUAAAUUUAUUUUUAUUUUUUGUUAAGAAAACAAAAAAAAAAUCAGCCCACCUCUUUUUAUUGUUUUUGAAAUAAAAAUAAAAGUAAGUAAAAGUUUUAAAAAAUAAUAAGAUAAUUUAAUUAUAUUCAUGAGGGAUAAUAUAAAAUUUAUCUUGUAUAUAUACAUUUUUAAAAGGGCUGACGUGGGGCAGUUUGAUGACUGCUAAGACAAGAACACGAGGGUGUCUUGUUAUAUGUUACAUAUGAGGGGGCUGAGUGAAAAACAAUACUGAAAAUUAGAGCUUGAAAUCUGCGUAACUUCAAGAGCACGAUGCCCGUGCGCACACCAAAGUCCACGCCUCCACUUCACUUGUAUUCUUAGUAGUCGUCAAAAUCCCAGGAAAAAGAAAACGAUCAAUUCACUCCUUGUCUCAUAUCAAAGUCUGAAAUUUCUCUGCUCUGCAAAAGCUAAUAACAAUAAUAAAAAUAAUAAUCAUGAAAGGAAUAUCGCUUUCACCAUCAAACCAUUGUCAACUCAAAUUCCAAAACAUCCUCGCAAAACAACUCAACAAACCGAUCAACACAAUCCCAUUUCACUUCACCAUCACAAAUCGCCAAUUCCCCGCACAUGUUAUUAAAUGCCAAUGUCAGCGAAGAGACCAAAACCCAGUACCCAAAAACCCCAUUAACACGCCACCACCACUGGUAGUAGUUGGCUCAGCCAAUUUUGAUAUCUAUGUGGAAAUCGACAGGCUUCCUAAAGUAGGCGAGACAGUUGCAGCCAAGACUAGCCAGACUCUUGCUGGGGGCAAGGGUGCCAAUCAGGCUGCUUGUGGGGCGAAACUCUCCCAUCCAACUUACUUUGUGGGUCAAGUGGGUGAAGAUGCAAAUGGGAAAUUGAUCACUGAUGCUUUGAGUGGAUGUGGGGUGAGAUUGGAUUAUAUGAAUGUUGUUAAAGAUGGUGGUGUCCCUACUGGACACGCUGUGGUGAUGCUGCAGUCUGAUGGGCAGAACUCUAUUAUCAUUGUUGGUGGGACUAAUAUGAGUUGUUGGCCUGAGAAGUUUGGUGAUGAGGAUUUGGAGGUUGUGAAGAAGGCUGGGAUUGUUUUGCUUCAGAGGGAGAUUCCUGAUUCUGUCAACAUUCAAGUUGCAAAGGUCAGGUUCUUUUAAUCUUGUCUUAUUGUCGAUUGCAAUUAAUCCAUAUAUUUGUUAUUUUUCAGUUUAUUCAUAGGCAUUAGAUUCGUUCUGAGUAUUGUGAUUUAUACAAGCUAUGGAAAUAUGGUUUAGAUUUAAAGAAUAUUGAUAGGAGUGUAAAGAGGUUUACACUAAUAAUUUGAAUCAAUCUAAUAAUUCAGUAGACAUGUCAUAUGUUAGUUAUUUUUAAGUUCAUAUGCAUAUGAAGUGCAAGAUGAAUUCUUGGUUCAUAUGCAUCUGGACCUUUAACUUCUUUCUGUAGAGAGUUAGGAUUGUUCUGUAGUCCUGAAGUAUGCAAAAGAUGAGAGAAAUAUUGAUAGGAGUGUAAAGAGGCAACUUAAAAGAUCAUAUGGAAUUGGACCAUAAAUAGGGGAAAUUUAUUCAAAUGUACUAUUUAUUUCCUAGUGUAUACCCUAAGUAAGAAGACCGCUAUUGUGAACAUGAGAGUGGUGAAUUUAUAUCACUUUCUUGAAUGAGGAUUGCAGCAUUAAUAUCUUAUAUUAGGAGAUAAUAUCCAUUGGGAGAUUAGGUGCAAGUCUGUGUGAGACGAUUGAUAAACAGAUAGGUUGGACUUAAGACAUAAAGAUAAAACAUAAGUAACCAAAGUUCUAGGAAGACAUAGUUUGAAAUUGCAUUUUGGUCUUGAAUUGCAAGCCUGACUGUAUAGUUUGGAUGUUCAACUGUGGCUUUGUUACAUUGUUAACUCAACAGAGAAAUUGGUUUGUUUAUUCAAACAAAUUCCACUUCAACAUUCAAAUUUGAAAUUUUGCAUCACUCAUUGAAAGUUCCUCGGGUCUCAACAUGGUAUGUGGAUAUGCUGUUAUUUUAUAUUCAGGUGAUAAUUUGUAAUUUGUACAUCCUUUUCGCUACAAUAAUGCCAUACUUAAUGAAAUAACUUUUUAGCUACGAAUACUUUUAAUCUCUUCUCUCUCAUAGGUGCAAGUAGUGUGGGCUACAUAUUGGCCUCUCUGAUCCCUGAAUUCCCCUUUACCCAUUAUAGUGGUUCCCUGUAAUUUCUCAUCAGAGGAAGUUAGAUACCACUAAUCAAAGCUUAAUGGUAUUUUGGAGCCCACCAAAACAUUACCCUUUGACUCGAUUAAAAUCUUUAUAUGGAAAAUGAUGUGGAAAACACAAAUAGUCUACUGUUAUGUGAUCGAUUAUACUCUGCAAUGUGGAUAUGAUUGUCACCGGGGUCUUCAUAUGGAAUUGUACAUUUUUCUAGGGAAAGAUUCACUUUUUUGUUUAUUAUUUUCUACACAUUCUGUUUCUUUUGUAUCCGGAGUAGAUUUUUGUGGUAGUAAAAUAUGACUAUACUUUUUUUUAAGGGGUGAAUUAAUUAUAAAGGUUUUGAAGAACUGUAGUAUUAUUUGGGAAAAAUGAAUUUAAUUGACUACAUUUAACAUAGCCAAUAUUAUCAAUGUGAUUGUAAUAGAAAUUAAAGCAUAGUCCUUAACAGAUGAAGUCAACAAAGAGCUGAUACAUUUAUCAAUUAAUGUUGGACGUAGUUGGAAUGUUAUCUUGUCAAUUUGGGAUCAUUUUUAAUCUAAUUUUGUUUACUUACGGAGUUAAGGAUGUUACUGGUUUAAGGUUACCUGUUUUUCUUUCUGAAAUUUUUAUAAAGUUUAUGGAGUCAAGGGGAAAUCAAUAAUUCUGGGAAUUUUAUUAUCCAUGCUUCUUAUUUUGGGUAUUAAUUGCUGUAGGAGUCUGUUUCUGUUAGUUUGUUGGGUCUUCCCUGGUUCAAAUCUGGUUUGAAUUCUGAAAUUAUAUUUUAUGACAUUUAUUUUUACGAAUACAAUCUGAAAAAGCAUUUUAUUAUGCUUUUCCUAGUUCAAGUAUACAAUCUUUCUGUUGACCUGGAGGGAGAACAAUAAUAAUAAAGUAUUUUCAUAAGCUUUUAAGAUUAAUUUGCUGGAGCAAUUACCUAGUGUUUGUGUAUAUUAUUUUUCUUUAUUAUAUGUCUCUACAGUAUUCAUUAUUACUUCUAGCAACGGUAUGACCCUAAACAUCCAACAGUUUUCCCUUAAAUGAAUCCUCAAUUCUUCUUAAACCUUUUCACCUCAAUGCAAAGAUAGUUCUCAGUUAGAGCUGUGAAUUUAAGAUCUUCUGCAGCUGAGUGUUCUUGUUCUGCAUCCACCAAAUGUUUGAAACUCUAAAGCAUCGUUAAGGGAAAAGGAAAAAAAAAUAAUGGUGCCAAAGUCUUCUUUCUUUAGUUUGCAAGCAAUCAUUUUCCCUCUCGAUCCACACAUGAUCUGGAGAUUUUGAUUGAAUAUUAUGUAAGUAUUGAACUUUGAAAAUAUUGUGGUUAAGGAGUUUUUUUGUUUCAUUAUUUUCCACUGUCUCUUGGAAUUUGUCACUUUGAAUUGCAUUGAGGCUUUUUAUGUUUUCAAUUUGUUUGGUCUGCUUUCUUUCGAUAUUUAGUUUUGCAUAUUCUGAUGCCAUCAUAUCUUUAGGCUGCAAGAAGUGCAGGUGUUCCAGUCAUUUUUGAUGCAGGGGGAAUGGACGCUCCAAUCCCUCAAGAGCUGUUGAAUUUUAUUGAUAUCUUGAGCCCCAAUGAAUCCGAACUUGGUCGUUUGACUGGAAUGCCAACUGACAGUUAUGAACAGAUUAGUGAAGCUGUGGUGAAGUGUCAUAAAAUGGUGAGUGUUGGCACGUGAAAAUUUCUUAUUUUUGGAGGCUUCAUAACUCAGCAAAUAUUUCAUCUCUAGAGCAAUAGACUUGUUAAAUAAAAAGAAAGCAGAUGUUGCAGAAAUUGAAUUGUUACAUUGCGAAGUAUUACAAGUUUAAUGAAUCUGAGAUCCCGGCAACCAUCUUUUACCCAUAUGGUUUGUUCUUGGCUUUUAAAUCCAUCAAGUGCCAAUGCAUAUAAAGUGUUUUAGUAUUUAUUUGAAUGUCGGAGGUGUCUGUUUUCAGGGUGUUCAGCAAGUCCUAGUGAAACUUGGGGCCAAGGGAUCGGCUCUAUUUGUAGAAGGGGAGAAACCAAUUAAACAAUCAAUUAUACCAGCUGCAAGAGUCAUAGAUACAACUGGAGCUGGUGACACUUUCACUGCCUCUUUUGCCGUGGGUUUUGUUGAGGGCAAGUCAAGAGAGGAAUGUUUGAGAUUUGCUGGUACGUUGGUGAAGAAAGAUGGUAGUAUUUGUCAUGGUGAUAUUCACUCCCCAAAAGCACAGCCAAAAAAAAAAAAACAAAUACACACAUGCACACACAAAACAAACAAGUAUUUAUUAUCCCGGAAUUAAUAUUGCAUAGCAACAAAUUUUUUAUUUUUACCUUUUGCAACUUGUUACAGCUGCAGCUGCUUCUCUUUGUGUCCAAGUGAAGGGAGCCAUUCCUAGCAUGCCUGAUAGGAAAUCUGUUUUGAAUCUUCUUCAGUAUGCUUGAUAAUAUUCUUGUUCUUCCAAUAGCAAAGAGCUAUGAACUUUCCUUUUGCAUAUAAACAAAAUGAAGAGGUAACUCAAUUUUUUUUUUUUUGAAGAACUGGUAAUUCUUUACUUUUGUUUUUCUCUGCAAAUGGUCGCUAAGAUAGAUUUUAUCCUUUCUCACAUUAAAAUUGUAAGAAUCUGAAGUUGAAAAGUAUCUAUGAGGUAUAGGAAAUUUAAGCAGAGUUCUUCUCUGAAAUGUUUGGGCUCAGCAGUAUGAGACAGUUCCACUACUCCUAAUGAUAUGAACUUUCUGCCUUAAAUCUGAGCCGUCAACGCUACAUGCCAAUGCUAUUUACUUUAACAAGACACGUCAGUCGGCUUAGCCUAUCUAUUUGAAGGGGUUGAUUAUCAUUUGGAACCUGAAGAUUUUACUUGCUGUGACACUAGGACUUUAAACUUAUUGCUUUCUCAUACGUACAUACCCUUCUUGUUUUAUCCCUUUAAUUGCAGACCUUAGAGGGCCUAAUUUGGGAUUGCGCAAUCUAGGGGCUUAUUUGAUAUUUCAGUCUUUGUAUUACACACCCCUUUUUAGUUGAUAUUUUCUAUAUAUCGGCCUUUUUCCUUUAGUAGGAAAGUAUUAUCACGAAAUUAAUGAAAAACAAAUGCCACAAUUAUAAGGUUUGGAUACAACUGGGAUCUAUCAAUAGUGUUAGUGUUGCAUUGUUUGCAAGUAAUUAUGUUGCUUUGCUGAAUAUUUGCCAAAUCACCUGAAAAAUUGGUAUAUGUCUAGAUAUUAUGCAGCUUGAGAAUGUAGUUCCGAAAUUUGUGUUAGGGGUUUUUAAUUAAAGAUGCCUUAAAAGUAGGGUAUUUAGUUAAAUAUAUCCCAUGCUUAAAAUAUCCCUAAAGAAAAAUAUAAAACACACACAACUCACCUCCAACACUCUUUACUUCUCACUCUUUUUAACUCCACACAACAAAAACUCACUCCACACUCAAAAUCACUCAUGAACAGCCAAUGCACUGAGAUUUUAGUUUGCAGCUGGGUGCAUUAUUCAUCACAUGAAUAUGGUAUUUGAAAUUUUAUUUUUAUUUUGUGUUAUUUAUUUAUUUUGUUGACAUUAUAUUAUUUUUAGGGUUUUGUUUGGUUUGUGAUAAACAAUAAAGCAACUCAUAUUUUCAUUAUAUUUUCAUUAUAUGACUGUUAUUUGAUGGAUUUUAUAACUGCAUUCGUUAAAACCUGAAGUUGCUGUCAAAAUUUUGUUCUGCACCCUGACAUACACGACAACAGUCGUGUAUGUAUGGAUUUACACGACUGUAGUCGUGAAAACGUGCAAAAGAUUCAAAUUAUUAUGACACUCUAUCAUUUUAUUGGUGCAAAAAAUAUAUUAUUUUCACUAGAUAUAUCCUUUUACUAUUACUGGACUAUAGUGGUGUGUUUUAAUAAGUUACACGACUACUAUCGUGUACGUAUGAACUUAUAUAUUAUAAUUGUACAUAUAUGUAAAAUGUUCCAACUAUUAUGAGAUCCCAGCAUUUUAUCAGUGCAAGAAAAAUAUUUUUUGAAGAAGAAAUAUGUCAUUUGACUAUUUAUAGUCAUGUAUUUCUAUAACUUACACAACUGUCAUCAUGUAUGUAUGACUUUUGUCAUGUAUGUAUAAAUUUACACGAUAGCAGUUGUGCAAGAUUGAAAGAUAUAGUAGCUGUUAUGACACUUAGCAUUCUGUUAGUAUAAACAUUACAUAUUUUUACUAAACAUAUUCUCUAACUGUUUAUUAGACUAUAGUUGUGUAUUUUAUCAAGUUACACAACUAUUGUCACGACAACAAUCAUGUAAAUAGACAGACAGUUCCACACUUCAUAAUAUACCUGGUUUGAUUUUUUUUUGUAUAAUCAUUUGUUGUAUUAUUGUAAGAAGUGACUUCAGUAUGUGUGCCUAUUAUUCUUUAGAAUCAUAAGAAAUUAGGAUAGCAUCACAAGGUGAAGAAAAGUUACGCCGUAAGUACGGUAGGUGUGGUUUUUAAUGAUAUAAUCGACUAACUUGUAAUGCACCAAUCUCACUGUCUAACAAUGAGCCCGUAGUUAGACCAAAUGAAACAAAAACAAGCACACAUACUACUAUGAACCUUACAUACUUGUCAUUUUUGUUGUUUUAAUUUCUUUAAUAUCUAAAAUAGUUAGUUGAUAAAUUUUUACCUUUUUGUUUUGCAACUGGAUAAACAUGUUUGUGUGGCUUAUGCUGUUUUCAAAAUGAGGCGACCGGGGCCUUAUAAUACAUGGGUCGAGUGUUUGGGCUGAGCAUGCAAAUAAUUAUGAUGAUUGUGCAGCAACUUCCAUUGUAUUACGACUUAUUUAUGAUUUGAACAUUCAUUGGAUCUAUGUUAUUUGAUGUACAAUUACUUUUGUUAUUUGUUAAAUUCAAGUAUGAUAUGUUAAAGCCGAUGUUGAUUUUGUUGUCAUUAUAAUAAAUGUUUUAGGUAAUUUUAUGUUCUAUGUCUACUUACCCAACUACAGUCGUGUAUUUUGGCUCUUACUCGACUAUUGUCGUGUAUAUCUGAUUGCACUCAAUUAUAAAUGUGAAUCUAUUAAAUACUCGACUAUUGUCGUUUAUUUAUGAAAAUACCCGACUAAAGUUAUGUACCGAUGCAAAUACCAGCUGGUUAUGUAUGUUUACAAAUACUCAACUGCUGUCGAGUAUUUGUGAAAAUAUCCGACUGCAGUCGUGUAGCAAUUCAAAUACCACCUGGUUAUAUAUGUUUGGAAAUACUCGACUGCAGUCGAAUAUUUAUGAAAAUACCCAACUGCAGUCGUGUACUAAUACAAAUAUCAGCUGGUCAUGUAUGUUUGUAAAUACUCAACUGCAAUCGAAUAUAUGUGAAAAUACUCAACGACAGUCAUGUAUUUGGGCUGAGCAUUUCUUGAGCAUAUAUGACCAUUCUAUUACAUCACAUACAUUAUAUAAAACUAUCUUCUCUGUCAUUAAUUUACUUAAUAAAAAAAACAUAUGUAUGAUGUCAAAUUAACUUUAAUGAUAUCAAAUAUCAACAACAUCCCAUUGUAAUCAUUACAUCUCAUGAUAAGUAAUCCAAAAAAUGACACAUCAGUAAAGUUUUUAAGAGUGGGACACUACGUAGUUUUUUUCCAAGACCUACUCCAAAAUAAUUUGACAGCCAAUGCUUUUUGAAAUUGUGCAACAUCAUCUUGUUGGAAAUAUGAAUUGACAUCAAGUCAGUGGGCCAGGACCUCUAAGAACUGUAACAAAAAUGGUCCACAAUCACCACUAAAAAAAUUUAUAUAAAUCAAUCGUUAAAAAUCACCAUUGUUAUUGUUAAGUCGAAAAAAUAUAAUUUCAGUUUGUAGUAAAAAUAAUACUUCAAAUUUAUUAUCACUAUCGUAAUAUAUUAUCAAUCUACCAAAUGAUCACACAACAUAAAAGCAACAGAUAUGAGAACUUUUUACAACUUAAAAAUGUUCUAUAUAUAAGACAACAUGACUUUCUUACAACUAGCAUCUACAGGAUCAGCAUAACUAUAUUAUUUCAAGAACAAACCCAUCAAAUUAAAAUAUAUUGCCAAUAACUAUGAACUCAAAUAAUUUUUAAAUGAGUUAUAAACAAAAAUAAGAAAUAAACCAUCACUGCCACAUGACAUAAAAAUCAAACUUUAUGUAUCAAGUAUGUUAACAAUUCCAAAUAAAGUAUAAAUAUUAAAAGAAAAUGUUGAAUUUUCCAUAACACUCAAACAAUUAAUUUUCAUUAGUUCAAUCUAAUUAAUAAGCUAUUAAGUAUGUGUAUAACUGUCAAAAACUAAAAACAAGUCUAGGACGAGUGUAUUAAAGGGCAAUUCUCCAAUAGUUAACUAGUUGGAAAUAUAUACAACAACAUUUGUUGCACAAUAAUAUCAAAUCCUAAAUGCUAUGUGACUUCUUUAGUCAAUAGCCUCACAAUGAGACAAAUUAAUAAAAUGAUCCAACAUUGUUUCAAAAUAGCCUCACAAUGAGACAAAUUAAUAAAAUGAUCCAACAUUGUUUCAAAAUUCACAAGUCGUUCAAAACACAUUUAUUAAUAGUGUACUAUCAAUAGUUUUAUGCUGAAACAAAUAGCAAAUUGUUAAUAAAUUAGAAUUGCAAAAUAAAUGUUCUAUAGCAAAUAAUAGAGAAAACCCAGAUUGUAGCAUAAUGAAUGCAUACGCAGCUGAAGAAAAUUGAUAUAUAAUUCCCAUAGAUGAAGUUCAACUACAAACAAUAAGUAAAAUUAUAUAAAGAUCUAAUGCAUAAACUAGUGUAGCUAUAACUGAGUAUUCAUAAGGAUAAUAUUUGUUUUAUCCAAUUCUCUAUGAAUAUUUAAUUAGGAACUCCCACAACCAUUAUUAAAGAGCCAUGAAAUCACUCUCUUCAAUUUCAAAUCCACAAGUUCAAGAAGCUUCAUUACAUUACCAGCAAGAAAGAUUAUUAGUAAAUAAGUAAGAUAAUGACCAAAAUCAUGUGGGUAAUUUGUUUUUUAAAACCCUAAUGCAUAUAACCCUAACAAUUAUGCACCAUAAAUUCUCUUUAUAAAGUAAAAAUCAAGUGUAAAUGUGGUUAAUGACCUUUAGUUCGGUGAAUUUCCAGCCUUUAAUUCGGUGAUUUUGCAACCUUUAAUGUGGUGGAUGAACUUGCAACAGCAGGCGUUGUGUAAGGUAGCUUGUGAAGGUAGAUUUUGAAAUUUGAAGAAUUAAAUUGGGGUAAUUCUGUAAUUGCACUUUGAAAAAGGUAUACAAAAGAAAUUUUGAAUUAUGGGAGUGUAGUUGGAUAAAUACCUAACCUUUAGGGUAUGGUGGGGACAAAUCCCUGUUUAUGUUAUGGGGUUGCCAAUUUCAUGUGAUAAGGAACUUUAUUUCAAAUCAGGGUUGGCAAAUUAAGGCCGGCCCAAGCCCAUUAGAUAAGAAUGGCAAGGGUUGGGCCUGGUCGGGCCGUUGAGGUUUUACUAAUUUUUUCAAAUUUUUUUAAAACUGUUGUAAACUUGAAAUGAGUUAAUAGUAAUCAAGUUGUUAUAAUAAAAAAAUGAAUUAAAGAAAAUAAAUAUUUCAAAAUAAAAUAAUAAAUAAAGUAAAUAAAAUUUAGACAUUUAAUUUUUUAGUAUUGAAUUCUCUAAUACAAGUAUUCUCUUAAUUAAUUAACACUUAAAAAGAGAGUAUUAUAAUUUUAAUUUUUUUAUUCAUUAUUGAUAUAUAAAUUAGAAAUUUAAGAGUAUUUUUUUAUUUUUUCAUUAUUUUUCAAAUUUGAAUUUAUUAUUCUAAUUUAUAAUUUUUUUUAAAAAAAAAUAGAAAGCUUGAGCUUAGCCCAAACUUUUUUUCCUAAGUCCUUACCCAAGCCCUCAUGUGGGAAGCCCGAGCCAAAGCCCUUGGGAAUGGGUUGGGCCGGCGCGAGCUUUUUUGCCAUCCCUAAAAUAAAUAAAUGUAAUUGAUCAUAAUUUUAUGCGAAGUAACUUAUUGUGAAAUUGACCCUUUAAUUACAGGAUAAAUCACACCCCAAGACCUAACUCAGACUCCAAGAUUUAAGAAUUAAACCUAAGCUAAUCGAAACAACAAAUAGAUCAAAGAACACAACCCAAAGAAUCAAGAACACACAAGAACUUAAGUGGUUCAACACCUUUGAGGGUGCCUACAUCCACUGGAGAAAACAACUCAGGGAGCAACUUUAUAAAGCUUCACGAUUACAGAGAUGAUAACUAGCAAUAUAGAGAACAGUCAGAAAAGCUUUACUCUCACUAUAGCUACCUUAUCACUCUUCUCUUGAUACCUCAAGACUACACCAGAACCAGCAUCUAUAUAUCAGUUGUUGCUGGCGUUACAGAUCCAGAAGUUUCCCUCCAAAAUCAACAGCCUUAACUAACUGAUCACAAGCUUCUCACGUGCAACUUAAAUCCUCCCUUAAACGACAACAAAUCUCACCGUUUAAGCUUUAACAGGGAUGCGUCCACCACGUGAGUGUUUAAGGAUUUGAACGACAUCACUAAUUCGUCGGUGCUGGAUCUUUGAUUAGCUGAAACGACAUGUCACUCAUCUCUACAACUUUAAAAUGACAAGUUGUUUUGACGAGUUUGAGUUCAUUUCAACAAUCUCCACCUUGAACUCAACACUCACAGCUCCCUCCUUUCACAUUGUCUUCUCCCCAUCUGCAGCUUUUUAAAACCUGCAGAUACCUGCUAAGUUCAUGCAAAGAAUGAACUUGGCAGUAGGUACAACCUUAGUUAACAUGUCAUCUGGAUUUUUUUCAGUAUGAAUCUUCAGCAACUUCACAGCUCCCCUUGAUACCUCAAGUCUCACGAAAUGCAACUUAACAUCUAUAUGUUUUGUUUUCUCGUAAUAGGAUUGAUCUUGCUAAGAUGUAUAGCACUUUGGCUGUCACUGUAUAAUGUUACAGACUCUUGCUUAGCUUCCAACUCAGCUGUUAUGCCUUUCAACCAAAUUAUUUUUUUAAAGCUUCAGCUGCUGCAGUAUACUCUGCCUCUGUAGUGGACAAAGCCACUACAUUCUGUAAUGUUGCUUUCCAGCUAACUGUGCAGCCUCUUAGAGUAAACAAAUACCCUAUUUGUGACCUCAUUUUAUCAAGAUCACCAGCAAAGUCAGCACCUACAUAACCAAUUAGUGUGUCCAUUUUUAUCUUCUCCACCACAAACCAAACCAACCUCCAAAGUCCCCUUCAGAUACCUCAUAAUCCACUGAACAACUCUUCAUUGUUCAUAUCCUGGAUUUGCCAUAAACCUGUUCACCAAACUCACAGCAUGUGAGAUAUCAGGUCUGGUGAGUACCAUGGCAUACAUGAGGCUACCUACUGCACUUGAAUAGGGCAUGCAUGUCAUUUUCUAUUGUUUUGCUUCAGUUUGAGGGCAUUGAACAGCAGAUAACUUGAAAUGGUUUGCCAGUGGUGUUUGCACUUGCUUAGCAUCAUUCAUUCCAAACCUCACCACAACCUUCUUUAUGUAGCUCUGUUGAGUUAAGAACAAAAUCUUCUUGCUUCUAUUCCUGAUAAUAGCCAUCUUCAGAAUUCUCUUAGCUUUUCCAAGUUCCUUCAUUUCAAAUUUCCUGCUCAAAAGUCUCUUUAGAUGAUUGAUCUCUUCCCUGUCAUGGCAUGCAAUCAGCAUGUCAUCUACAUACAGCAGAAGAUAUAUCAUUCCCCCUCCACUUGUCUCUUUGAAGUACACACAGCAAUCAUAGUUGCACCUGUUAAAGACGUGUUAUCAUAAAGUUAUCAAACCUCAGAUAUCAUUGCCUAGGUGAUUGCUUUAACCCAUAUAGAGACUUCUUAAGUAAGCAGACACAAUCUCUCUUUACUAGAUGUCACAUACCCUUCUGGCUGCUGUAUUACAAUUUCCUCUUGUAAUUCACCAUGUAAGAAGGUUGUUUUUACAUACAUCUGCUCAAGAUGCAUAUCCUGAACAGCCACAAGUGCAAGAAUAAUUCUGAUGGACGCAUGUCUCACUACAGGGGAAAAUAAUUCAAUGAAGUCAAUUCCCUCCUUUUGUAUGAAGCCCCUUGCCACCAGUUUAGCCUUAAAUCUUCUAGGCUGAGCUCCAGUAUCCCAUCUUUAAUCUUAAAGAUCCAUUUACAGCUUACUGUCUUCAUCUUAACUGGUUUUUCAAUUAAUUUCCAAGUCUUGUUUUUCAUCAAGGAUGCCAUCUCUUCAUUCAUUGCCCUCUUCUAUUACAGCUUGUUUUUGCCUGUGAUAGCUUCUUGAUAAGUCCUAGGUUCAUCAUUAUUCAGCUCUUGAGCAGCAGUCAAAGCAUAUGCAGUUAGAUCAACUAUUGCAUAUCUUUUAGGUGGUCUUAUAGUCCUUCUCUUUCUGUCUCUUGCCAAUUGAUAAGUGUCCUCUUCACUUUCUGCUUAUUCAUGUUCAACACUAGCUUCAGGUUCUAUUUUAGCACCCUCAAUUUCAGGCUCAAGUUCUUUCAAGUUGUGAGGCUCCACUUGAAAUUUCACUUUAUCAGUCUCAGCACCUGAUUUAGAGUUGUUAACAGGUCUCUUUGAAUUAUCCAAAAUCUCAUCUUCAUGGAAGGUUACAUCUCUGCUUAUCAUGCACUGUAGUGGCUUUGAGUCAACACACCACAAUCUAUAGCCUUUGAUACCCUCUGGAUACCCUAGAAACCUGCAUUUUAAUGCUCUUGGUUCCAGUUUGCCCUGCUUUACAUGAGCAUAUGCUGUGCAGCCAAAGAUUCUGAGUUUUGAAUAAUCAACCAUCCUCCCUGACCACAGUUCCAUUAGUGUUUUACAACCUAUAGUAGUUGAUGGGCUCCUAUUGACUAGAUAGCAUGUUGUGUUUAAAGCUUCUGCCCAAAGGGUUUUUGGAAGCUUAGAAUAGAUCAGCAUACACCUUACCUUCUCUACCAAGGUUCUGUUCAUCCUCUCAACAAUACCAUUUUAUUGAGGAGUAUAUGUGACAGUUUUGUGCCUCUGAAUACCAUUCUUCUCACAGAAUUCUUCAAACAGCUUAUUGCAGUACUCCAAGCCAUUAUCUGUCCUCAGAGUUUUCACCUUCAAACCAGUUUGGUUUUCAACAAAAAUUUUCCAUAUUUUGAAUUUUUCCAGAACCUCAUCUUUACUUUUAAGUGCUGAUAACUCUAUGAAAUGAGAGUUAUUAUGACAAUUCUAGACUUAAAUCAAGAUCACUUAGAGAGUAAAUGAUGUGUUUUUAUUGCAUUUUUGUUACAUUGUGCAUAAACAUUCAUUUUAGUUCAGUCUUAAUAAGUUUUGCUUGAUUUAAAGUAAUUCGUGCUCAAAUUGUGUACAUAAUUGUAGGUUUCCAGAAGCUUAUAAUUCAUGGAAGGAAUGCUGAUGCAAUAGGCUGGCAAAAAGGAGGAAGAACAUGGCUAUAAAAGAAUUAAAACAAAUCUGGAACAGUGUAGUUGCUGUAGCCGUUGCUGUAGCAAUCCUGGAACAACGACAGAGAAAAUUUCGUGCGGGAUACUUGCAGAAUUGCGAUCUGCAGUUUCCUAAUCUGACUUAUGUGCGCCCUAGGCUUCCGUUUACCCUAAUUUUCAACUAUAAAAGAAGCACACGUCAUAAGAAUUAAAGGGGGCCGUCACCCAAGGAGAAAAACACAAAGAAACAAAAGAAAAAUAAGAUUCAAGAGAGAGAUUGAAGGCUACACAAGAGGAAAAAUUGCAGAGAUCAAUUGGGAGCUCAAUCCUUCUUAUUCUUCUCUUAUUUUCUCAUUUUCUAUUUAUUUAUGGGGAUGUGUUUCAUGGUUGAAACUUUAUUUUUUAUAUUUCUUUUACAAAUCAUGAACUAAAUUUAUUUGUGGUUGAGUGAUAAAUAAUCUUGAUGGUUUAUUGACUGAAUAUAUGUGUUGCUACAUGUUUGCUGUAGCAGUUUGUUUUGAUAGUAUUUAUUUUUAUUCAUUAUUUCGGUUGAUCACCCAUUUAAUGAUACAAGUUAGGAGAGAGCAGCAAAAUGGCCUAUCUUAGUGGAACAUAUCAGAACAAUACUUGAUCUUAAAUUGAGUUUCCCAGAUUGAGUUUUACUUGAGUCCCAAAAGGGCCAUGCUUGAUUUAAUAUUAGUGAUGAACUAGACAUAAGGAUUCACCUUGUAGGGUAAAUAGAACCUAAGCGUGUAAUGCUAUAUCUUAUGUUGGCAUAGCAACUGAUCACUGUUAGGUAGCAUAUAUAUAUAAGAUAUCCAACAUGCGACGGCUGAGGAUACAUAAGGAUUCUGCCCAGUGUUGUAGCAAAUACUGCAGCAAUUGAGCCAACCAUUAGAAAAUAGUCAAGACCAUUAAGAGAGUUUAUUUACUCAACUACUAUAUAUUUCCAUUAAUUUUAUCCUUGAGAUUGACGUGAUAAUUUACUUUAUUGCAUUUUAUUUAUUGUGUUUUUAUUUUAAUUAGUAAAUUAGUUUCAUUAAUUGUUUAUCUUAAUUUAGACACAAAAUCUGCACUGUUAAGAUUGUUGUAGCAAGUCUAAUUACAUCAAUCCAUGUGGAGAUGAUCUUGAAUACUGAUCACUUUAUUACUUGUUGUGUACACUUGCACAUUGACACUAAUAGCAUUAGUAUUUAUACACCAACAAGUGCAAAGACCCAAACCAUCCUUGAAAAAUCAUCUAUAAAAUUCAAAAAGUAUUUACACCCACCUAGUGAAUUCACUUGUGCAGACCCCAACAAAUCAGAGUGUAUGUAUCAAAGUUUCUCUUUGGUGGUAUGAGCUGCAGUCUCAAACCUUAGCCUGGAAGACUUUCCUAGAAUGCAAUCUUCACAGAACCCCAAAGCUCUUAUCUUAUCUUUCCCAAACACUCAUUGUUUUUGUAGCUCUCUCAAACCUCUUUCACUCAUAUGCCCCAUCCUCAAAUGCCACAACAUUGAUUUGUUCCCUCCACUGUCAGUUAAACUUACCUCUCCAACAGCAGUAUGUCCAUCCAACACAUACAGGCCAUUUUGUUUUAUACCUUUCAUGAUCACCAUUGAGCCUUUAAUUACACUCAAUACCAUUUUUUCAGCCUUAAUCACAUAACCUGUUUGAUCUAGCAUGCCAAUUGAAAUUAAGUUCCUUUUUAAUUCAGGAACAAACCUAACUUGUGUUAAUUCCCUUACCACACUAUCAAACAUUCUAAGGCUAACAGUCCCAAUACCAAUCACUUUACACAUUGAGUUAUUACCCAUUAAAACCAUGCCCCCAUCACAUGGCUGAUAUGAAGUAAAGUAGCUUCUAUUUGGACACAUAUUGAAGGUACAACCUGAGUCAAGGACCCACUGACCUUGAGGUUUUUGAUUUGUGGCAAUGAGCACUCCAGCUGUUUCAAAGCUACCUUCUUCUUAUGUGGCUAUAGCUGCAUUUCCUAUCAUUUCCUUGAUUUCUUUAUUCUUGUUCUUCCUUUUAGGGCAAUCUCUUUUGAAAUGCCCUUCUUUAUGGCAAUAGAAACACUUCAAAUUCUUCUGUUUAGAUUUUGAUCUGCCUUGUUUCUUUCCCUUACUUUCUCUCUUCUCAGGCCUGUCUCUAGCCAUCAGUCACUCACUUGAUUCACUUUCUGGAUUGUCUUGCUUAUCUUUUAGUUUCGUAGUGCCAAGAGCAGAUUUAACCUCUUCUAGGGAGAGUGUUUGCCUCCCAUACAACAAUGCAUCCACAAAGUGCUCGUAUGACUUUGGCAAAGAACUGAUUAACAGCAAAGCUUUGCUCUCAUCACUCAGUCCUUCAUCAAUAGUCUCUAGUUCAUCACAAACCUUAUUGAACUCAUCUAUAUGCUCAUUUAGUGAUGCUCCUUCAAUCAUCCUUAGUGAGAACAUCUUCUUUUUUAUGUAAAGUCUAUUUGCUAAAGACUUUGUCAUAUAUAGAUUCUCCAACUUGGCCCAUAAAUCAACAACAAUCUUUUCUUUAGCCACUUCUCGGAUUACAGAGUCACCAAGACUCAGAAUGAUUGUGCUUCUGGCUUUCUUGUCUAUCUCUGCUACUUGUUCUGGGGUCUUGGAUGAUGAAGCCUCACUCCCUUCAAGCUUAGUGACUGGAUCUAUGGCAUCUCAUAGGCCUUGAGUGAUCAACAAAGCCUCUAUCUUGAUUUUCCACAUGUUGAAAUCAUUCUGCUCCGUAAACUUCUCAAGAUCCACUUUUGAACCCAUUCUUGAACCUUGAAAUCAGAGUUAAAGCUCUGAUACCAAUUGUUGUGAAAUUGACCCUUUAAUUACAGGAUUAAUCACACCCCGACCCUUUAAUUACAGGAUUAAUCUCACAACAAUUAAAGUAACAGGGGUAAUCUUAUGGGACCCAUAGACCUGCAAUAUGGCAGGUUCUCUAUGAUCAGGCGAUGCUUCAGUAUGUUGAGUUGUUGCGUCUGCUCUAUGUAAAUUUGUUGUGGUAAGGAAAUUAGUGGCUUAGUUAAUAGAUUACUUUCUUUGAAACUAAUAAUGAUAAUUCAACUACUUUUGUGUUCAUUAUGAAGAAAACAAGAUGAUAUUGAUCUUUGACUAAACAAAAAAGGAGAGAGAAAUCCAUGAGAGCGAUUAUUAAGCUAAUUAAGUAUAAAUAAGAACACUAAUACACUUGCUAUAUUUCCUCAAUUUCAUCGAUCAAUUAUUCAAUACAAUAUCUUCAACAUAUCUAAUUAAGCUUAAGGGAUGAUGGCGGACGAGAUCAUUCUAUUAGAUUUCUAGGUCAGCACGUAUGAGAUGAGGGUCAGGAUUGCAUUAGCAGAGAAGGGCAUCGAAUAUGAAUACAGAGAACAGAACUUGUUGAACAAAGGACCCAUGCUUCUGCAGAUGAACCGGGUUCACAAGAAAGUCCCGGUUCUCAUCCAUAAUGGCAAACCAAUAUGUGAAUCAACUAAUAUUGUGCAGUACAUUGAUGAAGUCUGGAAUGAUAAAGCUCCUUUGCUUCCCUCUGAUCUUUAUUUGAAAGCUUAAGCUAGACUCUGGGUUGAUUAUAUUGACAAGAAUGUAAGUUCAUUAUAAUCGAUAGGGUUAUUUAUUAUAUAUGGCAAUUUUUUAUUUCUCUCUAUCUUUUUUUUUCUUUUAUUUGAUAUAUAAUUUUUUUUUGUAAGUUUUGAUUGUGGUAUGUUGGUACCAAAACAAUCUAAGUUUAGAUAACAUUUAUUUAUUUAAUUGUUAUAAGAAAUUUAAAUAGAAUAGAUAUCUAAUAGAUCUGAAUUUAAAUUUCUGAGUAAUAUUUUUGUUUUCAAUUUUUUUUAUAUAAAUAGAUUGUUGUUUUCAAUUUUUUUAUAUAUAAAUAAGAUUGUUGUAAAAAUACCGAGUAAGAUGAAGGUUUUAAUAAUGUUUAAAAAAUGAUAAGUUAAAUUUUUUAAUUUAACGAUAUACAAAUAUGUUAAAUAAAUUUUUGUUCUUUGAAGAAAUGGUCAAAUGGUUUUAAAAUAAUUCUAUUUAAUUGGACACUUAAAAUUCAAGUAUUGAUUUGGACUUUACUCGUCCUAUAUCUACACUAAAAGAAAAAUAAAAAAAAUAGUGCUAGUUUUGAAUGAAGCUAUUUGUUGCUGUAUGAAUCAUGAAUGGUAUGAAUUGUGGUAGAAUAAAUUGCAGAUUCAUACCGAUGGGAGGGAGAUGCGGGCAGUAAAAUUAGAAAGACAGGAGGAAAUGACAAAGGAAUUCAUUGCAAUUUUGAAAACAUUGGAAGAAGAGCUUGGAGACAAACCUCAUUUUGAAGGCGAAAAUUUUGGGUUCGUGGAUGUGUCUUUGAUUCCUCUCUACUGUUGGUUUCACUCAUAUUAAACAUUGGGUAAAUUCAGGUUAGAGACUGAGUGCCCCAAAAUUAUUGCAUGGGCAAAAAGAUGCACGCAGAGAAAGUCUGUUUCCAAGUCUCUUAAAGAUGAGAAGAAAGUACUCGGAUUUGUUCAGAGGUGAGGAAAAUGUUCGGUGUGGAUUAAAGAAAUAUCACAAAUGGGUAUGCGCAGGGAAAUAACAAAUUGGAAAAAGGAAAAAAAAAACAAUGAAAGACUAGAAGCACAAUCAUGCUAGUACUAUUCUCUUAGAGGAUCAGACUACGGUGUAACUGUGGUACUGUGCUACAGUUGCAUCCAGUCGUUGGAUGCACUUAAAUUAGUGGUGUCUACUGGCAUCCAACGGCUGGAUGCAACUGUGGUACGGUACCACAGUUGCACCACAUAUUUUCUCUCUCUUGGAUUAUAUUGAUGUUUUGCAGGCUUUGUAUUUGUUUCUUGUAUGGUGUAGUAUUAGUAGCACUUUGAUGGACAAUUAAACAUGAUAACCUGCUAACUUGCUAAUUAUACUCUUCCAUUACAUAUUCAGGAACAAAUGUUUUUAUUCUCAAAUUUGAGAGAGAGAGAGACUAAGAGUGUGAGAGAAAGACCAAAGCUCGGGCCUAGUUUGAUAUCGUUUUCUAAAAUGAUGGUAGAUAUUUUAAUUCAAUUACAUAUACUGAACACUCUCCUAUACUUGCAUUAGAUAUUUUUAAGGCAGGGAAAACUUCCAGAGCCGCCUUAUUAAUCAUUGAAAAGUUUCUAGUAGUACUGGGCUGACAUGCGUCUUCCUGUACUCUUAACUAAUCCAAUGAAAUUGACAUUUUCCGAAAUGUUGAAUUUAUUUAAGCUUCGGCUCAGGUUCUUGACCAAUUUGUUCAUUGAAGUGACAAUUGAGAUUUCAAAUAAACAAAUGGUUUCUUUUCUUUUUAAUGUCUGGCUAGAUGGUCUUUUCUUUGUCCGGCAGUGUUACUUUGCUCGGAGAAAUUUGCUGAAAUCAUCCAGGACAGGUUAAAUACAAAAUCAAUUAUUAAUCCUAAUCAUUUUUAAUUCAAAUGAUGAAAUUUUAUUGUUAAUACAUUAGUUGAUUCAAUCUAAAUAUCCCGACUGAAUAAGUAUAACAUUAUUUAUAUAAAAUUGAGAUGUUUUUUAUUUGGUUUUCCUGGGAUAUUUUUGGGCAAAAUCCCCGGACAAAGUACUUUUUUUUCCUGUUCUUUAAUUAUCAACAUUUAAAGGAAAAAUACUUUCUGAGUAGUAUCUUAACAACAGUUGGGAUGAGUAAAAGAAACGUUUUGGCUUAAUAAUAUCCUUUGCUAGAAGUCGUAAUAAUGAUGUAUAUUUUCUUUACAAACUGAAGAAUAAGUGAGUGAGUUGGAAAACUGAUAAUUAUAGGCAUGACGUGUCAUAUUUAUUAUAAGGAAAUUGGAAGUAUUUGCUAUGUUUUAAGGAGGACAACACAAAAACUUAAUUUUGAGGGACAACAGCAGCUCAUUUGAAGGAGGGCAAAUGGUCCCUCUCUGUUGCUUAUUACGUGCCGAUGCAGUCAUGUCUUUCAACCACACUCCGUUGGUCCCUCUAAAACAUGCCUCGUGUCCCAUUUUGAGCCACAUUUAGUCCACCUUUUCCAAGCACUGAAUGACACUCAGUGUUAUGCUUUUUGUUUUUUUUUUAAUUAUUUAUUUAUUUAUUUUUAUUUAAAUUCUUAAUAUUAUAUAUAUAUAUAUAGUAGUUUUCCAAUCAAGGAUUCCUGACUUUAAUUCAACUAAAAGAUAAAAAAAUUUAAAUUUUAAUACACUAUAUGACAAAAAAAAUACAUUGGAGUCUGUGUUUAUUUUAUUUUUUAGUUGAUCCCUGACUUUAUUAAAACCAAGGAUCCCUAAUUGGAAAACUACUAUAUAUAUAUAUCCAGGAUCCUGGAUCAUAAUAAUAAUCCGGGAGAGUGUUUGUGGCCAUUGGAUUUGAUCCAACGGUCACUUUAUAUUUUCUUUAUACAACACUGCUUUCCGACAUAUGGACCCACAUUGCAGAGUUUCUAUAAUUUUUGAAAACUGAAUAAAUAAAAGAGGAAGCUCAAUAGUCCCAAUUCUAGAAACAUGCAGCUGGAAAUAAAUAAAAACUUUUACACAACACCAUUUAAGAAACAUGCAGCUGGAAAUAAAAAAUUCCAAAUUGAACAAAUUAAAUUUAGUUUGGCAAAUGCAGCGACUGUUUGUUAUCAAAUUGAAUCACUCGUUUGGAAUUUGUAGCUACCGGAGCUUCGUCAUUGCAGCGUCGCCAUUGAGUCUUUUUUUUUCAAGUGAGUUGCAUGCUGAUACAUAUUCACCCUCUUUAAUUAUUUAUUUUAGCUCCCUAAAUUUGUGUUUUUUCUUCUUUUUUUCCCCUUAUUUCAGUUGUAGUAAAAUGAAUGCUCAGAAUGUGGUUGGCCAGUCAAACUGUGAGGAUAGUCUCUACGUACCAGAAGUAGCGCUCGACCGUAAGCCACAUAAAGGUCAAGAAUUUGACACUUUAGAUGACGCUUAUGAAUUUUACAACAAAUAUGCUAAAGAGGGUGGUUUUAGUAUCCGAAUUAAUUCGAGUAAGAUAUGCAAAGAGAGUAAUGACAUAAUAAGGAAGGAAUAUGUGUGCUUUAAAGAGGGACAAGCAAGACAAUCCAAAGUUGUUAAUCGUAAGAGACGACGCGGUAUAAUACGAGGUGGUUGUAGUGCAAAAUUAGUGGUGGUUAAAUCUGAAUUCGGUAAAUAUAUGGUUCGUAUAUUUGUUGAAGAGCAUAAUCACGCAUUAUCUUCACCUCGAAGGGUUCAUCUAUUGAGGUCUCAUCGUUCAAUGUCAGUUGUUCAGAAAAACUUAAGUCAACAAUUAGCUGUAGUGAGCAUACCAACAUGUCAGCAAAUCGGUCUUUUUGAAUUGCAGGCAGGGGGCUUGCAAAAUAUGGGAUGUGUACAGAGAGACUUUUAUAAUAAUGAUAGAAAUUUAUGGAAUGAAUUGAAGGGUCAUGAUGCAGAUAUGUUGUACGAGCAUUUUCAGUCUGAGAAGGAAAAGAACUCAUCAUUCUUUUACAGUAUCAAAGCUGGAUGUGAUGAUCGAAUUACACAUUGUUUUUGGGCUGAUGUAGUUUGCAGGCGGGCAUACAAGUUUUAUGGUGAUGUGAUUGUGUUUGAUACUACGUACAACACCAAUCGAUAUAGUAUGAUUUUUGCACCUUUUGUUGGGGUUAAUAACCAUGGUCAAACUAUUGUUUUUGGUUGCGGUUUUUUAAGUGAUGAGACAACAGAAUCAUUUCUUUGGUUGUUUGAACAAUUUAAGGAGGCCAUGCCUGGUGAUGAUCCAAAAAUGAUUAUUACUGGCCAGGAUCCAGCAAUGACAAAAGCUAUAUCUCUAGCCUUUCCAUUCACUUUUCAUAGAUUUUUCAUUUGGCAUAUAUUGAACAAAUUUUCAGAGAGAUUAAGCAAAACAGUCCAUAUGGAAAAUUAUAGACAUUUUCAAAAAUGCAUUUGGGAAUCAAAUGCUGUAGAAGAGUUUGAUGCACUGUGGAAAGAUGUUAUAGAUAAGGUAAAAUUAACAGAGAAUGAGUGGCUACAAGGGGUGUAUGAAAUCAGAUCAAAAUGGGUGCCUGCGUAUGUGAACCAUGUGUUUUCAGUUGGGAUGUCAAGUAGCCAACGAGCUGAAAGUAAUCAUGCAAUCUUUAAGAGGUAUGUAUCAAAAACAAAUUCGCUUCUUGACUUUGUUUUUCGAGUUAAUAGAGCACUUUCACAACAACGUCAUGAAGAGUUGAUUGCCGACAACAAAGAUUUGAAUGAAAGAUCAAUGUUGAGAUUACCAUUACAAAUUGAAAAGCAAAUGUCUGAAAUUUAUACAUGUGAGAUUUUUUAUUUGUUUCAAGAUGAAUUAUGGAAUAGCCUGUUACAUGCAAUUGAGCUUGUUAGAGAAAAUGAAGAUUAUUUGGUGUAUAAUGUUGUGAAUCAAGAAGAUGGUGUUUCAAAAGUCUUUGAAGUAGUUUAUGACAAAAAGUUAGAUUUUGUUUCAUGUAUUUGCAAGAAAUUUGAAAGUGAAGGUAUCCCGUGUACACAUAUGCUAGCUUUGUUUAAGAAAUUGCAAAUUUCUUUUAUGCCUAAUAUUUAUAUUCUACAAAGAUGGACUAAAGCUGCCAAACUUGAGAGGGUUAUUGACGGAGAUGGUGUUGAAAUAAAUGAUUGUUCAAACAAAUCAAUUUUAUUAAAGAGGACCAAGUUAUUUCAGCUUGCUUCGAAUGUGAUUGAUAAAGCUGUUUUGAGUGAAGCAACAUCUAAACUUGUCAUUGAGAACUUAGAAGAUGCCCUGGAAAAGGUUAAGUUAGUCAUGAAAAGUUGCAAAAGUGAGGGAGUAUUAGAAAAGAAUAGUGGUAUGCAACAACCACACUUUAAUGAACCACUUCAGGUUAGGGCUAAAGGGUGUGGGAAAAGACUUAAAGGCGGAAAGGAAAAAGCAAAAGAGAAAGCGAAAGGGAAAGACAAAGGAAGACGCUGCAAUGGAUGUGGUCUAGUUGGUCAGUCACACGAUAAAAGAAACUGCCCCUUGCUCAUCAAGACGUAAAUGUGUCUUUUUCAUAUUUAUUUUGUAUUAAGCUUAUCACGACUUUCAUUUUUUUCAGUUUUUCAAUAAGAUGUUGUAUUAUAUGAUUUAGAUUAGAGCUGAAUACAGAAAGAAACAUAAAUUCUUCUGAUUCAAGUGAUGGAAGCUAUGCUUCCACAGGUAAUUUGAUUUCAUUCAAGCGUGUCUUCAUUAUACAAUUUAAUUUUUUAAUAUUAAAAGUAAUUGAAUAAAUCUAUCAUUAACUUUUUUUUUAACUUAUUGUAACAGAUUACCCAUGACCUUUUGUUUUCCGGAUAGGUGUUCGUCCCUCUUUUUCUUAUUCCUCUUCUCCCAGAUCGCUCCUUAUAAAGUAAAGAGCCUAGCCAAGAUCUCUACAUCUAUGUCACUUCUGGAACUGUCAAAAUAAUUGGGGGUCAAAAUGAAUCGAGAGCAGUAAUGUUGUUUCAAUUAUUGUAGCAGUUUGCGUAUUUUUUAUGUUAUAUUGUGUAGUACUCUCGUUUGUCAAAUGUGAGAAUUUUUUCAAUUUAACUUUUUAAAGAUGUAAUUUGAUGUUAAAGCUUGUAAUAUAUGCAUGAGAACUCAUUGGCUUUACCUUUUGAUUUAUGUAAAUUUUGAUGUCAAAGCUUGUGAUAUAUACUCUAGUUUGAUAAGAUAGGAACUUCUUGGUAGAUGCCACUACACAGCACUGGUGCUUUGGCAAAAGUGACCAAACUAUGAACAAAUAUCAAUCCAAAUUGUGUUUUAAUUUCCAUUACAAGCCUAAAAGACGUGGAACUGUGGAAGCACCUACUGUAAAAGCCAUAAAAUUAUGCACUCAUCAUAAAAGCCAAAUCCACGACGGAAAGUACAAUAUAUGCACCAACAAUUCAAUUUGCAACCAGCAUGAAGGAAAUCCCAUUAAAAAAUGCCACACGUUUGAACUGAUACAAAUUUCUAGAAUAAAUUAAAAAUCAAUAAACAUGACAACUUGAAAAUCAAAUUCAUUGACAAUAUAGACUAAUAUUUUAACUAUAUUUGCACUUCAAUGAAGAAACUCGACUGCGGCGCUGCUAUGACGGAGCUUCAUUUCUCUCUUGCUGAUCAAAAAGCUGUAUUUUCGCUUCAAUUCUGGGUUAAGUAGUUCAGUUUAGGAUUUAAUUUGUUGCAUUUGCCAAACUAAAUUUAAUUUGUUAAAUUUGGAAUUUUUAUUUCCAGCUGCAUGUUUCUUAAAUGGUGUUGUGUAAAAGUUUUUAUUUAUUUCCAGCUGCAUGUUUCUAAAAUUGCGACUAUUGAGCUUCCUCUUUUAUUUUUUCAGUUUUCAAAAAUUAUAGAAACUCUGCAGUGUGGGUCCAUAUGUCGAAAAGCAGUGCUGUAUAAAGAAAAUAUAAAGCGACCGUUGGAUCAAAUCCAAUGGCCACAAACACUCUCCCGGAUUAUUAUUAUGAUCCAGGAUCUUGGAUCAGAAAAGCACUUUAUAUAUAUAUAUAUAAUUAUUCAGGAUGGUCUCAUUUUUUAAUAGAGACAUAAUGUUAAAUCAUGUGUCUUAAUAAAGUUAUUUUUUAAUACACUAUAAAGUCGUGCGGUUUAAUAAUAUUAAAAUCUAACUCUAUCAAAUCGCAUGACUUAAAUGCGUGUCCACAUUAGAAAAAAAAAAUUAAGGGCACAAGAGAAGGGAAGAGGCUCAUUAUACAGAGAAGAAGAAUGAAAAGCUUAAGCUAAGAAAGAGUAUCAAGUACAUGAUGUAAGUUGAUAGUAAGCAAAGUGCCAGCUCACUUUAAGUUGUUGAUAUAUGUUACAAACAUUGUGUGCAUACUUAGCUCGUGUUAACCAUUUUAGUUAGUUAUGAAUUAGUUACAAUUGUAAUGCUUAAGCAAUGUGUAUAGGGUUGGCAAAAGUCCGGGUCUGGUCCGGGUUUGGGGUUGCCCGGGACUGGCCCACAUGAUACACAUAGCUACUCGAAUUUUUCAUAUGCGGGUUGGGUUAAGCUCGGCACUAUCCGGGCACAGGUUUGUUAUAUGCGCUUUCUCUGCCAGCAUAAAUUGAAUUAAAAGGAGAAAAAAGCCUGUAAUAAAUUGUUACAACAUCUUAAUUAUUUCAAUCUACUUUGUAAAUUUUAAGUAAAUAACAAAUAAAAAUUAUUUCAAUUACUACCUAAAUUCAUUAAAUUUCUAAACUAAAUUCAUUCAACCCCUAGUAAAAAUUUAAAUUCAACAUGACAAUAAUCACCAAAUAAAUCUAAAUAAAUGUAGCAUACUAACAUCCAACAUAUUACAUAAUACAUAUCAUAACUCCAAUACCAAUAACCAACAUAACAUAUGAAAAUCCCAAAAUAUCAAACACAAAUAAUUCAUAAAAGAGUCUAAAAUAUAGUAAUGUAAAAUAUGUAAAUAAUAACUUCAUGUCAAGCAGCUCGACAAUUGUGCCCCAUUAUCAUCAUAUGAAAUUACCUCCUCCCCAGCCAAAAUCUCAUCUUCUGGAACUCCACCUAAGAACAAAAAUAACGCAUUAAGAUUUAAAAGCACUUUAAGCAAAUAACUAAUACUAUAACAUAAUUCAAAUAACUUUAUACCUCGAGAAGUAGAAGCUCAAAUCUAAUUUUGAGCACACGUCAAGGAUUCCAAAGUGUCAGGAUAAAAUUUACUACGAUACAGACACAAAAAUCUGCCCCCAGUACUAAAAGCUUACUUAGAGGCAACCAUGGAUACAGGAAUGGCUAAGAUAUCCUUGGCCAACUCACCCAAAAUAGGAUAUUUGCUUGUUAAUCUUCCAAAAAGCUAAAAUAUUAAAGUUCAGAGUAGUAUCCAACAAUUCCUCAUUUAAACACCUAUCCAACUCUGACUUAGUCACCUUAACACGCUUAUUUCGACUUCAAAAUGUUUCAAACUCAUCUACAUCCCAAUACUUAUUCGGAUUCGAAGAAGAUUCCGAAGGAACAUUUUCCAAUCCAACAUCCUGCCCAUCACUCAAAACCAUUGCCUUCAUUUCAUAUUCUUUCACUAAAUCAUGACAAAGCUUACGUGCAUGCUCAAUAUGCUCAUUCGAUGUAUCACCAUAGAUCUUUGGGAAAUAAAAAUCAAUCAACAACAUCUUAUAUCUCAGGUCAAGUACUACAGCCACAACUAACAUUGGAUGAAUUUCAUUCCAAUAUUUUUCAAAAUUUUCAGCCAUAAUUCUAAUAACGGGAUUAUCAGAGGUGCGCCACCCAUUAAUUGACAUUUUCAUUUUACAUAUCGACGGAAAGAACAAAUUAGCAAUAGGGUAUUUUGUACCUGAAAACAUCUCCAUUAACAUGUAAAAUGAUCUCAAAUGCUCCACCAUUGUGGUUGCCAAAUCCCACUCACUAUCACUAGGCAAGCUCUUAUAUUGAGGCUCACGCUUUUGUAACCAAGAAAAAACACUUUUAUACUUUAGUGCUACAUCAAGCAUGGCAUAAGUAGAAUUCUAAUGAGUUGGAUAGUCUAACUUCAAAUUUUUUUUACAAUUAAUUUUCAACUGCCUAGCAGCUAGCUUAAAAGUUUCAAAUCUUUUUUGUGUUUUUGUCUAGUAACUCACUCUCUCCUUAAUCUUUCCAACCUUUUUUUCUAUAACUUUCAACCCAUCCCGCACAACCAAAAUCAAUAUUUGAGCAGUACAUCUCACAUGAAAAAAAUUAUCAUUAGAAAUUAAGGUACCAGGAUCAAACCUUAACAACAAUUUCUCCACCAUCGCAUCAUUAAUGGUAGAAUUAUCCAAUGUCACUGAAGAUAACUAUCUAUCCACGUUCUAAUCCAGCAGACAUUGCACUAACUCAUUAGAAAGGGCAUCAGCAGUAUGGGGGCUCGGGACAUAAAUAAACCUAUUAGAUAUUCAAGUGAUAGUAUUAAAUACAUAAACUUAAAAUAUUAUAACAAUUUAAACUUGAAAAGAAGUCAAAUAUAAGUAAUAAAAAAAUUGAAAGAGAAAUUAAGCAAAUAAAAAGUUUUAGACAAAUUACAUUAAGAUUCGACUAUGAAAUUUCUAGGAGUUAUCAAUGAAAUGUGCUGUGAAAACCAUGUAUCCCUUUUUUUGAUUACUUGAUGUCCAUAAAUUCAUAGUAAUAGCCACUCUACCAUGAUUUUUCUCUAAUGAAUGCAAAGUCUUAACCUUCUCAAUAUGAUAUAGCUUCAAAAUGUCAUUCUUCAAAGUGUUUCUGCUUAUUGGCCUAACCACAGGGUUGGCAUGUGCUAUCAUUUCUCUAAAGCCUUUAUAUUCCACAAAUCUAAGUAGAAGCUCAUGCAUUACCACCAUUCUUGCAAUCAAACUCUGCAAAACAUUUGGAUCGAAACUGCCAUAGCCAAUCCCACAAGUCUUAUUCUUUCUUUUGAGCACUUUAAGACUUCCCUGAAGUGCUUCCUCUAUUUUCGGUUGAUUCUUUGAAAAACUAGAUUCCACGUGUCUGUUUAAACUCGUGGUCCCUGAUGUGUAUUUGGCUUCUAAAAUUGCAUUACAAUGCAUGCACUUUGCCUUUUGUUCUCCAUUAACAAUUACUUUUGUAAAGUGAUCCCAAGCUUUAGAGACUUUCUUUCCCUUUUUAUUUUGAGCGCUUUUUGCCUCUUUCUUUCCCUUCUUAUCAUUAACGGUUGAUAAUGAAAUUUUUCAUCCUCAUUAUCAUUGUUAUCUUCAACAUUACGGAAUAAAUUUGGAGCAUUCGAUGAAUUAAUUUCUACAUUGUUUGACUGUGACAUCGCACUGCUGUUUAUUAUAGAAAAAUAAUAAAUAAUCAUACAAAUUACAUAGUUAUAAUAUUAUGUAACAAAAUUAAUUUAAAAGCAACCUAAAUGCUAAAAUUAGCUCCUAUUAAUAAAAAAUUAUCAUACAAAUUCCAUAAUUAUGAAUAUUAUGCAACAAAUUAACUUAAAGCAACCUAAAUCUAAAUUGAGCUCCUAUUAAUAAAAAAAAUCAUUAUGUCAUAAAAUAUUACAUAAUUAUAAAUAUUAAGUAAUUAAGUUAGAGCAACCUAAAAUCUAAAUUGAGCUCCCAUUAAUUAAAAAUAAUCAUACAACCAUGGAAUCCAAGAAAAACAGUAAGCAUAUAUAUAACACCUAAUAAUAAUAAUAAUGAAAAUUUCAUCAUUUUUUUAAAAAAAACAACAAAAAAAAAUGAUAAUACCUCGUGGCUGUGAUGGCGAAGUUGCCGCUGAGAAGGUGACAAAACAAUGGAGUAAGUCCAGCUAUGAUGGCUAACGCCGUCGCGUGGUGACUAUCGUUGAGAAGAUGACCAAAUGGUGGAGAGAUAAUGGUUGUGACGGCUGUGCUCUGUGAGAAAUGAAAAGAGCUAACCGAGGGAGGUAAGAGGUUCGUAAAGGGUUAAAGGCGUUGUCAACACUGUAGUGGUGGGUGGUGGGUGCUAUUAGAGAGACGGAGAGAGGAGCCGACUGUCGUGGUUCGGAGGUUGGCAGCAGCCAAUUGUUUCAGUGUGUGUGUUGUGUUUACUUUAGUCACGAUUUAGGAUUGGGGCAAUUCGGCAAAAUAUUUUUUCGCAUUUUAUAUUUUCCUUUUUUGACUUAAUAAAAACUAGGCACGGUCUGGGUUCCGGGUUCUUGGUGCUGUGACCGAACCUAUGCCCCGAUCUGCUUCUUCCAUAUAUCCGGUCCGGGUUUUACCCAGACCACAUAAAUCAAGUUCGAGCUGGGUUCGGUCUGGGUGGGCAUUUUUGCCAUCCCUAAGUGUGUAUAAAUUGAAUGUAAUCGUAACAUUUUGUUAUGAGCUCAAAUAAUAAGAAUUCUGAAAUUUUUGUAGAUAUUUUCUUAGUAACCAACAACUCCAUCUCUAUUUUCUUUCAUGGUAUUAGGGUCAUAACCAUUGCUAGUUCAAGUAGUACAACAUCAAAUCCAAAUUCAGUACUUGCAAAUCAAACAACACAGAUUUCCUUUUCAUUCAGCACUUUAGUUAAGCUCGAUCAAUCCAAUUUCUUGCUUUGGAGGAAAAAAGUUAUUUCUUCAAUAAGAGGAUAUCAAUCUGAAGAUUUCAUAUCUAGUGAUCAAAUUGUGCCAAAACAAUAUAUUUCUCAAACAGUAGCUGAUGGAUUAGUGUAGAAAUUUGAUAAUACAAUUUAUAUCAACUAGCGAGAUCAAUUUUGAGCUCUGUUCCUAAUUGUGAUAACUCAUAUGAUGUAUGAAAAUCUAUUGAGAAACAAUUUAGAGAUCAAUCAGAAGAUAAGAUAAUACAACUUCGAUAUGAGAUGAAUGUGGUUAGAAAAGAAUCCAUGUCUAUUAAAGAAUAUUGCUUGAAGGUUAAAAUACUUGCUGAUAAACUUGCAUGUGGUGGUGACUCUCUGUCAGAGAGAGAUUUAUUGAUGCAAGUUUUGAAUGGAUUGGGAUCUAGUUAUUUAGAUCUUGCUUCUAUUACUAUUGCUAAUAAAAUGACAUAUAUGAUGCAUAUGCAUUACUUUUGACACAUGAGGCUAGAUUGGGACAAAAUCACAAUGCCAAAUCAAUGUUUAAUGCCAACUAUGGAAUGAUGCACUCUAGUUAUCCUUAAACCUAGGGUAAGUGUAGAAGAUGAGGCUUCAUAUUUGGUGGUUAUCAGGGAGAUCUUCAUUCUAGAAAUGGAACCACAAUACUGGAAAAGGAAUGUUCUUUCACACAUAUCCUAGAGGUUUUCCUAUUAGUGGUAACAGUUUUGGUAAAAGACACUCACUACAGAUGUAAUUUUACAGACCCUCAUCACAUGUUAAACCUUCAUUCAAUAUGUCCCAUGGUGAAAACUCAAUGUCCAAUAUAGAUGGAUAUGAUGAGAUUAUUCCUAUUUGUCAGAUUUGUCACAAAUCUAGUCAUACACCUGAUGCUUGUUGGUAUAAGUACCUUGAGAAUUAUGUACCUCAAUUAAGGAACUUUUACCAGGGGAAAAGGUUCUAAAUCUACAUAUAUGGCUGGCUUUGAGCCAUAUACUAGAUAUGCUGGAUUUGCACUAUAUUCUGAUGACUUUUAUGCCAUGAAAGAUUCUAGUUACUAGUUGUCUAAUUUGAAUUCCAUGCCAUACUAUACAACAUUUAAUUUUUCUGCACCUGAAGUUACUUAUCUUGCUAACCUUGAAGGACUUACUGAUGAAGGGUGGUAUCUUAAUAGUGGAGAAACUCAUCAUUUAAUCAACAACAUAGCCAAUAUGAGUGUCACAGAGGAAUUUAGUAGAUCAUAUCAACUCAUCAUUCGGAAUAGACAAGGUUUGCCUAUAACUUAUAUUGAUAAUGCAUUUCUUAGUUUUAAAAGCUGAUCUGUUAAACACAAAGGCCACAUAUUCCACUUAAAGACAUUUUACUUGUACUUUCCAUUACCAAAAAUCUAUUAAGCAUUUAUAAACUUACCUUUGAUAAUAACUUAUCUAUUGAAAUUUUUGCGAACAUCUGUUACGUGAAGGAUUUUCUAAAGUGGCAAGUAAUUUUGUAGGGACUUACUGAGAAAGGACUAUACAAAUUAUUACUCAAAACAUCUUCAUUCUCUAAGUCAUCACAUCAUCCUUUCUUUUUCAGAUCAAUCCUAAUAAACCAUUGUCAAUGUUAUCUUGUUGUCAUUUCAAUUCUGUUAUUGGUGUUCAUUGAUUAACACUAAAAAGUAUACGUGUAAUAAAGAUAAAAUUAUUAGUUUUACACUUAUUGUGUAGAUUAAUGCGCUCAUUAUUUCUANNNNNNNNNNNNNNNNNNNNNNNNNNNNNNNNNNNNNNNNNNNNNNNNNNNNNNNNNNNNNNNNNNNNNNNNNNNNNNNNNNNNNNNNNNNNNNNNNNNNGAGUUGAUUUUUCAAAAGUCGAGAGAGAGUUCAGCUGAGGACUUCUUUCUUUUCUUUUCUUGUUUUCUUCUGUAUUAGUUUCCUUUUAAUAUAUUUCAAAAGUUUAUCAAAUAAAAAGAGUGUUGUGUUUUCCUCCAAUAUGGGUGGCUAAUUUUACUGAGCUGAGGUGAAGGGUGAAGCUCAAAGUUUCAAAUCAUAAAAUUAAUUACUUUCUCAAGUGAGUUUUAAGUUAUUUUAUUCUUUUCUGUCUAUUUUUAUAUCAUGUUAAUUUAUAAAUCUCACUGGAUUUUAUAGUAUUUUGACAUAAUGUCGACACAUUAAUUGUGGCACAUUAGGUACUUUAUUUCAUAUUUAUCCACACACAUAAUUAGUUGAGAAUUAAAUGAUAUAAUAAUUAACUGGUAAAAGUGAUGCUAAAAAUGAGAGAGUAUUAAAAUUAUAGUUUGAAUACUAAGAGUGGAUCAUGUAGCCUUAGCUUAUUUUUAAAUCAAUUUCAAAUAAUUUCUUUUCCCCACAAUUAAUUUUUUUAGUUUUAAAUUGACUACUGGAUUUAAAAUUCCCUGUAGUUCAACCCCGGACUCACCGGGUUAUAUUAUAACUAGACACUCUUAUACUUGAGAGUAAUACACUUUUGAGUCGUGCCAAGUUUUUGGCGCCGUUGCCGGGGAGUUUUCUAAAUUUGGUGCUAGUUUGUCUUUACUGUAUUUUUAUUUUAUUAUUAUUAUUAUUAUUAUUAUGAUUAUUAUUUGUUGUUACUAUCUUUCCAUGAUUCUAUUUUAUUCUCUUUUUGCAAAACUUCAGUUAGCACCCCUAUUCUUUACAAACUUUAACUUUAUCCAUAAAAUUUGUGAGAAACUUCAUUUUAGCCCAGAAACCUUUGCAAAUCAGUCCCCAAAUCGAAUUUAUUUCUUUAAAUUUCUGCAAUUUACUUUAUGCAUUUAUUUUAAAUGGUCGAUUCUACCGCCUGACUGUUAUUUAAAUUUUGUUAAUUUAUGUAUUUUGUUUAUAUGGUAGGUACUACCGCCUAUCAUUUUAAUUUCAGUUUAUUUAUUCUUAUAUAUUAAUUUAUUUAAUUUUAUGUUUUAUUAUAUGGCUGGUUUUAAAAUACCGCCUAAAUUGUUUCUUUUAAUUUCUUUGUUUAUGGCUGGUUUCACCACCUAAUUUGUUUAUUUUAUUUAUUUUUCAAUUUGUUUAUUUAUAUUUCGCAUUUUUGCUUAUUUAAUUUCCAGUUUAUUUUUAUUUCUGCAAUUUUCAUUUAGUGUUUUUUUUUUGCAUCAUUAGUUUAGCACACAUCAUUAGCAUUGCAUGCGUCGUUGGUCUCGUACAAAUAGUGGCAGAUUAAUUAGAAGAUCACCUUCACCACCCUUAGAUAUGGCUGACACAGGAGUUGAAAAUUUUUUGGUGCACAAAAAUGACCAAGCCUUGCAAAAUAUUCAUGAACAUCCUAGGACCCUUAGAGACUUCAUGCAUCCUACUAGAACAGGGUCACCAUCAUGCAUAGUUUUUCCCUCCUGAUGCAUCACAUUUUAAUUUCAAACCUGGUAUCAUUCAACUUCUUCAUACUUUUUCAUGGUUUUGAGUUUGAAAAUCCAUAUUUGCAUUUAAGGGAAUUUGAGGAAGCUUGUAACACAUGUACUGAUCAAAAUUGUAGCAUGAAUAUAAUCAGGCUUAAGUUUUUUUCCUUUCUCACUAAAGGAUAAAGCUAAAACUUGGCUACAAAAUCUUAGGUCAGGAUCCAUCAAAACUUGGGAUGAAAUGCAAGCACAAUUUUUAAAAAAACUCUUCCCACCCCACAAAACAAAUUCUUUCAAAAGACAAAUCACCACUUUCACUCAAAAACCAGGAUAAACCCUCUACCAAUGUUGGGACAGGUUUAAAGAACUACUUAACAUUUGCUCAUACCACUGUUUUGAAACAUGGAGAUUAAUGUCUUAUUUCUACGAGGGAUUAACAUCCCAAGGUAGACAAGUCGUUGAAAUGAUGUGUAGGUGAGUUUAGGGAUAAAAGUCCUGAAGAUGCAUUAGACUAUUUUGACUAUAUAGUAGAAAAUGCACAACACUGGGAUACAGUUGGUUCUUAUGAGUCAUCAAGUAAACCCCAGUCAUCUCCAUCUAGUGGAGGUAUGCAUAACUUUAGGGAAGACCAUGAUUUUCAAGCUAAAUUUGCAUCAUUAGAUAGAAAAGUCGAAGCAUUAGAGUCGAAAAAGAAUGAUUAUGUAAAGUCUGUUUAAAAUAUUUCAUGUUAUAUUUGUGAUUCUACUGACCAUUCUACGCAGGACUGUCCAACCUUGCCAGCUCUGAGAGAAAGUUUGCACGAACAAGUAAAUGUCGUUGACAAUUUCAAAAGGCCAAAUCCAAAUCCAUACUCCCAAACUUACAUCUGCUCUGACCAUGCAUGAAAAAGGAAAGUUUCCUGCUCAACCUGAACCAAACCCCAAGAGUCAACAACAUCCUCAAAUGGGAAAUUCAGGAAAUCAAAAUAUGAGUCAAGUCAAAUCAGUUAUAACCCUUCGUGGUGGUAAAGUGGUCGAAAAACACAUUGUGGACCUUCGUGAAACUAGUAAAGAUUUAAUUUUAGAAAAUAGGGAAGAGUCUGUCGAACCUUAAACCCAUGAAGAAAUAACCAACUCUCCUCAUGUACCCCCAUUUUCUCAAGCACUAAUCAAGCCAAAGAAAUCAAACCAUAGUCCAGAAAUUUAUGAAGUUUUUAAACAAGUAAGGGUCAACAUUCCUCUGCUGGAUGUCAUUAAACAGGUACCUUCUUAUGCUAAAUUUCUGAAAGAUCUGUGCACGGUGAAAAAGAAACAUAAAGUGCAAAAGUAAGCUUUUUUAGCAGAACAUGUAAGUUCUAUUCUCUCAAGCAAUAGUGCUUUGAAGUACAAGGAUCCUGGUUGUCCAACUAUUUCUUGCACUAUUUGGGAUCAUAAAAUUGGAUAUACUGUACUUGAUCUUGGUGCCAGUGUUAAUUUGCUUCCUUACUCAGUGCACCAACAGCUCAAUCUCGGUGAGUUAAAACCAACUUAUACCACUCUUUUACUUACUAAUAGAUCGAUUAAGGUUCCAAAAGGAAUAAUUGAAGAUGUAUUAGUCCAGGUCGAUAAAUUCAUUACUCAGUGCAGUGUUAAUUUGCUUCCUUACUCAGUGCACCAACAACUCAAUAUCGGUGAGUUAAAACCAACUUAUACCACUCUUUUACUUACUAAUAGAUCGAUUAAGGUUCCAAAAGGAAUAAUUGAAGAUGUAUUAGUCCAGGUCGAUAAAUUCAUAUAUUCUGUGGAUUUUAUUAUUUUGGAAACGAAACCAAUUGCUAAUGAAUGCAAACAAAUUCUUGUUAUAUUAGGUCGACCAUUUUUAACUACUGCUAAUGCUUUGAUAAAUUGCAAGAAUUGAUUAAUGAAUUUAUCUUUCGGCAAUAUGACACUGGAACUCAAUGUGUUCAACAUGUGUAAACAACCUUACCACCAAGAAGAUGAUGAUAAUGAGAAUGAGGAGAUUGAUCUCAUCGAGCCAAUCAUUGAGGAACACAUUCAGGGUGAGAACUUUACAAACUCUGCUGAAAUUUAUUUUGCUGGUUCUUUUGAAUCAAGUAAAGAAUUAGAUUGUGAUAUUGCUAACAUAUGCCCUACAUUUAAUUCUAUGCAGGUACCCAUAGGCGACGAUGACCAAUCAAACUUUGAAAAUAUGGUACAACCUGAAGAACCAAACGAAGAGGAAGCACCAGAGCUCGAAUUAAAGCCAUUACCAGAAGAAUUGAAGUACGCCUAUCUUGGAGAGCAAUAGACAUAUCCGGUGGUAAUUUCUUCCCAGCUCACGCAUGAUCAAGAAGGUAAGUUGUUAUCUGUACUAAAAAGACAUAAAACUGCAUUUGGUUGGACCUUAAAAGACAUAAAAGGCAUUAAUCCUUUAAUUUGCACACACCGAAUACACUUAGAGGAAAAUGCCAAAACAACCCGUUAACCACAAAAAAGACUAAACUCUCAUAUGAAAUAAGUGGUAAAGAAUGAGGUCCUUAAACUACUAGAUGUAUGAAUUAUCUACCCUAUCUCUGAUAGUAAAUGGGUAAGUCCAACACAAGUAGUACCAAAGAAAUCUAGAAUAACUGUUGUAAAAAUGAAAAAGGUGAACCAAUCCCAACACGAAUUCCAUCUAGUUGGCGUAUGUGCAUUGAUUAUAGAAAAUUAAAUGAUGCCACUAGAAAAUAUCAUUUUCCCCUUCCAUUUCUAGACAAAAUUCUCGAAAGCGUAGCUGGACAUCCCUACUACUGCUUUCUUAAUGGCUACUCUAGCUAUUAUCAAAUACUUAUAGCCUUAGAAGACCAGGAAAAGACCACAUUCACAUGCCUAUUUGGAACAUUUGCAUUUAGGAGAAUGCCCUUUGGACUUUGUAAUGCUCCUGCAACAUUUCAAAGGUUCAUGCUAAGCAUUUUUAGUGACAUGGUUGAAAAUUGUUUAGAGAUUUUUAUGGAUGAUUUAACUGUAUUUGGUAAUGCUUUUUAUACAUGUCUUGAUAAUCUAAAAAAAGUUUUGGAAAGGUACAAAGAAAAAGGACUAGUUUUAAAUUAGGAAAAAUGACAUUUCAUGACCACUUCUGGAAUUGUCUUGGACUAUGUUGUAUCUUCAAAAGAAAUUGAGAUUGAUAAAGCCAAAGUUGAAGUCAUUUCAAAAUUACCCUCACCAAAGACAAUUAGAGAAGUCUGUUCUUUUUUAGGACAUGCAAGAUUUUAUAGAAGGUUUAUAAAAGACUUUAGUGCUAUAUCUAAACCACUUUGUAACCUCCUAAUAAAAGACACCCCUUUUGAAUGGACUAAAGAUUGCCAACAAGCUUUUGAAAAAAUAACUACUCUUUUGACAUCAGCCCCAAUAAUGCAACCCAAUGAUUGGUCUUUACUUUUUGAGCUAAUGUAUGAUGCUAGUGAUUAUGUCGUUGGCGCUGUUCUGGGUCAAAGAAAGGAAGGUAAGCCUUUUGUCAUCUAUUAUGCAAGUAGAAUUUUGAAUAGUGCUCAAAUGAAUUACACUACAACUGAGAAAGAACUACUUGUUGUAAUAUUUGUAUUGGAUAAAUUUUGUUCGUAUUUAAUUGGUUCAUCCACUAUUGUUUAUUCUGAUCAUGCUGCUGUGAGAUAUUUAAUGUCAAAACAUGAUGCCAAACCAAGGUUGAUAUGAUGAAUUUUGCUACUUCAAGAAUUUAACUUGACAAUCAAGGACAAAAAGGGCGCUGAAAAUGUUGUUGCAGAUCAUCUUUCAAGACCUACGAAUGAGUCUUCAAUUGAAACAACACCCAUCAAUGACUGGAGUUCUCAGGACAAAAAGAAAUUCUUAACAGAAGUGAAAAACUUUUACUGGGAUAAUCCAUACACGUUCAAGUACUGCCCUGAUCAAAUUUUUCGAAGAUGCAAACCAGAUGACGAGGUAAGUAGGGUCAUUCAAUUUUAUCAUUCUGAAGCAUGCGGUGGCCAUUUUUCUUCAAAAAAGACAGGUGCAAAAAUAUUACAGUGUGCAUUUUAUUGGCCUACAUUAUUUAAAGAUUCACAUGCAUUCUGUAAAAUGUGUAAAAAUUGUCAAAUGGUAUGGUCUAUUUCAAAGCGAAACAUGAUGCCUUUAAACCCCAUCCUUAUCAUUGAAAUAUUUGAUUGUUGGGGAAUUGAUUUUAUGGGCCUUUUCCAUCAUCAUUUGGAUUUGUAUACAUUUUGGUUGUUGUUGAUUUUGUUUUAAAAUGGAUCGAGGCGAUUCCUUGUCGGCACAAUGAUCACAAGAUUGUGAUCUACUUUUUAAAAGAAAAUAUUUUGAGCAAAUUUGGAAUACCUCGAGCCAUUAUCAGUGUUGGAGGUAAGCAUUUUUGUAAUAAGCCAUUUGAGUCCUUAAUGACCCUCAAACAAGUGGUCAAGUUGAAUUAGCAAAUAGGGAGAUAAAACAAAUUUUAGAAAAGACAGUUAAUCCAAAUCGUAAAGAUUGGUCUCUUCGACUAACUGAUGCACUUUGGGUAUAGCGUACUGCUUUUAAAACAUCUUUAGGAAUGUCACCCUAUCGACUUGUUUAUGGAAAAUCUUACCACUUACCAGUUGAACUUGAACAUAAAUCAUUUUAGGUCAUUAAAGCUUUUAAUUCAAAUCUUGAUGAUGCUGGUAACGGGCGUAAAUUACAAAUAAAUGAACUUGAGUAAUUAAGGAAUGAUGCAUAUGAGAAUUCUAGAAUUAUUAAGGCAAGAACCAAAUUUUUUCAUGACAAAAGAAUUUUUCGGAAAACAUUUGAAA